rnacentral:lncRNA from 1 species
CGAAAAGGGGUGUUAAGAGAUAUUUAUUGACCAUUUUAAUAAUUAUUAUCUUUUCAAGGAUUUAAAAAUCUAUAGGUGUAACGGACAGCUAAUGUAAUGUAAGCGUUAUCUAAUAUAUGAGUUGAUGAACCAUCACGGGUGAAAUCAAAAUAAAAAAAAUAACAGAAGUCAAUAAUGGCAUUCAAAAUAAAAAAAAUUAAAACAAAAAGCAAAUAAAGCCAUUGGAUUCUUUUUUUUUUAAUUGUUUCUGAAUAUUAAUACGUUAAAAUAAAAGAACUUGUUAAUAUUUAUCAUAAAAAUAUUAUUGAUACAAUCCUACGUCAAUUUUGUUAUAUUAUAGUACAAUUCGAAAGUUUUAUUUUAUUUUAAAAUAUAUUUAUCCUACCAUAUUUAUAAAAGAAAUUAUAAAAUAAUUAAAUUAAGAUAAAAUCUUUCCUCCAAUCAUAGUUGUUCAAGAUUCAAGCGUUCUCUAUAGUGACUAAAUUUUAUAAAAAAUGUAUCUUCUUCCUUAUUCUACUUUAUAACCUUUCUCUUGUGAUCGAAAAUAAGGUCUUAGGAAGUAUAGAUUUGGAUAGAUUAGAGAUCCUUUUUAUAAUAGACCAGAGAACCUUUUUAUAAUAAUAUUUUAUAACUUACAAGACUUUCCACUUCCUUCCAUCAAAGAAGUGAAAUUUAUAACCUUUAUCACUUCUAUUAUGAAAAUGAUUAGUAAACUAUAAGGCUAUCCCUCGAAAUAAGUAAGUAGAUUAUUAAUAUGAGUUUAUCUAUUUAUUUAUUUUUAAAAAUCACUUAUCAUGAGAACUAUAUAAUAAAAAUUUGUGGAGAUAUAUCUACGCACAUUUAAUUAUAUAAUUGAGAUAAGAAAUUAGAGGUCCAAGAAGUUGUAUUUAGAUUUGCAACCUCAAAGUUGAGGUUAUGGCAGGCAAAAGAAAAAGGAGAAGCAUGUGCUUUUGAGAAAGGAACCCAUACAAACAAUUGCAAAUUAAGCAAAAUCGGAAUUAAACAAAUUAAGCAUGUGUUUUUUUACUCUUUAUGUGAUAAAAUCGGAAUGUGUACCAUAAAUAAAUAAGCAGAAAAUAAACUAAUACAAUCUAAAAUAAUAAAUCAACCAUAAGAGACAUAUUUUUAGAUGGAAAACCUAAAUCGAGAAAAAAACCAUAGAACUAUAGUCUAAUAUAACCUUCAACUAUAUUAAUAAGGGGAUUACAACACAUAUUCUUCUCUAGAUAACAUUAGAGGCUAACAACAUUAAGAAUCUCAACAAUCUUGGCUUAUAGUAAUAAUUUAAUAUUUGUCUCUCUAACAAAUGAGUAAUCUCAAAUAACAGGCAAUGAGAGAAUUACAUAAAAAUCAAGACCAGUAAAAAUGUAGAGGGCGAUGUCAGAAAUUUACCUCCAAAUUUGGGAGAAAACAGAGUUAAGUUUGCCUUUCUAUCAUCCAAUCAAAGAUUAAGAUCCUUACCUCCAAAUUGGAAUAAUCGGCCAUUGUAUAUUUUGAAAGCCAAAUUUAAUGGUAAUUUUCAAUUAGUCAUAACCUGUUUUCUUUAAUUAUUUAAACACCCAAAAUAAUGGAAACUUUGAGUUGGGCCACCCAAAUGAAAUAGACCUAACAAAUCUUCCCCACCAGGUUAUGUGGAGGGCACCACCAAGCCCGUUCUCGGUUUACAUUCUUUCAACUUUUCCUUGGGCAACGACUUUGUCAUCAUAUCUAACCUAUUCUUCAUGAAUCUUCUCAAGCUGUAAUUAUUUCUUUUCAAGUAUGUCUUGUAUGCAAUGAUACCUAACAUUAAUAUGCUUGGAUUUCGAAUGCUAUGUUGAAUUCAUUUCCACGUGAAAGGACUUUGACUAUCACAGUACACAACAUAGCUAUCUUGUUUCACAUCUAGCUUUUGUAAAAAAUUCUUCACCACAAGGUUUCAAAGAAAACUUCAAUGAUUGCAAUAUUGAUGAAUAAAUAAAGAAAAGCAAACAAAUACUUUGCUUUCGGUGAAACUUUCAAAUAUCAGUCUUUAUGACUUUAAGCUACAUUUACCAUGUCGAAUUGAAUUGGACUAAUUAUUAGAAUAAGACUGGAUUAGAUUAUAUUGGAUUAAGCUAGUGUAUAUUAUAUUGUCUUAUGUUUGGUGUAGUACCAAAUUAAACUAUGUUAAAUUAUAUUUAAAUGAUAUUAAAUAGCAUUUAAGUUUAUAUUUGAAUAUGAACAUCACUUAUUCAUGAAAUUUUAUAACAAUAAGUAAAUAAAUUUAAAAAGCAAUUAAUUAGAAAAUUAAGUAUAUUGUAAAUAAGUUAUUAGGUAGUCAUAAUAUAAUAAACAAAUAAAAAAGAAAUUAAAAAAUUUAAAUAUUUAAUUAAUUUUUAUCAAAUAAUUAAAAAAAUUAUAUAAAAUCAAUUAAUUAUUAUUUUUUUAAUUUUUAUGAUUAUUUUUAAGAAUCCACCUACAUUACAACAAUUACACCAUACCACACCUUUUUAUCGCUAUUUAGUAGAGUCGUUGGAUGCUUUAUUGUUCAAUGUAACCGCUGCAUAUAUAUAUAUUAAAUCAAACAGGUGUGCGGUUACUUUGUACGUACAACUUGGGUUCUUGCCUUGCUGCCGUCAUGGAGAAUUAAUGCCACUGGUCAACGGUGAAUCAAUGGCCAUCGGGCACCAAAUUCAUGGCCAAUCAAUGGCCAACAAGCACCAAAUUAAUGCCAAGCACACCAACAACCUCCGAUUAAAUGGCAAGUUUAGUGUUUUAAAGUUUAGAAUAUGGAGAAGCACUUGCUACUGUAUCCAGGUAUUAAAUCAUCAAAAACCAAUUUGGUUUGGACUCUUCAAUUCCAAUUUGACUCCUACACCAAUACCACCCAACAACAACUCAACAACCGAAUCACUCGUCCUAAUAUCAUAGCAAUCCAGUCGUCGGUUGCCCGCACGUGAGAGACUAUUUUCUUAUUCGUGCUCGGAAUUGUUGAAUUAAUUUUACAAUUCUCUUGCACCAAUUUUCAUCAUAUAUGCUGCCUCAAGAAGUGAAGAUCGAUGUCGGAAUCACUUUAAUUUAGUUUCAAUUACAUGAUGUUUGGGAUCUUCUUAUACCAAUUUCGGUCUACAAUUGCCUCAAGUAUCCAUGUCCGUCAAAUCUUAUUUGUAUUAAAGCAACCACCUAAACCGUUAACUUGUUUGAUUUAAAAAACAAAUAUUUGAAGCUGUUAGAUUGAACUCGUGUGUAAAUUAGGAUUACUAAUCCAAUAAUUUUAAAAUUAAAUUCAAAUUUAGUUUCUUUUAAUUCAAUUCAAGUAAAUUUAUUAAAUAUGAAAUAAAUAUUUAAUCUUAAAAUUAAUCCAAUUGGAUACUUAAUCCUGUCAUCCAGACAAGGCCUUAUUUGCCUUAAAGGCAACUUAAAAAGAAGUGUGACCGAAAACGUUUAUGAAGCCAUUUUUUUAUCGGGUUCAUAUAUAUAUAUAUAUAUAAUCUUUAUGCCAAUGAAGCGCCCGUCAAUCAGCGAAGUUAAUUUUUUUUUUUCAUUUCUUUUUCGACUGUGAUUCCGGAGGCUGCUGUCAAGACAAGAUUCCAGAGGAUGCUGAUAAGACAAAUUCAAAUUGACCUUUUUAAUAAUUAUUAUGUUUUCUAAGGUUUAAAAUUUUAUGUGUAACGUACAGCUAAUGUGAUGUAAGUUUUACCUGAUGUAUGAGUUGAUGAACCAUCAUGGUGAAAUCAAAAUACAAAAAUAAUAGAGGUCAAUAACGGCAUUCAAAAGAAAAGAAAAAUUAAAACACAAAGAAAAUAAGGCCGUUGGAUUCGUUUUUUCAAUUUUUUUUUUCUGAAUAUUAAUACGUUACAAUGAAAGAACUUGCUAAUAUUUUCCAUAUUGAUCAGGAUAAAAAGAUUGUUGAUACAAUCAUACGUCAAUUUUGUAAUAUUAUAGUACAAUUAAAAAGUUUUAUUUUAUUUUAAAAUAUAUUUAUCCUACAUAUUUAUAAAAGAUAUUGUAAAAGAAUUAAAUUAAUUAAGAUUAAAUCUUCCUGCAAUCAUACUUGUUCAAGCUUCAAGUGUUCUCUACAUUCACUAAAUUUUAUAAAAGUAUCUUCUUACUUUUUCUACUCUAUACCCUUUCGCUUGUGGUGGAAAAUAAAUUCUUAACAAGCAUAAAUUUGGAUAGGCUAGAAACCCUUUUUAUAACAAUAUUUUAUAACAUAGAAGACUUCACACUUCCUCCAUCAAAGAAGUGAGUUUAAUAACCUUUAUCACUUCGAUUAUGAAAAUGAUUAGUAAACUAUAAUGCUAUCCCUUGAAAUAAAUAAGUAGGUUAUUAAUAUAAGUUUAUCUAUUUAUUUAAAAAAAAUCACUUAUCAUGUGGACUAUAUAAUGAAACUUUGUGGAGAUAUAUCUACCCACAUUUAACUAUAUAAUGAGAUAAGAAAUUAGAGGUCCAAGGAGUAGUACUCAAAUCUACAACCUCAAAAGUUGAGGUCGUGGCAGGCAAAAGAAAAAGGAGAACCAUGUGUUGUUGGGAAAGGAACUUACAUGAGUAACUGCAAAUUAAGCAAACACUAAAAUUUUCCCUCUUUAUAUGAUAAAAUCGGAAUGUGUAUAAAAAAAUAAACAAGUAAAAAAUACACCAACACAAUUGAAAACAAUAAAUCAACCAUAAGAGAUACAAAUUAUUUUAUGUGGAAAACUCAAAUCGAGAAAAAACCACAGGACCAUAUAGGGGCGGAUGCAUCAUAUGACCAGUGGGGACUUGAGCCUCCACUGGCCAAAAAAAAAUUCUAAAAUUGAAAGAGAAAAAUAUUUUAGUUUUCUAAUUAACCCCCAUUAAAUUUAUUAAAAUAGUCACUAUAAAUUAUAAAACCCUAUAAAAUUUAAACUUUAACUUUUAAAAAUUAUAAAAACUUAUAUUUUAAUUAAAAAUAAUGAUAGCCCACCACCCAAAAUAUUUUAUAUUCUUAAAAAUAAGAUUAAUUCUUCAAGUUUCUAUAAUAAUAGUAGAGCGAAUGUUUUCAGUAAUGAAACUCAUGAAGAAUCAUCUUUGGAAUCGGAUGGGAUAAAUGAUAGUUUUGUUGUUUAUAUAGAAAACAAUAAAUUUAAUAAUAUUGAUGAUGAGUCUACUGCAUAACAUUUUUAAAAUAUGAAAAUGCAUAGAGAAUAAUUAUAAAUGUAUUAGCAAAUAAUUUAUAUAUUCAAAAUUUUAGUUUUUCAUAUUUUACUACUAUCUAAUUUAGCCCCCAGUAAAUUAUUUUUCUAGAUCCGCCACUGGGACCAUAGUCCAAUAUAACCUUCCAUUAUAUUAAUAAUGGGAUUACUACACAAAUUCUUCUCUAAAUAAUACUAGAGGCAAACAAUAUCAAGAAUCUCAACAAUCUUGCUCAUAGUAAUAGUCUAAUAUUUUUCAUUCUAACAAGUGGGUAUCUCAGAUAACAACCAAUGAGAGAAUGAAAUAAAAAUCAAGACCAGUAAGAAUGUAGAGGGCGAUGCCAGAAAUUGCCUUCCAAAUUUGGGAGAUUAAGUUUGCCUUUCGAUCGUCCAUUCAAAGAUUAAAAUCCUUACCCCCAAAUUGAGUCUGCCACUGUCUUCUUUUUCUCUCUCAUCUUUUCUAUGUUUUUAAGGCUGCUGCUUCACUUGUCUACUUUUUCUUUUAUAGCCAGGUGAUUUUCAAAGCCAAAUUUGAUGGCAAUUUUCAAUUAGCCAUAACAUAUUUCCUUUAAUUUCUUAAACACCCAAACUAAUGGAAACUUUGGUUUGGGCCACCCAAAUGAGAUGGAUUCAACAAAUCUUCCCAUCAGAUCAUAUGGGGGGCACUACCAAGCCCGUUCUCUACUUACAGUCUUUCAACUUCUCCUUGGGCAACGACUUUGUCAUCAUAUCUGACACAUUCUUCAUGAAUAUAGUCGGGCUGCAACUAUUUCUUUUCAAGCACGUCUUGUAUUCAUUGAUACCUCACCUUAUAUGCUUGAAUUUUGAAUGGUAUGUUAAAUUCAUUACCAAGUGAGAGCACUUUGAUUAUCACAGUACACGACAUAGCUAUUUUGUUUCACAUCCAGCUCUUGUGAGAAAUUCUUCACCACAAAGGGUUUUAGUGAUUGCAAUAUACUCUGCUUCUAUGGUGGAGAAAACAACACGAAGUUUGAAAUCCUCUUAGACUACCCCCCUGCAAAGGUAAGCAAAUAUCCUGAUAGGAAUUUUCUAGGAUCAACAUCUCUUGCCAUAUAUGUUGUACACUUAUAACACAACUUGUCACCAUUAAAACAUAAACAUGUCUUGGAAGUGACUCUGAGAUAUCUGAGGGUCCAUUUCACUGCUGUUCAGUGUUCUUUGCCUGUACUAUAAAGAAACUGACUGAGUACACCAACUGCAUGUGCAAUAAUUGGUACAAGCCAUGGCGUACAUCAGUCUGCGAAGUGUUGAAGCAUAAAAUAGUCCUUUCAUCUGCUGCUUCUCUUUCUCGCUUGUAGGAAAAUGCUUGGAACUAAGCCUCAAAUGGCCCGCAAGUGGAGAACAAACAUAUUUUGCCUUGCUCAUGUUAAUUCUUUCAAGAGCACUUUCAAUAAAUGCUUCUUGAGAUAACCAUAACUUGCCAAUUUUUCAGUCAUAGGAAAUGGUCAUGCCAAGAAUGUAUAUUGUCGAUCCUUGAUCUUUUAUUAUAAAUGACUUGCUAAGCUUUUUCUUUAGAUUAUCAAUCUUACUAGCAUCAUGGUCAACAAUUAACAUAUCAUCCACAUAAAGAAAAAGAAUGAUAAAAUUAUUAUCACCAAGCUUCUUUACAAAAAGACAAUAUCUUGCUAAAACCAUGAUUCUCUGUAAAAAAAUCAAACUUUUUGUAAUAUAGUCUUGGUGCCUAUUUCAGUCAAUACAAACUUUUCUUCAACUUGCAUACACUUUCUUUGUUGCCUUUAACAUUGAAUCAUUCAGGUUGCUCCAUGAAUAUCUCCUCCUUUAAGUCACCAUGCAAGAAACUCAUUCUCAUAUCCUAGAGACUUUCUAUCCAUCAACAUCCAAGAUUUAUCCAUAUUUAGACUAUUAACUUUCCUACAAAUGCAUCACAUUUCAUUUGUUCAGUUUUAUUAAUAUUGGAGUUUGAUAUUGUUUCCAACCAUAAGAACAACUAUUAAAGUUACAAAAUCAACAAGAAAACAGCAGUUAAAAUACAAUAAAAAAUAACACUUAACAGCAAGAGAAAACCUAUAUCUUCAUCAUGACUAAUUAUAACAGUAAUAUUAUAAGCCAUAUACCAUAAAUCAUGGAAAGAGCAUGUUGAUGCUGAAAUCUGAACUAGUUGGUUAGAGACUCAAUAUCAGAUCCCUGCAUCAGCAUUAAAUUUGUUUGGUGGGAAGCUGCUGGUUGAUCUCUAAGAAUAUUCUCUGACUAUGAGCAGAACAUUCAUGAGCAUAUAAUCUUCAAGCUGACGAUCAAUAAGUACCUGAAAUUACAGAGAAUUGUCAGAGGUGCUGGAAGUUUUUCCGGCGUAAACCCUCCAACGCUCAAGUCAGUUAUGGGGGUUACAGGAAAAACCAAAUAUGCCCCUUUUCAUAUGGCUUAAUAAACAUUGCUUUAAAACCAAAAGCUUUUUGAAUAAUUUGCAGAAAAAUAAAAUAGAGUAUCCAGAAAGGAUUUCUCCAUCAGAUCCAAAGAAAAAAGAGCCCCCCCUCUGGCGUGGUUUUCUCGGGGUUUUUAUGAACACCCUACACCCACGACCUUAGAUCGUGCCAAUAACCAUUAAUUGAUCAAAUUCGUGCCCUCAUUUUUCGGAGGAGCUUUGUGGUGGUUUAUUUUAAUUGAGUCUUUAUUCCUGGUCAUCACCUGGUCGAGGUGAUCUGCUCAAGCUCAUAGCACCUGAUCGAGGUGAUCUGCUCCACCUCAUAGCACCUGGUCGAGGUGAUCUGCUCCACCUCAUAGCACCUGGUCGAGGUGAUCUGCUCAAGCUCAUAGCACCUGAUUGAGGUGAUCUGCUCCACCUCAUAGCACCUGGUCGAGGUAAUCUGCUCCACCUCAUAGCACCUGGUCGAGGUGAUCUGCUCCACCUCAUAGCACCUGGUCGAGAUGAUCUGCUCCACCUCAUAGCACCUGGUCGAGGUGAUCUGCUCAAGCUCAUACCACAUGCUCAUCUGCUCAAGCUCACACCACCUGGUCAAGGUGACCUGCUCAACCAUUUGCUCACUUUCACUCGGAGGAGAUCAUGGUCACUCUAUUUAAUUCCUCAAACACCAGUCCCCCAGUUUCUAGUGUUGAGAGUAAAACAAAUCAAUACUGGAAACUAUAAAGUUUAUAAUUUUGGCAAACCUAUGCCUUAGGAAUAUUUUUUGCGAAUUUUUCCCAAUUGUCCUCACACGACUGAGCAGGUUUGGGCAAAUCUUUACUUUGGCAAAUUUUGCAAGAUAUGGCUGCUGGUCCUUCAAACGACCGAGCAGGAGUUGGCCCAUGUUUGCCUUAGUAAAAUUUAAUAGACUUUAGCUGUUGGUCCUUUAAACGACCGAGCAGGAAUAGGCACUUGCAUGCCUUAGUAGAAUUUACGAAAUAGCCUGCUGGUCCUUUAGGCGACCGAGCAGGAGUAGGCACAUGCUUGCCUUAGUAGAAUUUACGAAAUAACAUGUUGGUCCUUUAGGCGACCGAGCAGGAAUAGGCACUUGCUUGCCUUAGUAGAUUUUUUACAGAAUUAGCUGCUGGUCUUUCGUUGACCGAGCAGAAGCAUGCACUUUCUUGCCUUCGUAGAAUUUUCGUAGAUUAGCUGCUGGUCUUUUGGUGACCGAGCAGAAGCAGGCACUUUCUUGCCUUAGUAGAUUAGCUGCUGGUCUUUCGUUUGACCGAGUAGAAGCAGGCACUUACUCGCUUUAGUAGAUUAGCUGCUGGUCUUUCGUUUGACCGAGCAGAAGCGGGCACUUUCUUGCCUUAGUAGAUUAGCUGCUGGUCUUUCGUUUGACCGAGCAGAAGCAGGCACUUACUCGCUUUAGUAGAUUAGCUGCUGGUCUUUCGUUUGACCGAGCAGAAGCAGGCACUUACUCGCUUUAGUAGAUUAGCUGCUGGUCUUUCGUUUGACCGAGCAGAAGCGGGCACUCUCUUGCCUUACUAGAUUAGCUGCUGGUCUUUCGUUUGACCGAGCAGAACCAGGCACUUACUCGCUUUAGUAGAUUAGCUGCUGGUCUUUCGUUUGACCGAGCAGAAGCGGGCACUCUCUUGCCUUACUAGAUUAGCUGCUGGUCUUUCGUUUGACCGAGCAGAAGCAGGCACUUACUCGCUUUAGUAGAUUAGCUGCUGGUCUUUCGUUUGACCGAGCAGAAGCGGGCACUCUCUUGCCUUACUAGAUUAGCUGCUGGUCUUUCGUUUGACCGAGCAGAACCAGGCACUUACUCGCUUUAGUAGAUUAGCUGCUGGUCUUUCGUUUGACCGAGCAGAAGCGGGCACUCUCUUGCCUUACUAGAUUAGCUGCUGGUCUUUCGUUUGACCGAGCAGAAGCAAGCACUUUCUUGCCUUCGUAGAAUUUUCGUAGAUUAGCUGCUGGUCUUUUGGUGACCGAGCAGAAGCAGGCACUUUCUUGCCUUAGUAAAAGUCUCAUAAAUUUAGCUGCUGGCCCUUUCAUAAAUCAUUCUCAUAUUGAGCAACUUUCCAGAUAUCAAGUUGAUUGAGUUAUAUCACUAGCUUUAAUAUGAGCUCUAUCAGUUUGACAUGUACAAACUAUCCUCAUUUGAUAAAUUACUAGUAGGUAAAUACUAUAGCUGCAAAUAAAGGCUGCAAAUGCAUGUUUUCAUGUAGACAUCAAGACAUAAAUUUGUUAAAAUUUCUGACCUGAUUAAGAUGCAACUUUUUGCAUCAAUGUCUCCUUCCAUGUGCAUAGCUUGCCUCAUUCGCAAAUGUAUCAAAAUUGACAUUUUGUAGUGAAAUUGCAUAACAGAAUUCCCUGCAUAUUCUUCAGACGAAAAUGAGCUGUCUGAUUCCUGCAAACGUGUGCAGCCAAUGUGCUCUCAUUUGAGGUUUUUGAUUCAAAUCCUUGAAUAUGGAUCUGUUCUGUAAAAGAAUUUGAAAAACUUGUCUAGCGAUCUGAGCCAAAUCUGAAUUGGCCAUAAUACUACAAACUGGCUGCUCCAUAAUCAUUAAAAAAUCAUUGCACUCAUAAAUAUGACUUUCUAAUAUUAUUCCCAUGUAAAAUUUUGGAUUGAAUACUUAAGAAAGCAUGUCCAAUUCUUAAAUUGAUAAAAUAUCUAUGUAUCUAUUUUAUACAUGAUUGGUUAUGUUAUCAUGUUGUGAAAUCAAGUACUAAUUCCUCACAUUCCCAUAUGACUGCAGAAUUUACUCCUGAUAUUCCAGGAUCGUUGUGGAAUGAAUUCCUGACAUUUUGAGAUCAUCAAUUCCAUAAUGCACUAUCAAUUUAAAGUUACAUGUCUCAACAAGAGAUUUGUGCUCAUGCAUGCAUCAUUGAUGCUAAACAUAUGCGUGAUGAUAAAAAGAAUAUUCAGCUAAGAAUAAUUUUUUAGUUAAAAAAUGGGAUGCAUUUGCAAACCAAUCUGAUUAGUUUUAAUGUGCAUAAGACAGGCAAGUUGCAACAAUAGCAGUAUUACAAUUUGCAAAAAUUGAAUGAUAUAAAAUAAUCAAGGAAGUGGUUCGAGUGCACCUGUAAUUGACCAUUUGAAAUAUGGCUUCUGACCUUUGGUAAAUUUUUUUUUUUUUUUGUGAACUUCGUUCUGCUCUAUUGUUGUGACUAUACUUCCCCUACAACUUCUGAGCUUCCUUUCAUUAUCACUGUGAAAACCUUCAUACUUGCUUGAUGAACGCUCAUGGUAAUUGAAAAAAAACUGAGAAAGAAUUUCUUUGUUCCUGAAUGGACAAUCAUUUGCCUUUUUCCCAACUUAUUUUUUAUUAUUAAUGCUUUGCCUUCCAUUUGCCUUCCUUGAUUCUGAUCUAGCUUACUCAGCAUAUCCUUUUAUAAGCUUAAUAAAACAUUUAAAUGAUCUAUAACUUAUGAAAAUUGUGAGUAGAAAAAUAACAUAAUUCGUUUAGACUUUCUAUCAAAUAAUUGGUGGGCUUAACACCAUGUCCUGAUUAUGUGAUUAUCUUCCUUCUGAUUUUACCCAAAAAUUUCACAAUAAAAAGUAGUUAAUCUAAGGUAGCUUAAGCAACAAAGGCAUGGAUAUGUUCUUAAACAUAAAAGCCAAACAGGUAAUUCUGAAAACGAUAAGUGCGCAGCACAUGCUUUCAAGCGAUUAAAGUAAGCAUGUUGUUUUGACAAUUGGAUGGCAAGCACAUGAUUAACUAAAGACAAAUGGCAAGCACAUGAUUCCUGUAAGUUCUCAUGCCAUGCACUGGACUUCAAAUCCUAACUCUGUUAAAAUGCGUCUCGAUUCCAUUUACUGAAGCUUAUUCCUCAUUCCAUUUCGAGGAUUUGGAACUUAUUUAACGAUAACUGAAGCAUGCAGUAAAUGAACAUUUGAUUCUAAAUCUUCAUGCCACAAUGCAGGUGAUGGCAACUUAAACAAAUUGAUCUUUGUGAUUUAAUCAUGUAUAGCCAUAAAUGAAAAGCUCUUAUAUUUAAAAUGAAUUUAUACUCACAAUUAUCAAAAUUAUGCAAUCAAAUAAACUGAUUUUCGUAAUUUCAUAUUUCAAACUGCAAAAUUUUUUUUUUGAUGAAGACAAGAAUCAAGUUCUCGUCAAGCUAAUGUGUGAAUUAAAGUGAAAAGUCGAUGACUUACGAAUGAGCAAAUUCCUUUAAUGCCCGAAUUUGGUCACUAGCCUCUGGGCUGUCCUUAAUCAAGAUUCGUCCCCAACAAUUUAGUUUGCUAAUCACUUCUGCUUCGGUCAAAUCCAAACUGGUAGAGACAAUGAUGACUUUUUGUACCGAUCCCCACAGACGGCGCCAAAUGUUGAUGCUGAAAUCUGAACUAGUUGGUUAGAGACUCAAUAUCAGAUCCCUGCAUCAGCAUUAAAUUUGUUUGGUGGGAAGCUGCUGGUUGAUCUCUAAGAAUAUUCUCUGACUAUGAGCAGAACAUUCAUGAGCAUAUAAUCUUCAAGCUGACGAUCAAUAAGUACCUGAAAUUACAGAGAAUUGUCAGAGGUGCCGGAAGUUUUUCCGGCGUAAACCCUCCAACGCUCAAGUCAGUUAUGGGGUUUACAGGAAAAACCAAAUAUGCCCCUUUUCAUAUGGCUUAAUAAACAUUGCUUUAAAACCAAAAGCUUUUUGAAUAAUUUGCAGAAAAAUAAAAUAGAGUAUCCAGAAAGGAUUUCUCCAUCAGAUCCAGAGAAAAAAGAGCCCCCCCUCUGGCGUGGUUUUCUCGGGGUUUUUAUGAACACCCUACACCCACGACCUUAGAUCGUGCCAAUAACCAUUAAUUGAUCAAAUUCGUGCCCUCAUUUUUCGGAGGAGCUUUGUGGUGGUUUAUUUUAAUUGAGUCUUUAUUCCUGGUCAUCACCUGGUCGAGGUGAUCUGCUCAAGCUCAUAGCACCUGAUCGAGGUGAUCUGCUCCACCUCAUAGCACCUGGUCGAGGUGAUCUGCUCCACCUCAUAGCACCUGGUCGAGGUGAUCUGCUCCACCUCAUAGCACCUGGUCGAGAUGAUCUGCUCCACCUCAUAGCACCUGGUCGAGGUGAUCUGCUCAAGCUCAUACCACAUGCUCAUCUGCUCAAGCUCACACCACCUGGUCAAGGUGACCUGCUCAACCAUUUGCUCACUUUCACUCGGAGGAGAUCAUGGUCACUCUAUUUAAUUCCUCAAACAGAGCAAAUAAUAUAAUUUUCAAAAAAUAGAGAAAUAGAAAAAAAAUAGAAGUACCUUUUGCUAUUCGUUCCAAGAAUCGCGGAGCAGGUAACAACUUAAGAGACUGAAUCACGACUAAAAAUAGAGAAGAAUAGAAGCAAGACUUGUUUUUAGAUUUCUACUGAAAAAGACAAUUAUUGAAAUAAAACUUGUCCACGACAAUAAACUGGCUAGCUAUUGAAAUGAUUUAAACAAUCCAUAUAUAAAGUAUUAAAUUAAGUAUGCAAAUGUCACAUGUAGCAAAACAACAUAUACAAUAUGAUGAAAUUUCAACAGCAAAAUUGGGUGUUAAAACCGUUAAAUAAAAUCCAUUUUUCCAUUAGAGAAAUCUAAAUUUUGAGAAUUUUGGUUUAGCUUGCUUUGGUCAACUUAGUCACNNNNNNNNNNNNNNNNNNNNNNNNNNNNNNNNNNNNNNNNNNNNNNNNNNNNNNNNNNNNNNNNNNNNNNNNNNNNNNNNNNNNNNNNNNNNNNNNNNNNUUAUUCCGUUUCUAUUGGGAAUGAUGAUACAAGCGGAAAGGUGUUAAAGCAUUGCUUAAAAUAUUUAUAGGGGCAAAGAGCAAUUGCAGCAGUUUAGCCAUGUAAAUAAGUAAGAACUUGACCAGUAUGUAAAGUUCACAAAGUAGCUAGAAGAACUCCAGAGAAGGCAUUAGUCGAAUGUAGCCACUAUAAAAAUUUCCACAAACAAAUUAAUUUAUAAAAAAGCAGUGGAUAAGGAGUUAAGCAUACAUUAAUUUGUUUUUAGAAGAUACAGCGAAAUUUCCAUAUUGGCUACUAUUCCACUAAUGGUUUCUUUCCACAAUUCCCAAUAUUAAGAUCUAUUGAAAACUAAGCAAACAUUAAAUUGCUUGUGGAAUUUACAUAAGUCAAUAUAACAGCAGUUGAACUGGAUGCAGUUUGGGUGGAGAAAAAUGGUUUCUGUUCCUAAUUCCCAUUAUUAUGUUCUAUUGAAAAUUAAACAUACAUUAAUUUGUUUCUGGAAAUUUACAUAAGUCAAUAUAAUAGUAGCUGAACUGGAUGCAGUUUGGGUGGAGAAGUAGUGAGCGCUGGUUUUGGUGGAGAUGUUGGCAUUAAAGAGGUACUAAAUAACUACAACUUUAAAUCAAAAGAAAGAGUUUGUGCUAAUAUUUGCCAUGCAUAACUUCAACUUUAAAUCAAACUAAUGCUUACAAAUGGCAUGCAUCCAUAUCCACCACGUCGCAUACUACAUCACUCUUAUAAAUCUUUCUAAUGGAGAAAGGAACACGACAUUAUUCGCAUUUUUGUCCCUUUCUUAAUCUACUAUAUUUUGCAAGGUGCUGGAUAUUUUUCUGUUGAAAGUCCUAUCAGAUCGAUUAGCGCCUUUAAAAUUAUGUUCUCACUAUUGUUGAUAUCAAUUAUCACGUUGCACACCUUAUCUUUGAUGGUGCCACGUGUUCUGAAAUCUUAUUGCACUAAUUAUCCUCUUCAAAUCUUGGUGCUAAUAAAAUCUUCUACAUAGUGUAAUUCAACAUCUCUCCUUCAUGUACCUCUAACUCUAAAGCUUCUUCAUCAUCCUCAUCCGCAACAUUAUUCAUCUCUGCUUAGCCAUAGCGUUUAUUUUCUCUCUUUCAAAUAUCAAAUAAUGGUUAAUAUUUUCUUCAGGAUUAUCUUUUCUUUCUUGCUUGUGAUGCUGCUGCUGCUGCUGCUCAUGAAUGAUAAAGUGGCGCUAGGGCAAGAUGGGGAUCCCGUGGGAUCAAUACAAGGAGGAGGAGGAAGAGAAAUGGUGCCUGCCUUGUUCAUUUUUGGAGAUUCACUUAUCGAUAAUGGCAACAAUAACAAUCUUCCUUCUUUUGCCAAAGCAAAUUAUUACCCCUAUGGUAUCGAUUUCAAUGGUGGCCCAACUGGCCGCUUUUCUAAUGGCCACACCAUGGUCGAUGAAAUUGCUAACUCUCUUUAUCUAUGCAUUUGAUUUAUAUUUUUAUAAUUUUUUUUCCUUUUCAAAAUCCUGAAGGUACAUGAAAAUUUAUAUACACCAUGAUUGCAUGCAAUGCAGGGUAUUUUAAUUGCUGAUCUGACGAAUUAUUAUGAUUACUUCUUUGCUAGCAAAAAAAAAAGAAGCAUAAAACAGAUGUCAUUUUUAGAUUUUUCUUCUUUGUAAAUUUGUGUCACACUCUUGAGCAUAGUUAGAAAUAUCUGUGAAGUGAGUUUCAUAGUCAUGGCUUCAAUGACACAUAUCCAAAUUCAUUACAAUUAAUUAAUUGAUUUCCUACUUCUAUCCCUUUUAAAAAAAAUUAACAAAAUAAAAGUACUUGUUUAGUUAUCUAUUUCGGGGGGGGGGGGGGGGGGGGGGGGGGGGAAUAUUGGCAUUUAUUGGUCUGGCCCCACCCCUAUAUGUCCCUUUGGGAGGGCUCGCACUGUCCCAUAAUAUUUAUUUCUAAACAAUCACAGUCAUUAUCUUAAAUCAAUAAAAAUAACAGAAAUUUUUUUGUUUUAUUUUUUACAUUUAUUAUAUCUACACCCACUUACACCUAACUCGUAUUAAUCCGCAAGUACGAUCUGUUUGGGGAUAAAUUCACCAUAUCUGGUAGGCGUGUCUUAUUAAUGGCUAAAAGCUUCCAUAUGCAUAACCUCUUUAAAUUGUGUCCGCUUUCAAAGAAAAUUUUCUUUUUUGUCCAUUAGCUUUUAUUUACUCUUCACAAAUAUUUUUAAUGUCAUACUAACCAAAUCUUGUAAAUUCAUCCAUUCAGCUGAACUACUGGGACUUCCUCUGAUUCCUGCAUACUCUGAAGCUUCCGGUGCACAAGUGCUUCACGGAGUCAACUAUGCUUCUGCCACUGCUGGAAUCCUCGACAUCACCGGAAGAAACUUCGUAAGGACUCAUAUAUCUAAUUCAAACGAACCAGGAUUCCCUUUUGAUCUGAAUUUUAAUGAGAGGAUUUUAUAUCUAACACGAGAUAUAUAUUUUUUGUAGGAAUGGGCAGCAAUGACGACCUAAACAAUUAUCUUAUGCCCAAUUACAAUACCAAAAAUCAAUACAAUGCUCAGCAAUAUGCUGAUCUUUUGGUUUCAGAAUACUCAAGACAACUCACAGUAAGAUUCAAUUUCACUAUAUUUACAUUUUUUACCAUAUGCAUGCAUUUUAGUUACUUUAUUUUUUUAGCUUGUAAACAUAUUUAUAUAACUUGUAUUAAGUAUUGAUUGAAAAUCUACAGACCCUUUACAAUUUGGGAGCAAGGAAAUUUGUGUUGGCCGGAUUAGGAAGAAUGGGAUGUAUUCCAAGAAUUUUGGCUCAAAAUCAGAUGGAUCGCUGUUCAGAAAAAGUGAAUCCAACUUGUUAUGCCUUUUAAUGCACAUGUGAAGACUAUGAUUAACAAUCUUAAUGCCAAUCUUCCUGGUGCAAGAUUCACCUUCAUUGACAUUGCCCGCAUGUUUGAAGAUCUCCUCACCAAUUAUAGAUCAUACGGUAUGCAAUUUUCCCACUAAACAUAUCGUAUUGUAGUUAGAUAUGAUGUGUGCUGUCUAGCCUAAAAUCUUUUAUUUUAAAAUGUGCGGACACUGACAAAAGAUAAUAAAGAUUUCGUCCUCGUAUUUUAAAAUCAAGGAACAAUUUACAGUGGCUGAACUAGGAUUUUGAUUUGACAAGCACGGCCUAGAGGUGGAAAUAACGGAGAAAUUAUCGUCUUGCUGUGCUACAAUAAAAGCAAGACAUUUUAAAAUUAAAUUUAAAUAAGUGCAUAAAAUAAGCAAAAUUUUACUUAAUAGAAUAAUGUUUAUGAUCACUUUUUUUUUUAUCCCAAAUAAUUCUACAGGAUUCAGUGUAUUAGAUCGAGGGUGCUGUGGCAUUGGACGAAACGGAGGCCAAAUUACAUGUCUUCCAUUCCAAACACCAUGUGCAAAUCGAGAACAAUACGUUUUCUAGGAUGCAUUUGACCCAACAGAAGCUGUGAACAUUAUGUUUGGAAGAAAAGCUUUCUAUGGUGACCAGAGCGUUGUUUAUCCCAUGAACAUCCAGCAGCUUGCCAGUCUUUAAACUUAGAAAUUAAAGGGACAUAUAUGUUAUUGUAAUGUUUCUUGCUUGCUUAAUUGCUUUGCAUAAUUGUUGGGAUUAUAUGCUUUUUAAAAGCAUAUUAAUUUAUUUUCUGAUUAAUAAAAUAUUUGAGAUAUUUUCAAUUGCAUAAAUAUUUUGAAUAAGGUCCGUUUAAUCAUAUUAUAUGUAUUUAUGUGAUCAUCAUAUGGAUUCACAGAAGAUAUAAAUACAAGUUAUCUUAUGAUUAAAUAAAUUAAGUUCGCAGUUGAUAAAUAGAGUUGGGCGCUCUAUUUAUGUUUAGACUGUAGUUAAUUGUUAUAAGUGAAUAUGAAAUAGUUCACUCAAAGCAAGGAUAAAUGGAUGAAAGUACUACACAUUUUUUUCACAAUGAGGUUGCCUUUUAUAGGCGUUACUUGAACAAACUUAACGAAAUAAUAGCAGCCAUUAUUCAGCAAAUACUGCAGCCACUUUCCAGUAACUAUAGCCUAAAGACUAGGUAAACACAAUCUUGCAAAUAACAUUACCAACAAACUUCCUAAAGACUAGGACCAUAAAAGCAACUUAUUGACACAAGGAAAUUCCAACAAUCCCUCCCUUAAACUAAAUGUUAUUAACAUUCAGUUUAAACAUUCUGCAGAAUCUUCCUCAAAUUGCAAUUUGCAAACUCCAAGUGACUUUCUCAGCUUCAAAAAACUAGCCAAUUUGAGGGGUUUAGUAAAGAUGUCAGCAACUUGGUCUUCACUCCUGCAAUAAACAAGAUCAAUGACUUCAUUUUUUGUCAAGUCUCACAAGAAAUGAUAUCUCACAUCUUUGUGCUUGCAUCUUUCAUGUAGAACCGGAUUCUUUGAAAGUUUAAUUGUUGACCUAUUAUCACAUAAGAUUUGUGUUGACUCUGGUUGCUUAAACUGAAGUUCAUGAAGAAUAUUUCUUAGCCAAAGUGCUUGACAUGCACAAGAAGCUGCUGCAACAAACUCAGCCUUAGUUGUUGACAAAGUAACUAUCGGUUGCUUCUUAGAUGACCAUGAAAUAGCUGCUGAACCAAACAUAAAUACAUAUCCAGAUGUGCUUCUUCUGUCAUCCAAAUCUCUAGCAUAAUCACUGUUUGUAAAGCCAUACAAAUCUGAUUUUUUUACCCUUUUUGUAGAACAACCCAAAUUCAGUAGUACCACGCAAGUAUCGAAGAAUUCUCUUUGCAGCUAAAAGAUGAUCCUCUCUUGGACGCUCCAUAUAUUUGCUGAUGGAACUAACUGCAUGCAUUAUAUCAGGUCGAGUUGCCAUUAAGUACAUCAAGCUUCCAACAAUCUGUUUGUAAAGGGUACUAUCAACUAUUCUUCCUGCAGGAUCCUUAACAAGCUUCAAUCCUUUUUCAAUUGGAGUAGUGACAGAGUUGCAGUUCCUCAUUUGAAAUCUUUCUAAGAUCUCUUCCAUAUAUUUCUUUUGACAAAUAAAUUUUCCAGCAUCAGAUUAUAUGACUUCUAAGCCAAGAAAAUAAUGCAGCAAACCAAGAUCAGUCAUAUCAAAUUCAAGCAUCAUGGAUUCCUUGAAUUUCUCAAACAUUACUCUGUCAUUUCUCGUGUAAAUCAAAUCAUCUACAUAUAAACAUACCAUAAGCAUUUUCCCAUCAUCUCCAAUUUUUGUGUACAGAGUAUGCUCAUAUGAGCAUUUUCGAAAACCUUCCUUCAAGAAAUAAGCAUCUAUAUGACUAUACCAAGCUCGGGGUGCUUGUUUUAUUCCAUAUAGAGCUUUUUUCAAUUUAUAGACUUUAUGCUCACUGCCUAAUUUCACAUAUCCAGGAGGUUGUUCGAUAAAUACCUCUUCUUGUAGCUCCCCAUGCAAGAAUGCUGAUUUCACGUCCAGUUGAAAAACAGGCCAUGAAUUUUGUGCUGCAAGAGCAAUAAUCAAUCUGACCGUUUCAAGUCUUGCAACGGGAGCAAAUACUUCUUUAUAAUCUACGCCGAACUCUUGCUUGUAGCCUUUGGGGACUAGGCGUGCCUUGUAUUUAUCAAUUUCACCAUUUUCCUUCAGUUUUGUCUUGUAAAACCACUUGACUCCUAUUGUCCUCUGCCCCAUUGGAAGUUCAGUCAACUCCCAAGUAUUAUUUUUUUCAAUGGAUACAAUUUCUUCGUCCAUGGCUUUUAGCCAUUCUUGUUCUUUGACAGCUUCUUUAAAAGUUGUAAGAUCACAUUCUAAAAACAAGGCAAAGUGUAUGAGUGGAUUCUCAAGAGUGUUAAAUCUUGUUACCUCAUAAUCUAACGUCCAUGCAGGCCUUCUUCUAUCACGUUGAGAACGUGAAUCUGUAGCUUCAACUUGUUCAUCAAGUUCAUUUGUUGUUGGUGGAGUUUUCUGCUGAGACUCUAUUUUGCGGCAGGUCAGGAGCAAAGACUGUUGAAGGCUGAAGUUACUGUGAAUUUUCUUCAAUUUCACCAUCGAAAUCUGCUAGAAUUUGCUGCCCAACAGAGCUGCAUCUCUACAUCCAUGUCUUCUCUUCAUCAAAAAUGACAUCACGACUAAUGACAAUUUUCUUGAUGAUGGGAUCAUAUAAUUUGUAGGCCUUUGAAUGAUCACUAGCACCAAGAAAAAUGCACUUUACACCUUUGUCAUCUAAUUUUCUUCCUUUCUCAUCUGGUAUGUGGACAUAUGCUAUACAUCCAAAUUCCCGAAAGUGAUCUACUGCCGGCUUACGUCCACUCCAUGCUUCUUCAGGAUUUAUAUUUUGAACAUCUAUUAUGGGGCUUCUGUUCAAAAUAUAAACACUUCAAACAACUGCUUCAGGUCAAAAAAUUUUGGGAAGACCACUCCUCUGCAAAAGGCUUCGUACCAUAUUAAGAAUUGUACGAUUUUUCCUCUCGCAUACACCAUUUUGCUGAGGUGUGUAGGCUGCUGUCAAUUGUCUUCUAAUUCCAUGAUUUUCACAGAAGCUUCCAAAUUCUUGAGAGUUGAACUCUCCACCACGAUCAGUACGCAAUAUUUUAAUUUGGCUGUAAGCUUCUCUUUCAACUAGUGCUUUAAACAUUUGAAAGGCUGUGAAAGCUUCCGAUUUUUCUUGCAAGAAAUAAACCCAGGUUUUUUGACUAAAAUCAUCAAUAAAUGAGAUAAAAUAUCGGUUACCUCCAUUUGAUGUUGGCUUGAUUGGCCCACAUAAGUUAGAAUGCACUAGCUCCAGCACUUUCUUUGCCCUCCAGGAUUUUCCUUUUGGAAAAUUAUCUCGAUGUUGCUUACUGAAAAUACACUCUUCGCAAAGCUGUGAAGGUUGCUCAAAUUGUGGAAGGCCUACCACCAUAUUUUUCUACUGCAAGGCCUUCAAUCCACCAAAACUAAGAUGCCUGUAAUGAAAGUGCCAUAACCAUGCCGUAUCUUUGAAAUUUGCAACAAAACAUGAGUGUGCAGUAUGGUGAAGAUACAAUGGAAACAUUCUAUUUGCCGUCAUUUUCACUUGAGCAAUUAAGCCUAAUUUUUCAUCGUGGAUUCGGAAAACUCCUUCCUUGAUAGAGAUCUCAUACCCCUUUUCUUGUAACUGGCCAACACUGAAAAGGUUAGUUUUCAGUUCAGGAACGAAUAGAACAUUUGAGAAAGAAUGAGAACUUUCCUUGGUUUGGAUUGCAACCUUUCCUUUCCCCAUGACAGAAACUGUGGAGUCAUCACCAAAUUUUACAGUAUUUCGAAAAGUUUCAUCCAAGUCAGAAAAAGCAGAUUUAUCCCCACACAUAUGAUUGUUGCAACCGGUAUCUAAGUACCAUAGAUUUUGGUGACCUUCCUCCUUUGUAUGACAUGCCAUAAGAAGGGAAAUUUCUUCUUCCUCAUUUUCUGCAAAGUUAGAUUUCUCGCCACGAUUCUUAUUUAAAUUAGUACGGCACUCGGAGCAGUAAUGAUCGUACUUCUGACAACAGAAGCAUUUAACAUCCGAUUUGUCUUUAGACUUUGGUUUAUGUCCUGUCGAAUUCUGACCAUCAUAAUCCUUUCCUUUUCCUUGAGAAUCACCAACCUUUUCUUCUAAUCUGUUCUGCCCAUUCUUGCCUUUCCAGCCUCCUUUACCCCCUCCAGUUGGUUUGAGAUUUGCUGCUGCCUGUAAUGCAUGUUCUUCCUUAUCCUGUCGGAUUACUUUCUGCUCAUGGACUAGUAAAGUGCUUUCCAAUUCAUCAAUCGAAAGUGUGUCAAUAUCCCUUGAUUCCUCAAUCGCACAAACAAUAUAGUUAAAUUUUGCCGUUAAAGAUCGAAGAAUCUUCUCAAUUAUGAUAACAUCCUCGAGCUGUUCGCCAUGAAUUCAUCUCUUAUUUGCGAUUGCCAUUGUCCUUGCAAAGUAUGCUGAGACCGACUCUCCCAUCUUCAUUCGUAGAGAUUCAAAUUCAACUCGAAGUGUCUGGAGGUGUACUUGCUUCGCCCUUGCUGUCCCUUGGUACUUCUUUUUCAAGGAAUCCCAAAUUUGUUUGGAGGAGUCUUUGUUAAGAAUUGUUUCCAAGAUUGAGCAAUCAAUAGCUUGGAACAAGUAAUUCUUUGCCUUGAGAUCCUUUAAUCGUUUCCCUUCAAGCACUAUUUUCUGAGCAUCCGUCAAAACUACACCGGCUGGUGGUUCAGUUAUUCUAGUUGAAACAACCUGCCAAUACUCCUUGGACCUUAAGAAACUCUCCAUCAACAUGCUCCAAUGGUCAUAGUGACCAUCAAAGCGGGGAAUUGCAGGUUGAACAAAAUUCUCAGAAGCCAUGAAUUUCUGCUGCUGCAACACGAGUGAAAAAAGAGCCAAGUAAGCUGUUGUUACUAACUCUGUCAAUCCCACUUUUCUAAUUCAAGCUCUGAUACCACUGUUAUAAGUGAAUAUGAAAUAGUUCACUCAAAGCAAGGAUACAUGGAUGAAAGUACUACACAUUUUAUUCACAAUGAGGUUGCCUUUUAUAGGCGUUACAUGAACAAACUUAACGAAAUAAUAGCAUCCAUUAUUCAACAAAAUAUUACAGCCACUUUCCAGUAACUAUAGCCUAAAGACUAGGUAAACACAAUCUUGCAAAUAACAUUACCAACAAACUUUCUAAAGACUAGGACCAUAAAAGCAACUUAUUGACACAAGGAAAUUCCAACAAUAAUUCAUUGAAUGAUUUGUCUUAAUUAUAUAUCAAUUUACUAAUGUAAUUUGACUACAUUGAGCUGGAUAACAUAUGAGAUUUAAUUAACCUUGAAAUGACUGUUAGACUUAUUAAAUCUCAUAGGCAUUGAUUUUACUGUAAUCUUAAUCUUGAGUUAGUUAUGAUUUCAUAAUUGUAAUUGUUAUUCCAUUUGAGUUACCAAUGGGCACGACACACAAUUAUGGUCAAGAUUACCCGGUAUCUUGGUGGGAGCAAUUAUGAGUAUUGGAGUUAUAGAUUAACAAUAUAGAAUUUGUAUGACGCAUCUCUUGAUGGGUUUUUGGCACUUAAUCAUAAAAUUCUCUGGCCAGAGUGUGUCAACAUAUUUAGUAUGUUGAAAAUGAUCAUUAGAGAAAACCAGUAAGUAUGAAAGAACAAGAUGUAAUUAAAUUGAUUGGACAGUUGAGAUAUCAAUUUAAUUAACGAUGUGGUACAAAGGAUUGAGUAGUAAAGAAAUCAGUGUGGCUUGGGACGAAUUAUUAUUCGAACAUACAAUUAUGGAGGUCAGUUCCAAUCUUAUAGUGGAGUAGAGUUGGAAUUAAAUAAUUAGGCUUAUUUAAUUACAGGCUUAAUUUUUGUAGCCACUAUUGUAUAUUCUCAAAUGAUCCCUGGGUUAGCUCAUUUAAUUGACUGCAUCGCUACUGGAUUAAUAAGUAAGAUAACUAACUAUUUAGGUUAAAAGCCUAAAUAUAUUAUUUAGUGGGAGACUCCAUUAAUAUGCUUGAGUGUAAGGGGCCUUAUGUUAUUUUACAAGGUGGACCCCUAUAACACAUGAACAAGUAACGUGACUUUUGUUUUAAUUAUUUUUUAAUUUAAAUAAAAUGGGAUUUAAUAGAAUUAAUAAAUAAAGAAAUAUUGAGCCUAGGGUUUCCACUAAAUAGAGAUAUAAAAAGGCUUAUUUUCUCAACAAAAAAAAAAUAGACAGAGGUCACAUUAUACAAAUAAGAGAAAAUGAUUUUCUCUCUAAUUUUGAGAGAAAAAUUUUCUCGUGCUAGUUGCUUUAGUAGUGAUAAAGGCGCCCACACGUCAAGUGUAGAUCAAACCUGAGUUAUAGCCUGAAAGAUUAUUUGGUGGCGGAUCGUGAUCUAACAGGAGUAGUGGGGACGGAUCGUGGUCUGGGAGCCUAAAUCACUUUAGUGGAAAAAGAAAAGAUUGUUCAUCUUCUCAAAUUUUCAAGGUACGAUUUCUAGAUUACAAAUUCUUAUAUAUUGUAUGAGAUCGAUCCUAAAAGUUUUUUUUAAAAAAAAACUGCUUUUUUCCACAACAAUAAUUAGCCACCGGUGUCUCGUCUGUCCAUGUGAGUUUUUACUUGUUUAAUUUGCUUGUGGGAAGCUUAUGUAAUCAAAGAACAAGUUGUGAUUGUGUUUUGUUGCGUUGCUAGUGGUUCAGUAAUUGGGACUACUUUGAUUAUGUUUUGGUAAUAGAUUUUACUAGUUUACUAGUGUUUCAGUAGGAUUUUUCUUUUUUUAAAUUAUUAACUUAUGCAUCUAUUGAAAUCUGAACUCAAAACUUAAGCCCCAAAGAAAUUGCUUGUUACCGUUGGAAUUAGACUUGACUUUCGUAGUUUAUUAAUCAACUUGCUUACUAGGUAGCCUUGCCGUAUGAUAUGGUUUGCUAUCUUAUGGGUAGUGAUGUUUCCCUUGCAAUACCCCUCGCAUCUGUGUAAGGACAUCCAUCUAAUUUUGUUGAUAUUUUUGGAAGUUAAACUUUCAUCCUUAAUUUGAAUGAUUGAAAGAUAAUAUAUAAUUUUAGCCUCGGUUGAUUCAAAAACGGUAGAUUUAAAAGAGAGAUUGAUUCAAAAAGAUUAAAUUAAACGUUCAAAAUAAUUUAUAAAAAAUGCAAGAUAUCCGCAAACUGUCUAAAAUACUAUCCUUUAAUCAAUAAUAUUUUAAAUAAGGAGAUUAUGGGUGGACCAAAAAUCCAUGUACCAAGCCCAAGCAAACGCGCAGAUUUAACAACCCGUUUGGAGCAGCGGCGUUACCAAAUUAUUUAUAGGUUUGGGUUCGGUUACAAAAACUCAACCACAAAAAUAAAUUUAUGUUCACUUAAAUUUCUAUAAAAAUCUUCUAAAACCCCUUUAUAAUUGUCUCCUUCUUUAAAAUUACCGUAUAGGACAAAAUUAUAUCUCAUUAAACCCACCGUAAACAAUUCUUUCACCGACAAUUUUUCUCCUGUACGUAUGUACUUCUGUUAUCUUAGAGUUUAUACGAAAAUUAUUGAAACCUCAAAAUACAACUACAGAAAAAUCUCAAAAGCCGGUAACAACCCUGUUAAAAAUCAAAAUAAUGAUCAUGUUAGAAGACCAUUCCCUGUCAAAUUCCAUUGAAAAUUGAGUGCAUAUAUGACUUAGGCAAAAUAGAGAAAAAAAAAUCAGUUUGAGCUUUAAAAUUGUUGUAAACUGGGUAGUCAAAGGAGUGCCAAUAGUCCAACUCAGUUCAUAUUCAUUUAAAUCUGAGAUGAAGAAAUAAACACCACAAAAUAAACUUAAAUGUUGGAAACUAAUUCUAACCCAACCUGAAUAGAUUUUUAUUGGAAUUUUUUUGGUUUAAGUUACUCAAUAGUUUUAGAGUGGAGCUUCUAACAUCCCAUUAAAACUCAUAAGAAACACUACUUAUUCAUUUUUAUAUCUCUUUUUUUAUGAAAUUACAAAAAAGUCCAUAGAAUUACAAUAGAGUUUUAAUUAAACUUCACUAUCAUUUUAGACAUACUUUUUCAUAAUAAAAUUAUUAUUAUUAAGUAAUUUAUUUCCUCAUUAUCACAAAAUUAUUUUUGACUUUAUCAAACAAAUAAGGUUAAAAAAAUAGUUAGGGGUUUAUGAUUUAUAAAGACAUUUUAGUUUAAUUAAAUUCUUAUUUUUUUCUUUUGGUAAUUUCGAAGAAUAUUAAAGGGGUGUGAAAAACAGUACUCAUAAUUGAAUUAGAUCAAAACUUUCUCAACCCAAAUACGUUUGGAUUUGAUUGGGUUAAUCCCAACAUUCACUCACCCCUAAAAUGGCUUUAUAUAUAGUCAUUAUUACGAAAAAUAUAAUCAUAGCGUCAACUCUUAAGUAAACUUUUUGGUUGAGAGAGGCGUAGAUCACUAAACAUGUAUUAGUAGUCAAAAUUAGAAGAGGAACUUUAUCUAGAUUACUACAUUUACCAAAUAAUAUUAUAAAAUGUAAAAGUUUUAAUGGGGUGUAUUAAACGGGGUGUACCCCAUCACUAUCUUAAGAAUGGUGAUUUUGAUCCCUUAUUAUAUCUCACAAGCCCCCCAUUUUUCAGUUAAUUCCAUUAAAAAUUUUAAACAAAUCUUUAUCUCUCAAUAUACCUUACCUAAUCUCUAAUUUACCUUUAUUUUAAUUUUUUUUCAUACACCCAUUGUAUAAAUUUUAUAAAAUCAUUUCUUAAAAAAAAAUCUCAUAAUCAUUGCAAUUUCUCAACUUUUUUUUUAAGGUUUUAUCCACCACUUAAGAUUUGAUAGUUCCACCAAGAAUUGGAGCAAAGAACCAUGCCGAGUCGGCCCUGAAUAACCUUAGUAUCGUGCUAAGCCUAUCAAGCCAAAGUUGAGUGAAGGAAUACAAGAAUUUGGCCGAGGGGUUUGACGUGAUAAAGAUAGAGAUUUUUUAUUAUUAUAAUUGAUUUGGAGCUAAAAAGGGGAUUCUUGAUUUCCUUUUGUGUGCAUCCCAAUCUUGUAUUCAAGUUUAUCUGUUCAUGGACCAGAAUGCAUUGCAUUUGGAAAGUGUUUGCAAUUGUACAGUGAUAUUACUUGGACAGUAAUUUGGCGUUGCAAUGCAUUUACAGAACGAAUGAAAAUUUGGAAUCGCGAUGAAAAAUGUUGUCAGGUAUCUAUCUGAGAAUGAAAGCACUCGUUGUCAGUCUCUAUGAGAUUGCAGUAUAAAAUUUUACAUUGUUCUUCAAUAUUUUGAAUAGAAUGCCUUACUUUGAAUGGAAUGGCUCAGUUUAAAAAGUUAGAAGAAAUUAGAGUUUAAGAAAUUAGAUUCGCUUAAUUAGUUAUUAAUAGAAAUUUUUAUGCCGGUGCACUUAAAAAUUAUUUAUUAUUUUAAGUUAUUUCACAUGAGGAUAAAAUAGGUAUUAACAUAAAAGUUAUUAGUGUGGGUUGAUAAGAUAUAAUGAGAGAUUUAAACAUCACCACUCUACUCAUGGAGAAGCUCCAAAAACGAUCUCAUUGGUCGAAAAAGGCCAGACCCAUUGAACGAGGACCCUUAAAAUUUGAUCCUAGCUUGACCCAUACGAUAGGUUGAAUAGGUUAGUCCUUUACACAAUCAAAAUAAACUUGUGAGUAGGGGUGGGAAAAUAACCCAAUCUGAUUCAACCAAAAAACUUGAGUUCAGAUCGGAUGUAGAUCAAUUUCUCAAUCCAAUCAGGUAGGAAUUUAUCCAAAUCGAUCCGAAAAUACACACAAUUAAAUAAUAUUAUUUGAAAUUUUUUAUCCAUUCCAAAUAUAAUUCGGAUUCAAUUAUAAGUCUGGAUUACUUUUUUCCUAACUCGAUUAACCGGAACUCGAACCCGAUCCGAAUAUGAAUUUGCCGACCCCUACUUAUUAUCGUUUACACAUUACAUUUGUGACUAUCAUUUUCAAACUAAAAUUUUCUCUUGAUGCGAAUAAGAAAAAAAAAACAUAGAGUAAAUUUCGUUUAAAAAAUGAGGCACCAUAGAUGGACCGUACAUAUGGUACAGCUAGCUGAAAUGGAAGUAGCCUUGUGAGAGCUGCCUAUUUUGGAUUCAGGAUGAAAUAUUUAAGAAGCAAGCAAGUAAAUAAAUCAAGAAAAUAAUAUUCGGCCACCCUCAUUCCAGAGGGAAGCCAAAAACGACAUACUUAUGUGCCGUUUUAAAGUUUUAGAUUUGAAAAUUAAAAAUAAAUUUUACCAUUAAAAAAUAAUAAAAGCUAAUCAAAAGAAAUUAAAAAAUCUAAAUUCUUAUCCCUCCCCUCGCUCACCCCCUCUCUUUGACUCACCCCGCUCUGUCCCUCUCACUCUCACCCACGAAGCUCGUUCCCCUCUCACUCACCCACAAGCUCGCUGUCAAUAUUUUUCUCAGAUCUCAGUUAACGCAUCAUCAAAACCGCAACCAUGACGCUAGGCUGAGGAGGAUCCAGUGUCGUGGGUCAGUUUCUUGUCUGAUCUUGCCAUUUUUUGUUCAAUCUAUUUAUGCCCUGGAUUGAUUUAUUCUCUUUGUUUUGUUGUAUUUCUUGUUCUGGCAAAAUCUAUUUGUCUAAGUCACAUACAGGUCGUAGCCGUUGCUUUUAUUAUUUUAUAAUUUUUUUGGGUGGUUUUGUGUAGUCUUAUGAACUUUCUUUUUGGCAUAAAUGCAUCUGGGUUGCUACGUGCCUACGUUUGAUUGUUAAUUAGACCUGAUCCGUAAUUCUAUGCGUUUUUUGCAUUUUUGAUUGCGAAAUUAAGUUAAUUUAGUUUAAUAUGAUUACAUUAUUGUCACCUAAAAUUAGUAUAUUUAAUCAGUUAAAGAAAUUCUUUUGACACGGACUUUAUGAAACCUUGUAUGUGAUACUUUUCUUAGCAAAGUACUUGGAUUUUGGAUUUUUUUUAUUUAUAUUUUAAAAUUACUAGAAAUAAGUUAUUUGAAGUGUGAUACUUUGUGAAAUGUUAAAGCUUACGGUUUGGUUGUAAUUCUGUUUUUGCUUAUAUAUGUUUACGUCUGUUGGCAUUCUUUUUUUUUUGGUAUUUGAAGUUUGCAUAUAUGGUGUGUAUUAAGAUUUUCAAGUGGUUCUUCAAACAUAUUCUGGGUAGUUUGAUAUAUCACAUGUUUCUGUGAAUUCUUUAGUUGAGGCAAUUGUCUUUGCUCUUAGCUGCAUUAUUAAGUUCUUUACCACAUAGAAUUCCCUAAUUUUCUUCUGCUAAUCCAGUAAUUGCAGCUUCAUUGUAAGGUUCUUCAUUUUCUAUAAAGCAUAUAUUGCUUCAUCAACCCUCCUCUAAAUAUGUUGCAAAUAUGUAUUUGAUUCAUUCCAAUCUUACAGAUCAUUGUUGGAUGCCGAAUCAGCAUACAAUGCUUACAAUUGUGAGAGAAAAAUGAACAACCAAUUGCCCGGUUCAGUUACGCUUUAAGCUAGGAAGAUUGACGUAGAAACAUUUGUUUAAGUGUAAUUACCUAGGUAGGUGAAAAAGGUCCAAAAUCGUCAAGCACACUGUCAACUAAGGCUGGUCGGCGACGUGAACGGCGUGAUAGCGAUGUCGGUGAUGGGCUGGUCGGCGAUGGGCGUGGCGUGACAACAAGUUUCGUGGGUGAGUAACAGCCUGAGAGAAAUAGCUCGCAAGUGGGUGAGUGAGAGAGGCAGAUCGGGUGAGUGAGAGAGACAGAGCUGGUGAGUGAGAGGGAAGGUGAAUGAGAGAGAGACAGAGCAAGCGAGUGAGAGGGACGGGUAAGAAUUUUGGAUUUUUCAAAUUCUUUAGAUUUAAUUUUAAUAUUUUUCAAUGGUAAAAUCUAUUUUUAAUUUUCAAAUUUAAAACUUCGAAACGGCAGAGGAAGCAUGCGUUUCUGGCUUCGUUAUGGUCUCGUGGUGGCCGAAUAUCAUUGCCCAGUAAAUCAUGAUUCUUCGAGAGACCGAGCAACCGCUUGUGAAAACCCUUAGACUAAGUCCUAACAACCCUUAGACUAAGUCCAGCACUUACCAUACUGUGUCCUAUAUAAUUGAAACGUAAAUAGAUUAUUGACAGCAAAACAAAAUAAUAACUUAAUAUAAUGACGUGUAACAAUGUACAUUUUUUAUUUUUUAUUUUUGUCAAUUAUGCGUUAGUGUUUGAUGCCCUUGUUUCAAAAAUAAAUAAAAAUUGAUGCACAUGUACCGCAAUGUCAGUUCUGAGGGAGCUGUGACGAGUAAUGAUUAAACUAUUAAUUAUUAAAUAUAGCAAGUAAAUUUUGAUGCCAUCAUUUUAAAAAAUUAAUAAAAAAAUAAACAAAUUGAUAUUCAUGUGCAUGUCUAAUGCUUUAUUUAUAUAAGAUUAAAAUUCUCUUUUCAUCUGGGUUUUUAUUUGAGCAAAUACAAUUAUUGGUAGUUAACAUAUAGAAGCACAAUUAAAAAAUAUAUCUUGACCGUGCUCACGUACACGUUGAAAGAAUUAAAGAAAAGGAGCCCUCUAAAUUCUGUUUGUUUGAUAAGAAAAUGAAUAGAAAAUUUUAUUGAUUCAAAGAGAAAAUUUGUUCGCUGGAUUUUUAUUUGUAAGUCUUACUAAUGAAUUGAGAGUACAUUGAUAAAUAUAGCUGUGUGUGGAAACUUCUACUGCAACAAACUCGUGUCCACAUUUCCAGCGCGCUAACUAUAACAACCUACUGACUAAGUUUGGAAGGAAAUAACAACUUGUUUAACUGUUUUACAACUUGGCUGCUGACUCAUCAUUACACUGAAAACCCCAGCUGACUUCAACUGCUGACUUAGCAUUUAUUCUUAACAGAAAGAUAAUGAUAAAAAGUUGCUUCAGAAUUCGUGGGCACGCACGCACGCUACUUGUAGAACUCCAUAACCCAUAAGUUGUAAAAAAAGCAUACAAAUCUGAUGCCACUAAAUCCAGCUUCAGUAGCCAAGGUCGUGAAUUCAUGCUUUGUUCGCUCCUUUCCUCCCGGAUAUUGAGUCAUCACCAGCACAUCAGCUAGGGAAUUUAUUUUUGAAUGAGUGCUAGUCUCAGGCAGUUCUGGAAGUACUGACUCCACAACAAUUACCUUCCCUCCUUCGGGAAUACUUUUGUAGCAAUUCUUCAAUAACUUCAAGCAAUGUUCAUCGCUCCAAUCGUGCAGUAUCCACUACAAAAUUUGAAAUAUUAUGAAAUUUGUUCAGGGAUCGAACACCUAAUACCUGCAAAUUAAAUUCAAAUGAAACUUACCUUGAUCAAAAUGGCGUCGCCAUUUGGAACACUUUGAAACAUGUCACCCCCUACAUGCUUAACACCUGUACUACAUACAAUUUAGUUUCCGCUGUUAGGAUCUAGCGGUAUGGGCAGAGAAUUCAUAAGAUAACUGAUAUUCGGGAAAAGAAUUUAGAUAAAAUUCUGACAAAAACAACAAUAAAUCAACCCUGAUUUUUUCACUAAAUUGCAAUAUAUGGUAAAUCGAGUCUGUUUUGAUGUUUUUUGUCAGUUUUUUCUUGUUGCAACAUUUUGUGCUUUUACCCUUUUUUUCCAAAUGAUAAUGUAUAUUUCUUCACAACAAUGACAUUAAAAAAAAAAAAAAAGAGAUUGGAAUCAAUUUUCUAAUUAACUUCCUACUUUCUCCAGGAUUUAUAUUGGGAUGAUUAAUUAAAGAAAGCUACUUAAAAGCCACUUGACCAAGUCCCUAACAUUAUUAUAAAGAUAAUUGAUAGUUCAUACCAGGAUACUCAGGGGAAUGCUGUAUAACGUGAGGCAAGUCGAAAUUGAUGCCCUUAAUGUGGGGGUACUUGGAAGUAAUUGCUUUAAGGGUAUUGCCAAGGGAACCGCCAACAUCAACCAAUUGCUUUAUGUGCUCGAAACCCUUGUAAGCCUCAAGGAUUUUCUGAAGGACCAAAGUGGUAUGGUUGAACAUCGCUGUGCUGAAAACUUCAUUGAACCUGGGGUCCAAUCCUAGGUACUCGAAAGCGUUCGUUCCGUGGACUCGGUCAAAUGGAACUCCUCCUUCAAUAAUAGUUUCUUUCAGUUGGGACCUACAUGACCAGUUAAUCAAUCAUCAUUUUGCGUUUGGCCUAACUUUUUUAGAUACAAUGGUUAGUGGUUGAUAAAAACAAAAAUAAUAAAGGGAUAUAUCUAUAUUAUAUAUAUGACGAUGUAUACGUUUCAUAAAAUCCCUUAACAGAUAAGAUGAGUAGAGGAUUCAUUGCCAUUAAAAAUUUUAUGUUAUAUCUUAACUCAUAACUGUCACAUACAUCUUUAUGAAAACGAGAAAAAAAAUGGAAAUCAGGGUAAUAUUAUCAUACGGGUGGGUUGCUAAAUUUUAGCAACGUCACAAAUUAGGAGAUAUGUAGUUUGUAGGACUUUUACAUAUAGCUAGGUCCUGCUGUUAUUUUUUUUUCCUUAAAAGAUUUUAUUUCUAAUUCUCUCCAGGCAAGUGAUCAUACCACCCCAAGUGAAUCUUUUAAUUCAGCGAAAUUCUACGGACGAAGUUAAGAAAUUUUUGUUCUUCCAGGAUUUCUGUCAGAACUGAAGAAACUACUCAAUUAAUGCUUUCAAUAGAACAAAAUACAUUGUCUUUUUCAUAUAUGUUACACUCAUGUCCUCUAUAAUUAAAAGACAAAAAUACCUCGGAAAGAAAACAUAUUUCCUCAUAUCUUCUGUAGCUGCAAGUAAUUAAAACACCACCAACAAUAGUUUACUCGUUCUUGAAUUGAUAUGACUAGAAGUAUAUUUAAUAAUGAUUUAUAAGUUUGACAGUGAACCUUCUACAUUUUAUCGCUCACUUAUAUGAACACGUUUGUUUUUCUUUUUCGAUGACCUGAGUUUAGAAAUAAGUUGAGUAUGAAGUCGAUUAUGAUUUAAGACUUGGGAGAAAUGCAUGAUUGGAUCUGAAGGCGUAGAAAGAGAAUUGUAUUAUAAACCCAUGUAUUUUUACCCUAAUUAACUUAAAAAAAGAAAAAUUCAGAGGAUUAAAAUGAUAGAGUGGACAAACCAGCUGUCGAGAAAGGCCUCGUCCUGAAUUAAGGCCAAUACAGGGCCUAAUGAGACACCAUCUUGAUUAGGCACAAAGUAUUUGGAAACAUCAUUCAAACCGUAUAGCCUGUGAGAACCAUCUACAUCAUCAAGUGAGCAUUCAACAAUACCAUAGCUAGCCAGAAGCCCGAGUAUCCGGUCCAGCAUCGUGGGUGCGUCUUUGUUCUUGGUGGCGGGCAACUGAGCGGCAAUCUCUGAAGCUGAGAGCUUUGCUCCAGGACCAGCUUUGGCUAUGAUCUCCAAAAGUCCCAGCUUAAUUACUGCUUUCAUGGUCAUGUGGAGCACUGAACCCGUCAUCACUUCACAGGCAUAUGCAAAGUUUUCGUCUCUCGCUUCAUUAGCCAUAUUUUCUUGAAUUUCCUUAUCUGUUUUCCUCAGAAACAAUGCAUUUAUAGUGGAGUGAAGAGUUACUGUGUGUCCAAGAUUUUAGGUUGUAAAAUCUGACCCGGAAGUUUUCGAUAGUUCAAGUUAGACUAAAUGACAGAAAUUAAAUUAUGAUAAAACUUUUUCAAAGAUAAAAGUAUGGAAGCUUGGCAACUCUAAAAAAAUUAUAUUAUUAGGGAUAAAAACUUUAUUUAAUUUGCAUAAAUUGAAAUGACAUAUUGCAUGAUUCUACAUGUCUCAUAUUAUUUCUUUUAUUUUGUCGACUUUAAAAAAUCUGAACGGCCAACCUCUUCGAAAAUGUAUUCAAUAGUUUUUUAUAGCGAUGUAUUGUUCAAUAGUUUUUUAUAGCGAUGUAUUGGAAGUAAUUUAAAAGAUCAAACAUUUCAAAUGAGAUCCUAUUAUCAAACAAGAGGAAUUCUAAAAUAUAUCGGAGGUAUUAUGUCAGUUACACAAUAAGUCAAUAAUAUUAUGGAAUGUGUGCAUUUAUUUGAAAAAUUACCAUGCAAGUGGUAGUUAUAUUAAAUCCAAUUACACACGUCACAUAUACAUUGAUUAGUUGUAUUACCCUGAUUUAUUCUAAACUUUAUCGUCAAACAGAGAGCUUUUAGUUGAAAUGAGGAACUAUAAUUAUUUCCUGACAUAAGUUUUUCCUUUGAUUAUAAUAUAUUAACAUUUCAUGUGAGGAAAUAUUAGUUUAACAUUUUUUUUCCUAUUAUAACAUGUUCUAAAAAAGGAUUAUAAUUCUUAAUUAGUUUUUUUUCUCAUCUAGUCUUUUUUGCCAUGCAAAAUUGGAUUGGAUUAAUUAUUAGAAUAAGACUGAAUUAGAUUACUUGGAUAAAGUCGGAUUAUAUUAUACUGUCUUAUGUUUGGUGUAGUACGAGAUUGAACUAUGUUAAAUUAUAUUUCAAUGAUAUAAAUAGCAUUUAAGUUGAUAUUUGAAUAUGAACAUCAAUUAUUCAUGAAAUUUUAUAACAAUAAGGAAACAAAUUUAAAAAGCAAUUAAUUAAAAAAUUAAGUAUAUUGUAAAUAAGUUAUUAGGUAGUCAUAAUAUAAUCAACAAAUGAAAAAGAAAUAAAAAUUUUAAAUAUUUAAUUAAUUUUUAUCAAAUAUUUAAAAAAAUUAUAUAAAAUCAAUUAAUUCUGGUAUUUUUAAUUUUCAUGAUUAUUUUUUAAAUUAUAUUAGUGAUUAUUAAAUUUUAUACAAUCACUAAUGCAAUAAGUUAUUAAAUGGUUAAUUUAUAAAUUAUUAAAUAUACAAGUAAUGAAAAUUUAAUCUCAAGAGUUAUUAGAAGUAAAAUUGUCAAUUUAAUUAGAUCAUAUAUAAUAAAUAAAAAUCUUAAGUAAAUCAAAUAAAAAUCUUAAGUAAAUCAUAAAUAAAAAUUAAUUGAUUAAUUAAUAUUAACAGAUAAUUUUUCUUUAAUUUUAUCCAACUAAACAAAUAUGUAAAUUAGGAUUACUAAUCCGAUGAUUUUAGGAUUAAAUUCAAAUUUAGUCUCCUUUAAUUCAAUUCAAAUAAAUUUAUCAAAUAUAAAAUAAAUAUUUAAUUUUAGAAUUAGUGCAAUUCAAUACUUAAUCCUACAUCCAAACAUGGUCUCAGUUGUCAUAAAGGUAACUUAGAAAGAGUCGUAACCGAAAACAUUUAUAAAGCCAUUUUUUCUUUUAAUUUUCAGGUUCAUAUAUAUAUAUAUAUAUAUAUAUAUAUAUAAUCUUUCUGCCAAUGAAGCGCCUGCCAAUCAGAGAAGUUAAUUUUUUAAUAUAUUUUUCGACGCCGGCCCCGCCCCUGAUCUUAUAGCUUUGACUCCAGAUGAAUGAGGCUUUUCAUUCAUGUUAUUCUUUGAAAGAUCGUGAUUCCAAAGGCUGCUGACAAAAGAAGAUUCUUGAGGCUGCCAAUCAUGGCCAUCGCUGCAUAAAUAUAUAUAUAUUAAAUCAAACAGGAGUGCGGUUACUUUAUACGUACAACUUGGGUUCUUGCCUUGCUGCCGUCAUGGAGAAUUAAUGCCACUGGUCAACGGUGAAUCAAUGGCCAUCGGGCACCAAAUUCAUGACCAAUCAAUGGCCAACAAGCACCAAAUUAAUGCCAAGCACACCAACAACCACCGAUUAAAUGGCAAGUUUAGUGUUUUAAAGUUUAGAAUAUGGAGAAGGACUUGCUACUGUAUCCAGGUAUUAAAUCAUCAAAAACCAAUUUGGUUUGGACUCUUCAAUUUCAAUUUGACUUCUACACCAACACCACACAACAACUCAACAACCGAAUCACUCGUCCUAAUAGCAUAGCAAUCCAGUCGUCGGUUGCCCGCACGUGAGAGACUAUUUUCUUAUUCGUGCUCGGAAUUGUUGAAUUAAUUUUACAAUUCUCUUGUACCAAUUUUCAUCAUAUAUGCUCCCUCAAGAAGUGAAGAUCGAUGUCGGAAUCACUUUAAUUUAGUUUCAAUUACAUGAUGUUUGGGAUCUUCUUAUACCAAUUUCGGUCUACAAUUGCCUCAAGUAUCUAUGUCCGUCAAAUCUUAUUUGUAUUAAAGCAACCGCUUAAACCGUUAACCUGUUUGAUUUAAAAAACAAAUAUUUGGAGCUGUUAGAUUGAACUCGUGUAAAUUAGGAUUACUAAUCCGAUAAUUUUAAAAUUAAAUUCAAAUUUAGUUUCCUUUAAUUCAAUUCAAGUAAAUUUAUUAAAUAUGAAAUAAAUAUUUAAUCUUAAAAUUAAUCCAAUUGGAUACUUAAUCCUGACAUCCAGACAAGGCCUUAUUUGCCUUAAAGGCAACUUAAAAAGAGGUGUGACCAAAAACGUUUAUAAAGCCAUUUUGUUUUUCGGGUUCAUAUAUAUAUAUAUAUAUAUAUAUAUAUAAUCUUUAUGCCAAUGAAGCGCCCAUCAAUCAGCGAAGUUAAUUUUUUUUUAAUUUCUUUUUCGACUGUGAUUCCGGAGGCUGCUGUCAAGACAAGAUUCCAGAGGAUGCUGAUAAGACAAAUUCAAAUUGACCUUUUUAAUAAUUAUUAUCUUUUCUAAGGUUUAAAAUUUUAUGUGUAACGUACAGCUAAUGUGAUGUAAGUUUUACCUGAUGUAUGAGUUGAUGAACCAUCAUGGUGAAAUCAAAAUACAAAAAUAAUAGAGGUCAAUAACGGCAUUCAAAAGAAAAGAAAAAUUAAAACACAAAGAAAAUAAGGCCGUUGGAUUCGUUUUUUCAAUUUUUUUUCUGAAUAUUAAUACGUUACAAUGAAAGAACUUGCUAAUAUUUUCCAUAUUGAUCAGGAUAAAAAGAUUGUUGAUACAAUCAUACGUCAAUUUUGUAAUAUUAUAGUACAAUUCAAAAGUUUUAUUUUAUUUUAAAAUAUAUUUAUCCUACAUAUUUAUAAAAGAUAUUGUAAAAGAAUUAAAUUAAUUAAGAUUAAAUCUUCCUGCAAUCAUACUUGUUCAAGCUUCAAGUGUUCUCUACAUUCACUAAAUUUUAUAAAAGUAUCUUCUUACUUUUUCUACUCUAUAGCCUUUCUCUUGUGAUGGAAAAUAAAUUCUUAACAAGCAUAGACUUGGAUAGGCUAGAAACCCUUUUUAUAACAAUAUUUCAUAACUUAGAAGACUUUACACUUCCUCCAUCAAAGAAGUGAAUUUAAUAACCUUUAGCACUUCGAUUAUGAAAAUGAUUAGUAAACUAUAAUGCUAUCCCUUGAAAUAAAUAAGUAGGUUAUUAAUAUAAGUUUAUCUAUUUAUUUAAAAAAAAUCACUUAUCAUGUGGACUAUAUAAUGAAACUUUGUGGAGAUAUAUCUACCCACAUUUAACUAUAUAAUGAGAUAUGAAAUUAGAGGUCCAAGGAGUAGUACUCAAAUCUACAACCUCAAAAGUUGAGGUCGUGGCAGGCAAAAGAAAAAGGAGAACCACGUGUUGCUGGAAAAGGAACUUACAUGAGUAACUGCAAAUUAAGCAAACACUAAAUUUUUCCCUCUUUAUAUGAUAAAAUCGGAAUGUGUAUAAAAAAUAAACAAGCAAAAAAUAAAACCAACACAAUUGAAAACAAUAAAUCAACCAUAAGAGAUACAAAUUAUUUUAUGUGGAAAACUCAAAUCGAGAAAAAACCACAGGACCAUACAGGGGCGGAUGCAUCAUAAGACCAGUGGGGACUUGAGCCCCCACUAGGCAAAAAAAAAAUUCUAAAAUUGAAAGAGAAAAAUAUUUUCGUUUUCUAAUUAACCCCCAUUAAUUUAUUAAAAUAGUCACUAUAAAUUAUAAAACCCUAUAAAAUUUAAACUUUAACUUUUAAAAAUUAUAAAAACUUAUAUUUUAAUUAAAAAUAAUAAUAGCCCACCACCCAAAAUAUUUUAUAUUCUUAAAAAUAGGAUUAAUUCUUCAAGUUUCUAUAAUAAUAGUAGAGCGAACGUUUUCAGUAAUGAAACUCAUGAAGAAUCAUCUUUGGAAUCGGAUGGGAUAAAUGAUAGUUUUGUUGUUUAUAUAGAAAACAAUAAAUUUAAUAAUAUUGAUAAUGAGUUUAUUGCAUAACAUUUUUAAAAUAUGAAAAUGCAUAGAGAAUAAUUAUAAAUGUAUUAGCAAAUAAUUUAUAUAUUCAAAAUUUUAGUUUUUCAUAUUUUACUACUAUCUAAUUUAGCCCCCAGUAAAUUAUUUUUCUAGAUCCGCCACUGGGACCAUAGUCCAAUAUAACCUUCCAUUAUAUUAAUAAUGGGAUUACUACACAAAUUCUUCUCUAAAUAAUACUAGAGGCAAACAAUAUCAAGAAUCUCAACAAUCUUGCUCAUAGUAAUAGUCUAAUAUUUUUCAUUCUAACAAGUGGGUAUCUUAGAUAACAACCAAUGAGAGAAUGAAAUAAAAAUCAAGACCAGUAAGAAUGUAGAGGGCGAUGCCAGAAAUUGCCUUCCAAAUUUGGGAGAUUAAGUUUGCCUUUCGAUCGUCCAUUCAAAGAUUAAAAUCCUUACCCCCAAAUUGAGUUGGCCAUUGUCUUCUUUUUCUCUCUCAUCUUUUCUAUGUUUUUAAGGCUGCUGCUUCACUUGUCUACUUUUUCUUUUAUAGCCAGGUGAUUUUCAAAGCCAAAUUUGAUGGCAAUUUUCAAUUAGCCAUAACAUAUUUCCUUUAAUUUCUUAAACACCCAAACUAAUGGAAACUUUGGUUUGGGCCACCCAAAUGAGAUGGAUUCAACAAAUCUUCCCAUCAGAUCAUAUGGGGGGCACUACCAAGCCCGUUCUCUACUUACAGUCUUUCAGCUUCUCCUUGGGCAACGACUUUGUCAUCAUAUCUGACACAUUCUUCAUGAAUAUAGUCAGGCUACAACUAUUUCUUUUCAAGCACGUCUUGUAUUCAUUGAUAUCUCACCUUAUAUGCUUGAAUUUCGAAUGGUAUGUUAAAUUCAUUGCCAAGUGAGAGCACUUUGAUUAUCACAGUACACGACAUAGCUAUUUUGUUUCACAUCCAGCUCUUGUAAGAAAUUCUUCACCACAAAGGGUUUUAGUGAUUGCAAUAUACUCUGCUUCUAUGGUGGGGACAACAACACGAAGUUUGAAAUCCUCUUAGACUACCCCCUGCAAAGGUAAGCAAAUAUCCUGAUAGGAAUUUUCUAGGAUCAACAUCUCUUGCCAUAUAUGUUGUACACUUAUAACACAACUUGUCACCAUUAAAACAUAAACAUGUCUUGGAAGUGUUCUUUGCCUGUACUAUAAAGAAACUGACUGAGUACACCGACUGCAUGGGCAAUAUUUGGUACAAGCCAUGGCGUACAUCAGUCUGCAAAGUGUUGAAGCAUAAAAUAGUCCUUUCAUCUGCUGCUUCUCUUUCUCGCUUGUAGGAAAAUGCUUGGAACUAAACCUAAAAUGGCCCGCAAGUGGAGAACAAACAUAUUUUGCCUUGCUCAUGUUAAUUCUUUCAAGAGCACUUUCAAUAAAUGCUUCUUGAGAUAACCAUAACUUGCCAAUUUUUCUGUCAUAGGAAAUCGUCAUGCCAAGAAUGUAUUUGUCGAUCCUUGGUCUUUUAUUAUAAAUGACUUGCUAAGCUUUUUCUUUAGAUUAUCAAUCUUACUAGCAUCAUGGUCAACAAUCAACAUAUCAUCCACAUAAAGCAAAAGAAUGAUAAAAUUAUUAUCACCAAGCUUCUUUACAAAAAGACAAUGGUCAGACAUAAUCUUGCUAAAACCAUGAUUCUCAAUAAAAAAAUCAAACUUUUUGUAAUAUAGUCUUGGUGCCUAUUUCAGUCAAUACAAACUUUUCUUCAACUUGCAUACACUUUCUUUGUUGCCUUUAACAUUGAAUCAUUCAGAUUGCUCCAUGAAUAUCUCCUCCUUUUAAGUCACCAUGCAAGAAACGCAUUCUCAUAUCCUAGAGACUUUCUAUCCAUCAACAUCCAAGAUUUAUCCAUAUUUAGACUAUUAACUUUCCUACAAAUGCAUCACAUUUCAUUUGUUCAGUUUUAUUAAUAUUGGAGUUUGAUAUUGUUUCCAACUAUAAGAACAACUAUUAAAGUUACAAAAUCAACAAGAAAACAGCAGUUAAAAUACAAUAAAAAAUAACACUUAACAGCAAGAGAAAACCUAUAUCUUCAUCAUGACUAAUUAUAACACUAAUAUUAUAAGCCAUAUACCAUAAAUCAUGGAAAGAGCAAAUAAUAUAAUUUUCAAAAAAUAGAGAAAUAGAAAAAAAUAGAAGUACCUUUUGCUAUUCGUUCCAAGAAUCGCGGAGCAGGUAACAACUUAAGAGACUAAAUCACGACUAAAAAUAGAGAAGAAUAGAAGCAAGACUUGUUUUUAGAUUUCUACUGAAAAAGACAAAAUUAUUGAAAUAAAACUUGUCCACGACAAUAAACUAGCUAGCUAUUGAAAUGAUUUAAACAAUCCAUAAAUAAAGUAUUAAAUUAAGUAUGCAAAUGUCACAUGUAGCAAAACAACAUAUGCAAUAUGAUGAAAUUUCAACAGCAAAAUUGGGUGUUAAAACCGUUAAAUAAAAUCCAUUUUUCCAUUAGAGAAAUCUAAAUUUUGAGAAUUUUGGUUUAGCUUGCUUUGGUCAAACUCAGUCACUCUGCACAGUGACAAAGAAAAAGAAGCAGUUGAAACAAAAUGAGAGUGACAUUGCAUAGACUUGAUAGUGAAAUGUCAUUUUCUUGAUGCUAAUUUAUUCCGUUUCUAUUUGGAAUGAUUGAUACAAGCGGAAAGGUGUUAAAGAAUUGCUUAAAAUACUUUAUAGGGGCAAAGAGCAAUUGCAGCAGUUUAGCCAUGUCAAUAAGUAAGAACUUGACCAGUAUGUAAAGUUCACAAAGUAGCUAGAAGAACUCCCGAGAAGGCAUUAGUAGAAUGUAGCCACUAUAAAAAUUUCCACAAACAAAUUAAUUUAUAAAAAAGCAGUGGAUAAGGAGUUAAGCAUACAUUAAUUUGUUUUUGGAACAUACAGCGAAAUUUCCAUAUUGGCUACUAUUCCACUAAUGGUUUCUUUCCACAAUUCCCAAUAUUAAGAUCUAUUGAAAACUAAGCAUACAUUAAAUUGCUUGUGGAAAUUUACAUAAGUCAAUAUAACAGCAGUUGAACUGGAUGCAGUUUGGGUGGAGAAAAAUAGUUUCUGUUCCUAAUUCCCAUUAUUAUGUUCUAUUGAAAAUUAAACAUACAUUAAUUUGUUUCUGGAAAUUUACAUAAGUCAAUAUAAUAGUAGCUGAACUGGAUGCAGUUUGGGUGGAGAAGUAGUGAGCGCUGGUUUUGGUGGAGAUGUUGGAAUUAAAGAGGUACUAAAUAACUACAACUUUAAAUCAAAAGAAAGGUUUGUGCUAAUAUUUGCCAUGCAUAACUUCAACUUUAAAUCAAACUAAUGCUUACAAAUGGCAUGCAUCCAUAUCCACCACGUCGCAUACUACAUCACUCUUAUAAAUCUUUCUAAUGGAGAAAGCAACACGACAUUAUUCGCAUUUUUGUCCCUUUCUUAAUCUACUAUAUUUUGUAAGGUGCUGGAUAUUUUUCUGUUGAAAGUCCUAUCACAUCGAUUAGCGCCUUUAAAAUUAUGUUCUCGCUAUUGUUGAUAUCAAUUAUCACAUUGCACACCUUAUCUUUGAUGGUGCCACGUGUUCUGAAAUCUUACUGCACUAAUUAUCCUCUUCAAAUCUUGGUGCUAAUAAAAUCUUCUACAUAGUGUAAUUCAACAUCUCUCCUUCAUGUACCUCUAACUCUAAAGCUUCUUCAUCAUCCUCAUCCUCAACAUUAUUCAUCUCUGCUUAGCCAUAGCGUUUAUUUUCUCUCUUUCAAAUAUCAAAUAAUGGUUAAUAUUUUCUUCAGGAUUAUCUUUUCUUUCUUGCUUGUGAUGCUGCUGCUGCUGCUGCUCAUGAAUGAUAAAGUGGCGCUAGGGCAAGAUGGGGAUCCCGUGGGAUCAACACAAGGAGGAGGAGGAAGAGAAAUGGUGCCUGCCUUGUUCAUUUUUGGAGAUUCACUUAUCGAUAAUGGCAACAAUAACAAUCUUCCUUCUUUUGCCAAAGCAAAUUAUUACCCCUAUGGUAUCGAUUUCAAUGGUGGCCCAACUGGCCGCUUUUCUAGCGGCUACACCAUGGUCGAUGAAAUUGGUAACUCUCUUUAUCUAUGCAUUUGAUUUAUAUUUUUAUAAUUUUUUUUCCUUUUCAAAAUCCUGAAGGUACAUGAAAAUUUAUAUACACCAUGAUUGCAUGCAAUGCAGGGUAUUUUAAUUGCUGAUCUGACAAAUUAUUAUGAUUACUUCUUUGCUAGCUAAAAAAAAGCAUAAAACAGAUGUCAUUUUUAGAUUUUUCUCCUUUGUAAAUUUGUGUCACACUCUUGAGCAUAGUUAGAAAUAUCUGUGAAGUGAGUUUCAUAGUCAUGGCUUCAAUGACACAAAUCCAAAUUCAUUACAAUUAAUUAAUUGAUUUCCUACUUCUAUCCCUUUUAAAAAAAAUAACAAAAUAAAAGUACUUGUUUAGUUAUCUAUUUGGGGAGGGGGGGGGGGGGGGGGAAGGAAAGACUAUUGCCGUUUAUUGCUCUGCCCCUACCUCUAUAUGUCUCUUUGGGAGGGCUCGCACUGUCCCAUAAUAUUUAUUUCUAAACAAUCACAGUCAUUAUCUUAAAUCAAUAAAAAUAACAGAAUUUUUUCUUUUAUUUUUUACAUUUAUUAUAUCUACACCCACUUAUACCUAACUUGUAUUAAUCCGCAAGUACGAUCUGUUUGGGGAUAAAUUCACCAUAUCUGGUAGGCAUGUCUUAUUAAUGGCUAAAAGCUUCCAUAUGCAUAACCUCUUUAAAUUGUGUCCCCUUUCAAAGAAAAUUUUCUUUUUUGUCCAUUAGCUUUUAUUUACUCUUCACAAAUAUUUUUAAUGUCAUAUUAACCAAAUCUUGUAAAUUCAUCCAUUCAGCUGAACUACUGGGACUUCCUCUGAUUCCUGCAUACUCUGAGGCUUCCGGUGCACAAGUGCUUCACGGAGUCAACUAUGCUUCUGCUGCUGCUGGAAUCCUCGACAUCACCGGAAGAAACUUCGUAAGGACUCAUAUAUCUAAUUCAAACGAACCAGGAUUCCCUUUUGAUCUGAAUUUUAAUUAGAGGAUUCUAUAUCUAACACGAGAUCCGAUCAUUAGUAGAAAAUGUUUGCUGCAUGGUCAGGUAGGUCGCAUACCGUUUGAUCAACAAAUAAGGAAUUUUCAGAACACACUUGAUCAGGUCACUGAUAAUCUCGGAGCAAGUGAUGUAUCAAAUGCAAUUGCAAGAUGUAUAUUUUUUGUAGGAAUGGGCAGCAAUGACUACCUAAACAAUUAUCUCAUGCCCAAUUACAAUACCAAAAAUCAAUACAAUGCUCAGCAAUAUGCUGAUCUUUUGGUUUCAGAAUACUCAAGACAACUCACAGUAAGAUUCAAUUUCACUAUAUUUACAUUUUUUACCAUAUGCAUGCAUUUUAGUUACUUUUUUUUUUAGCUUGUAAACAUAUUUAUAUAACUUGUAUUAAGUAUUGAUUGAAAAUCUACAGACCCUUUACAAUUUGGGAGCAAGGAAAUUUGUGUUGGCCGGAUUAGGAAGAAUCGGAUGUAUUCCAAGAAUUUUGGCUCAAAAUCAAAUGGAUCGCUGUUCAGAAGAAGUGAAUCAACUUGUUAUGCCUUUUAAUGCAAAUGUGAAGACUGUGAUUAACAAUCUUAAUGCCAAUCUUCCUGGUGCAAGAUUCACCUUCAUUGACAUUGCCCGCAUGUUUGAAGAUCUCCUCACCAAUUAUAGAUCAUACGGUAUGCAAUUUUCCCACUAAACAUAUCGUAUUGUAGUUAGAUAUGAUGUGUGCUGUCUAGCCUAAAAUCUUUUAUUUUAAAAUGUGCGGACACUGACAAAAGAUAAUAAAGAUUUCGUCCUCAUAUUUUAAAAUCAAGGAACAAUUUACAGUGGCUGAACUAGGAUUUUGAUUUGACAAGCACGGCCUAGAGGUGGAAAUAACGGAGAAAUUAUCGUCUUGCUGUGCUACAAUAAAAGCAAGACAUUUUAAAAUUAAAUUAAAAUAGGUGCAUAAAAUAAACAAAAUUUUACUUAAUAGAAUAAUGUUUAUGAUCACUUUUUUUUUUAUCCCAAAUAAUUCUACAGGAUUCAGUGUAAUAGAUCGAGGGUGCUGUGGCAUUGGACGAAACGGAGGCCAAAUUACAUGUCUUCCAUUCCAAACACCAUGUGCAAAUCGAGAACAAUACGUUUUCUGGGAUGCAUUUCACCCAACAGAAGCUGUGAACAUUAUGUUUGGAAGAAAAGCUUUCUAUGGUGACCAGAGCGUUGUUUAUCCCAUGAACAUCCAGCAGCUUGCCAGUCUUUAAACUUAGAAAUUAAAGGGACAUAUAUGUUAUUGUAAUGUUUCUUGCUUGCUUAAUUGCUUUGCAUAAUUGUUGGGAUUAUAUGCUCUUUUAAAGCAUAUUAAUUUAUUUUCUAAUUAAUAAAAUAUUUGAGAUAUUUUCAAUUGCAUAAAUAUUUUGAAUAAGGUCCGUUUAAUCAUAUUAUAUGUAUUUAUGUAAUCAUCAUAUGGAUUCACAGAAGAUAUAAAUACAAGUUAUCUUAUGAUUAAAUAAAUUAAGUUCGCAGUUGAUAAAUAGAGUUGGGCGCUCUAUUUAUGUUUAGACUGUAGUUAAUUCAUUGAAUGAUUUGCCUUAAUCAUAUAUCAAUUUACUGAUGUAGUUUGACUACAUUGAGCUGGAUGACAUAUAAGAUUUAAUUAACCUUGAAAUGACUGUUAGACUUAUUAAAUCUCAUAGGCAUUGAUUUUACUGUAAUCUUAAUCUUGAGUUAGUUAUGAUUUCAUGAUUGUAAUUGUUAUUCCAUUUGAGUUACCAAUGGGCACGACACACAAUUGUGGUCAAGAUUACCCGGUAUCUUGGUGGGAGCAAUUAUGAGUAUUGGAGUUAUAGAUUAACAAUAUAGAAUUUGUACGACGCAUCUGUUGAUGGGUUUUCAGCACUUGAUCAUAGAAUUCUCUGGUCAGAGUGUGUCAACAUAUUUAGUAUGUUGAAAAUGAUCAUUAGAGAAAACCAGUAAGUAUCAAAGAAUAAGAUGUAAUUAAAUUGAUUGAACAAUUGAGAUAUCGAUUUAAUUAACGAUGUGGUCCAAAGGAUUGAGCAGUAAAGAAAUCAGUUUGUCUUGGGACGAAUUAUUAUUCGAACAUACAAUUAUGGAGGUCAGUUCCAAUCUUAUAGUGGAGUAGAGUUGGAAUUAAAUGAUUAGGCUUAUUUAAUUACAGACUUAAUUGUUGUAGCCACUAUUGUAUAUUCCCAAACGAUCCCCGGGUUAGCUUAUUUAAUUGACUGGAUCGCUACUGGAUUAGUAAGUAAGAUAACUAGCUAUUUAGGUUAAAAGCCUAAAUAUAUUAUUUAGUGGGAGGCUCCAUUAAUAUGCUUGAGUGUAAGGGGCCUUGUGUUAUUUUACAAGGUGGACUCCUAUAACACAAGAACAAGUAACGUGACUUUUGUUUUAAUUAUUUUUUAAUUUAAAUCACAUGGGAUUUAAUAGAAUUAAUAAAUAAAUAAAUAUGGAGCCUAGGGUUUCCACUAAAUAGAGAUAUAAAAAAACUUAUUUUCUUUAAAGAAAAUAGACAGAGGCCACAUUAUACAAAUCAGAGAAAAAGAUUUUCUCUCUAAUUUUGAGAGAAAAAUGUUCUCGUGCUAGUUGCUUUAGUGGUGAUAAAGGCGCUCACACAUCAAGUGUAGAUCAAACUUGAGUCAUAGUCUGGAAGAUUAUUUGGUGGCGGAUCGUGAUCUAACAUGAGUAGUGGUGACAGAUCGUGGUCUGGGAGCCUAAAUCACUUUAGUGAAAAAAAAAAAAGAUUGUUCAUCUUCUCAAAUUUUCAAGGUACGAUUUCUAGAUUACAAAUUUUUAUAUAUUGUAUGAGAUCGAUCCUAAAAGUUUUUUUUAAAAAAAAAAAACUGAUUUUUUCCACAACAAUAAUUAGCCACCGGUGUCUCGUCUGUCCAUGUGAGUUUUUACUUGUUUAAUUUGCUUGUGGGAAGUUUAUGUAAUCAAAGAACAAGUUGUGAUUGUGUUUUGUUGCGUUGCUAGUGGUUCAGUAAUUGGGACUACUUUGAUUAUGUUUUGGCAAUAGAUUUUGCUAGUUUACUAGUGCUUCAGUAGGAUUUUUCUUUUUUUUAAUUAUUAACUUAUGCAUCUAUUGAAAUCUGAACUCAAAACUUAAGCCCCAAAGAAAUUGCUUGUUACCGUUGGAAUUAGACUUGACUUUCGUAGUUUAUUAAUCAACUUGCUUGCUAGGUAGGCUUGCAUAUGAUAUGGUUUGCUAUCUUAUGGGUGGUGAUGUUUCCCUUGCAAUACCCCUCGCAUCUGUGUAAGGACAUCCAUCUAAUUUUGUUGAUAUUUUUGGAAGUUAAACUUUCAUCCUUAAUUUGAAUGAUUAAAAGAUAAUAUAUAAUUUUAGCCGCGGUUGAUUCAAAAAGGGUAGAUUUAAAAGAGAGAUUGAUUCAAAAAGAUUAAAUUAAACGUUCAAAAAAAUUUAUAAAAAAUGCAAGAUAUCCGCAAACUGUCUAAAAUACUAUCCUUUAAUCAAUAAUAUUUUAAAUAAGGAGAUUAUGGGUGGACCAAAAAUCCAUGUACCAAGCCCAAGCAAACGCGCAGAUUUAACAACCAGUUUGGACGUUACCAAAUUAUUUAUAGGUUUGGGUUCGGUUACAAAAACUCAACCACAAAAAUAAAUUUAUGUUCACUUAAAUUUCUACAAAAAUCUUCUAAAACCCCUUUAUAAUUGUCUCCUUCUUUAAAAUUACCGUCUAGGACAAAAUUAUAUCUCAUUAAACCCACCGUAAACAAUUCUUUCACGGACAAUUUUUCUCCUGUACGUAUGUACUUCUGUUAUCUUAGAGUUUAUACGAAAAUUAUUGAAACCUCAAAAUACAACUACAGAAAAAUCUCAAAAGCCGGUAACAACCCUGUUAAAAAUCAAAAUAAUGAUCAUGUUAGAAGACCAUUCCCUGUCAAAUUCCAUUGAAAAUUGAGUGCAUAUAUGACCUAGGCAAAAUAGAGAAAAAAAAAAAAUCAGUUUCAGCUUUAAAAUUGUUGUAAACUGGGUAGUCAGAGGAGUGCCAAUAGUCCAACUCAGUUCAAAUUCAUUUAGAUCUGAGAUGAAGAAAUAAACACCACAAAAUAAACUUAAAUGUUGAAAACUAAUUCUAACCCAACCUGAAUAGAUUUUUAUUGGAAGUUUUUGGUUUAAGUUACUCAAUAGUUUUAGAGUGGAGCUUCUAACAUCCCAUUAAAACUCAUAAGAAACACUACUUAUUCAUUUUUAUAUCUCUUUUUUUAUGAAAUUACAAAAAAAGUCCAUAAAAUUACAAUAGAGUUUUAAUUAAACUUCACUAUCAUUUUAGACAUACUUUUUCAUAAUAAAAUAUUAUUAUUAAGUAAUUUAUUUCCUCAUUAUCUCAAAAUUAUUUUUGACUUUAUCAAACAAAUAAGGUUAAAAAAAUAGUUAGGGGUUUAUGAUUUAUAAAGACAUUUUAGUUUAAUUAAAUUCGUAAUUUUUUUCUUUCGGUAAUUUCGAAGAAUAUUAAAGGGGUGUGAAAAACAGUACUCAUAAUUGAAUUAGAUCAAAACUUUCUCAACCCAAAUACGUUUGGAUUUGAUUGGGUUAAUCCCAACAUUCACUCACCCCUAAAAUGGCUUUAUAUAUAGCCAUUAUUAUGAAAAAUAUAAUCAUAGCGUCAACUCUUAAGUAAACUUUUCGGUUGAGAGAGGCGUAGAUCACUCAACAUGUAUUAGUAGUCAAAAUUAGAAGAGGAACUUUAUCUAGAUUACUACAUUUACCAAAUAAUUGUUAUAAGUGAAUAUGAAAUAGUUCACUCAAAGCAAGGAUAAAUGGAUGAAAGUACUACACAUUUUAUUCACAAUGAGGUUGCCUUUUAUAGGCGUUACAUGAACAAACUUAACGAAAUAAUAGCAGCCAUUAUUCAGCAAAUACUGCAGCUACUUUCCAGUAACUAUAGCCUAAAGACUAGGUAAACACAAUCUUGCAAAUAACAUUACCAACAAACUUCCUAAAGACUAGGACCAUAAAAGCAACUUAUUGACACAAGGAAAUUCCAACAAUCCCUCCCUUAAACUAAAUGUUAUUAACAUUCAGUUUAAACAUUCUGCAGAAUCUUCCUCAAAUUGCAAUUUGCAAACUCCAAGUGACUUUCCCAGCUUCAAAAAACUAGCCAAUUUGAGGGGUUUAGUAAAGAUGUCAGCAACUUGGUCUUCACUCCUGCAAUAAACAAGAUCAAUGACUUCAUUUUUUGUCAAGUCUCGCAAGAAAUGGUAUCUCACAUCUAUGUGCUUUCAUCUUCCAUGUAGAACCGGAUUCUUUGAAAGUUUAAUUGUUGAACUAUUAUCACAGAAGAUUUGUGUUGACUCUGGUUGCUUAAACUGAAGUUCAUGAAGAAUAUUUCUCAGCCAAAGUGCUUGACAUGCACAAGAAGCUGCUGCAACAAACUCAGCCUCAGUUGUUGACAAAGUAACUAUCGGUUGCUUCUUAGAUGACCAUGAAAUAGCUGCUGAACCAAACAUAAAUCAUAUCCAGAUGUGCUUCUUCUGUCAUCCAAAUCUCCAGCAUAAUCACUGUCUGUAAAGCCAUACCAAUCUGAUUUUUUACCCUUUUUGUAGAACAACCCAAAUUCAGCAGUACCACGCAAGUAUUGAAGAAUUCUCUUUGCAGCUAAAAGAUGAUCCUCUCUUGGACACUCCAUAUAUCUGCUGAUGGAACUAACUGCAUGCAUUAUAUCAGGUCGAGUUGUUGUUAAGUACAUCAAGCUUCCAACAAUCUGUUUUUAAAGGGUUGAUCACUUGACUCCUAUUGUCCUUUGCCCCAUUGGAAGUUCAGUCAACUCCCAAGUAUUAUUUUUUUCAAUGGAUGCAAUUUCUUCGUCCAUGGCUUUUAGCCAUUUUUGUUCUUUGACAGCUUCUUUAAAAGUUGUAGGAUCACAUUCUGAAAACAAGGCAAAGUGUAUGAGUGGAUUCUCAAGAGUGUUAAAUCAUGUUACCUCAUAAUCUGACAUCCAUGCAGACCUUAUUCUAUCAUGUUGAGAACGUGAAUCUGUAGCUUCAACUUGUUCAUCAAGUUCAUUUGUUGCUGGUGGAGUUUCUGCUGAGACUCUAUUUUGCGGCAGGUUAGGAGCAGAGACUGUUGAAGGCUGAAGUUGCUGUGAAUUUUCUUCAAUUUCACCAUUGAAAUCUGCUGGAAUUUGCUGCCCAACAGAAUUGCAUCUCCACAUCCAUGUCUUCUCUUCAUAAAAAAUGACAUCACGACUAAUGACAAUUUUCUUGAUGAUGGGAUCAUAUAAUUUGUAGGCCUUUGAAUGAUCACUAACACCAAGAAAAAUGCACUUUACACCUUUGUCAUCUAAUUUUCUUCUGUUCUCAUCUAGUACGUGGACAUAUGCUAUAAAUCCAAAUACCCGAAAAUGAUCUACUGCCGGCUUACAUCCACUCCAUGCUUCUUCAGGAGUUAUAUUUUGAACAACUAUUGUGGGGCUUCUGUUCAAAAUAUAAACACUCCAAACAACUGCUUCAGGCCAAAAACUUUUGGGAAGACCACUCCUCUGCAGAAGGCUUCGUACCAUAUUAAGAAUUGUACGAUUUUCCUCUCGCAUACACCAUUUUGCUGAGGUGUGUAGGCUGCUAUCAAUUGUCUUCUAAUUCCAUGAUUUUCACAGAAGCUUCCAAAUUCUUGAGAGUUGAACUCUCCACCACGAUCAGUACGCAAUAUUUUAAUUUGGCUGUCAGCUUCUCUUUCAACUAGUGCUUUAAACAUUUGAAAGGCUGUGAAAGCUUCCGAUUUUUCUUGCAAGAAAUAAAUCUAGGUUUUUUGACUAAAAUCAUCAAUAAAUGAGAUAAAAUAUCAUUUACCUCCAUUUGAUGUUGGCUUGAUUGGCCCACAUAAGUCAGAAUGCACUAGCUCCAACACUUGCUUUGCCCUCCGGAGUUUUCCUUUUGGAAAAUUAUCUCGAUGUUGCUUACUGACAAUACACUCUUCGCAAAGCUGUGAAGGUUGCUCAAAUUGUGGAAGGCCUACCACCAUAUUUUUCUACUGCAAGGUCUUCAAUCCACCAAAGCUAAGAUGCCCGUAACGAAAGUGCCAUAACCAUGCUGUAUCUUUGAAAUUUGCAGCAAAACAUGAGUGUGCAGUAUGGUGAAGAUACAAUGGAAACAUUCUGUUUGUCGUCAUUUCACUUGAGCAAUUAAGCCCAAUUUUUCAUCGUGGAUUCGGCAAACUCCUUCCUUGAUAGAGAUCUCAUACCCUUUUUUCUUGUAACUGGUUGUAAAGAUGAAAGAGUUGUUUGGUUGCAGAGAAAACAAACGAGAAAACAGAGAGAGAAUUUGUAUUUAUCUUAAGCUCAAAUAAGCUGAAUUACAAGCAUAUAUACAUAAUGCUGAAUGGAAUCUUAUAUACUCUGCAUGUGAGUAAUGUGUUUAUUUGAGCUAACAACCAUAACAGAUUUAACUGACUGGACUGCCGCAUCAGCACUAAUAACAGAUUCACUUAACUAACUAAACAGAAAGCUAAAUGUAAUUAACAAUUCAAAUAUCUUAACACUGGCCAACACUGAGAAGGUUAGUUUUCAGUUCAGGAACGAAUAAAACAUUUGAGAUAGAAUGAGAACUUUCCUUGGUUUGGAUUGCAGCCCUUCCUUUCCCCAUGACAGAAAUUGUAGAGUCAUCACCAAAUUUUACAGUAUUUCGAAAAGUCUCAUCCAAGUCAGAAAAAGUAGAUUUAUCCCCACAAAUAUGAUUGCUACAACCGGUAUCUAAGUACCAUAGAUUUUGGUGACUUUCCUCCUUUGUAUGACAUGCCAUAAGAAGGGAAAUUUCUUCUUCCUCCUUUUCUACAAAGUUAGAUUUCUCGCCACGAUUCUUAUUUAAAUUAGUACAGCACUCAUUGUGGUAAUGACCGUACUUCUGACAACGGAAGCAUUUAACAUUCGAUUUGUCUUUAGACUUUGGUUUAUGUCCUGUCGAAUUCUGACCAUCACAAUCCUUUCCUUUUCCUUAAGAAUCAUCAACAUUUUCUUCUUAUUUAUCCUACCCAUUCUUGCCUUUCCAGCCUCCUUUACCCCCUCCAGUUGGUUUGAGAUUUGCUGCUGCCUGUAAUGCAUGUUCUUCCUUAUCCUGUCGGAUUACUUUCUACUCAUGGACUAGCAAAGUGCUUUCCAAUUCAUCAAUCGAAAUUUUGUCAAUAUCCAUUGAUUCCUCAAUCGCACAAACAAUAUAGUUAAAUUUUACCGUUAAAGAUCGAAGAAUCUUCUCAAUUAUGAUAACAUCCUCGAGCUGCUCGCCAUGAAUUCGUCUCUUAUUUGCGAUUGCCAUUGUCCUUGCAAAGUAUGCUAAGACCGACUCUCCCAUCUUCAUUCGUAGAGAUUCAAAUUCAUAUCGAAGUGUCUGGAGGUGUACCCGAGAUAAAAAAGGAGGCUAGUAGUUUUCACAAGCAAAAGUUAAGAAUCGAUUUUAUUUUUUUCAGGCUGUGGAUUCAUUGCUUUACAAUUCUUUAUAUAGAACUAGGUUCUCAUGUUUUAGUUACAUCAAGACCUAGCAUCUACGGCUAUCAAUUUCAUCACAAGACAUUACAAAAGUUGUUAUAACAACCUGACACUGCAGUUUGUCUUCUUGUCUUCAGUUGCUCAGUCUUGUCUUUAGCAAGCUGUGAUAUCUUGCUCCUUCAGCUUGAUUACCAUCCAAUCCUGACCUUUGAUGCUUCUAGCCAUCCAACGACUAAUAUUCAAACAUCAGAUGGCUUGCUUAAUUCAAGAGAUUCAUGAGUUCCCGCCAAUGCCUUCAUUGAGGUAUAUUAUCAAACAAUUGUGCAGCAACCUCAGACACAUUUAUUUUAACUCCCCCUCUCAAGCUCAAUCGUCUGCUAAGACAUUGAGCUUGCUUCUUAGGUAUUCGAAACUUCGAUUAAGUAGUGCCUUGGUCAUUAUAUCUGCAACUUGGUUCUUGCUUUCCACAUACUUCAAAUCAAACUCUCGGUUGCUGAUUUUAUUCCUCACGAAGUGAACAUCUAUUUCAAUGUGUUUGGUUCUUCCAUGAAAGACUGGAUUUUCAGCAAGAGCUAUUGCACUCUUGUUGUCACACCAUAGUAUUGGCCUCUUCUCCAACUUGAUGUUCAUCUCUGCAAGUAAGGAUUGUAACCAAGUCAAUUUAGCUGCUCCAUUUGACAGUGAUCUAUAUUCUGCUUCUGUGCUGGAGGUUGAUACUACAUUCUGCUUCUUUGAACUCCACGAGACUAGAUUUCCUACCAAAAACAUGCAAUAACCACCUGUAGACUUUCUGUCAUCUCUAUCAGCUCCCCAAUCGGCAUCUGUGAAGGCUGAGAUUUCCAUUUUGUUUCCAGAUGUGAAGUACAGACCAUAAUUUAGGGUGCCUUGAAGGUAUCUCAAGAUCCUUUUGCAGCCUUGCCAGUGUAUCACUUUCCGUUCUUGCAUGAAUUGACUUAGUUUAUUUACGCUGUAAGCAAUGUCUGGUCGGGUGAUGGUUGCAUACUGCAAAGCUCCAAUGACACUUCUGUAGAGAGUUUUGUCUUCAAAAAACUGUCCUCCCUCUUCUUCUUCAGUCUCCAAGGUGUACUUCACACUUGAACUUAAUGGGGUUAUGCUUUCUCUGCACCCUUUCAUGUUUGUCUUCUCUAGAAGUUCUUGCACAUAUUUGCUUUGGCAAAUAUACAUCCCUGCACGAUCCCUUUUUACUUCAAUUCCAAGAAAAUAACUUAAUGAGCCUAGCUCCUUCAACGCGAAACUCUCAUUAAGCUUUUUAAUCAGGUCAUUGACAAGAUCUUGGCUACUACCAGUUAUGAGUAUGUCAUCUACAUACACAAGUACGUAUAUAACUUUUCUAUUAUCCCUCCAAUGAAACAGUGAGGUAUCCGAGACUGAGUUCUUGUAUCCCCAGCUAAGUAGGGCAGCUUUGAGCUUUUCAUACCAAGCCCUUGGAGCUUGUUUCAGUCCAUAUAAUGCUUUCUUUAGUCUAUAUACAUAGUUUUCCUUUCCUUUCACUUUGAAUCCUUCUGGUUGCUCCAUGAACACGGUUUCAUUUAGUUCUCCAUUUAAAAAGGCAUUGUUGACAUCUACUUGUUUGAUGUCCCAACCAUAGAUGACAGCCAAACUCAAGAGUACCUUGAUUGUGGAUGACUUGGCCACUGGACUGAAGGUUUCUGUGUAAUCAACCCCCGCUGUUUGGUUAUAGCCUUUUGCCACUAAUCUCGCCUUGUGUCUCGCUACUGUCCCAUAUGGAUUGUGCUUUACUUUGUAGACCCAUUUUUUUCCGAUGACCUUUGUACCCUCUUGAACUUUCACCAAUUCCCAAGUGUUGUUUUCCAGUAGAGCUUUGUAUUCAUCCAACAUAGCAUUUCUCCAUUUCACAUUCUUGAUAGCACUUGCUAUAUUUGUUGGUAACUCAUACGAACUCCUUUGUGCAAGGUAUAUUUUAGGCUUGUAGAUUCCAUGUUUGGAUCUGGUUACCAUAAGGUGUGUGUUUAAUGGUUCUAAUGGUCGCUCAGGUUCUAUAUUGACUCUCUCUUGUUGAUGGUUUGGCUCAGGUCGGCUCUCAUCCAAUUGUGUUUCUGUGUUUGGUUGAUGUGUUUGGAUCUGGUCUUCGUUUGGUGUUCUGAUUUGAUUUUCGAAUGAUGCUUGCAUUGUAUCUUGUGUGGAGUUAUGUCCACCCUCUUUGGAUUUUUUGUAUGGAUUGCUGUUUAAUUGUGGAGUUGAGAAAGUGCCACAAGGAAGUAAUAGAAGCUGCUGAUAGUUAGGUUGACUACUUGUCCUGCUUUCACUUUUGUUAGUCUCAAAGUUCUUAUCUAUAACAAAAGGAAACUCAUUCUCAUUGAAAAUCACAUGUCUAGCUACAUAAACUAUGCCUGUGUUAUCUAGACAUUUGUAUCCUUUGUGCUGUAAGCUAUACCCUAUAAACACACAUUUAGUGGUGUGGUACUGAAGUUUAUGUUGAUUAUAGGGUCUUAAAUAUGGAAAACAGGCACACCCAAAAGUUUUUAGGAAGGCAUAAUCAGGCUCAUUGUUGUAAAGUUUUUUGUAUGGACUGAUAUGACCUAGGGCCUGCGUAGGCAUUCUAUUGAUAAGAUAUGCAGCAGUUUCAAAGGCGUUCCACCACAGUUUUAAGGGCAUGUUUGCUUGUGCUAGCAUGGUGAGUGCUGUUUCUACAAUGUGCCUAUGCUUCCUUUCAACUUGACCAUUUUGUAUUGACGUAUAUGGACAGGAAUGUCGGAACAUGAUUCCAUUGUUCCUAAGAAACUUGGUUAAUGGUCUAAAUUCUCCCCCCAUAUCAGUCUGUAGACACUUGAUUUGUUUAUUUAAUGUUUUCUCUAUUUGAUUCUUGAAGUCAAUGAAGGUUUGUGCUGUUUCUGCUUUGCUGGUUAAGGGGUAAAUCCAUGUGUAUCUUGUGUGAUUAUCAACAAUACUUAAGUAGUACCUGUAACAUUUUCCUGAAAUUAUAGGUGCUGGACCCCAAAGAUCUGCAUGGAUCAGUUCAGGGGGCUGCUUUGUCUGUGUUUGUGAGCUUUUAAGAGUCAAUUUGUGAUUUUUACCAUAUUGGCAUGCAGUGCAGAAACUCAAAGAUUUUUCUUUAUUGAAAUCAGAUAAAUUUUUACAACUUGAAAUGAUUUUCAUAAGGGUCUGUUCACAAGGGUGACCAAACCUUCUGUGUAACAGGUGAAGUUGAUUAAUUGACUCACUACUAUGCUUAGGACUUAAAGACUCAUCAACACUUUCUGAGACAGAAGCCUCACUUAUUGAAGCAAACAAAGACUCUGAUUUGUAGACUCUAUCAGCAGCACAUCCCUUCCUUGGACUUACAUAUUCUUGACUUCCAACAAUCUGAAACAGCCCUCCUAUAUCAAUUCCUUGAAGAAGAACAUUCUCCAAUUUGUCCUUAACAACACAAGUUUCAUCAGAAAAUACAAUUGUUAGUUUGUUAUCUAUUGUAAGGCUAGAGAUACUUAGCAGGUUUUUGGUUAUUUGUGGAACUACAAGUACCCUUUUAAGCACAAGAUGUUCAUAUUUGUUACCAGCAUAUAUAGGCAAAAGUAUCGUUCCUGUGUGUGUGAUUUUAAGCUUGUGUCCAUUUCUCAUUAAGAGAAAGGAGUUACCUUUGUACUCAGACCUUACACUGAGGUUGUUGAGGUCAUUUGUGACAUGAUUAGUUGCUCCACUGUCUAAGUACCAGCCUGGUUCACUGCUUCCAUCAUUUGUUGCCAGAAAGGCUCCUCUUGGUUGACAAUUCUGAGGCUUUGGUUCAAAGUCAUCUUCUUUUCUGUACCAACACUCAUCAGCUGUAUGGCCCUCUUUGUGGCAGAUUUGACAAAAAACUCCAGGCUUGAAUACCGUCUUCUUUUCUCCAUGUGGUCUCCCUCUUCCUUUUCCUUUAUUUGGUCUUCCAGCACCAUUGUUGAGAGGUCCAAAGUAUUGAUUUUGUGGACUAAGGUACUGGUUUGGUGGUUGGUUCCUUGGUCUCUCAUUCCUCUUUUGGGUCCAGUUGUUCCUUCCUUGCCUUGAGGCCACAUUUGCUUCGAAAUUGUUGUCAUGAGUUGCAUUCUGCUCCAGUCUGGCUUCAUGGUUCAACAACACAGAAUACAUUUCAUCAAAGGUCAGUUCAUGAAGUCUUGAAGUGAGGUUAACAACAACGGACUCAAAAGAUUGGCCAAGACCAGUAAGCACAUGAGAACAAAGAUCUUCUUCUGAAACUGGCUUUCCUGCCAUUUGCAACUCAUUUGCCAAGUUUCUUACUUUUGUGCAAAACUCAGUGAUAGUUUGUGUGUCUUUUCUUGCACCAUGCAAUUGCAUUUUGAGAACUAUGGAUCUGGCUAUUGAUUGGGAGGCAUAAAGCCUUUCCAGCACAGACCACAGUUCUUGUGAAGUUGUGCAAUGUGUCACAGCAGUGAUAAUAUUCUCUGAUAUUGUAGAAAGAAGCCAACUUAAGAGAAGUUGGUCUUGUCUACGCCAGAGUGCAUAUGCAGGGUUUGCAGAUGCUAUGAAGUUGUUUUCUGCAUCAGCAUCCACUAGGAACUUUUCUGGACAUACAGAUGUUCCAUCAAUGAAGUUUUCCAGGCCAUUGCCACGGAUAGCAGGCAAGACCUGGGCUUUCCAUAUAAUGUAAUUUCCUCUGUCAAGUUUCAAAGGGGCUGUGAAGGAAAAACUUAUGGGUACAUGCAUAUUUGUGUGUGAGGAUGAUGAUUCAGUUUGUGUUUGGGUGGGUAAAGGACUUUGUGUUUGAGCUGGUGGUGUGUUGUUGAUCACAGCUUCUAGGGUUGGCUCAUUUGUUGCUUGAUUAUCCAUUUCUGGAUUUUUAAAGCUCUGAUACCAAGAUAAAAAAGGAGGCUAGUAGUUUUCACAAGCAAAAGUUAAGAAUCGAUUUUAUUUUUUUCAGCCUGUGGAUUCAUUGCUUUACAAUUCUUUAUAUAGAACUAGGUUCUCAUGUUUUAGUUACAUCAAGACCUAGCAUCAACGGCUAUCAAUUUCAUCACAAGACAUUACAAAAGUUGUUAUAACAACCUGACACUGCAGUUUGUCUUCUUGUCUUCAGUUGCUCAGUCUUGUCUUUAGCAAGUUGUGAUAUCUUGCUCCUUCAGCUUGAUUACCAUCCAAUCUUGACCUUUGAUGCUUCUAGCCAUCCAACGACUAAUAUUCAAACAUCAGAUGGCUUGCUUAAUUCAAGAGAUUCAUGAGUUCCCGCCAAUGCCUUCAUUGAGGUAUAUUAUCAAACAAUUGUGCAGCAACCUCAGACACAUUUAUUUUAACUACCCGCUUCGCCCUUGCUGUCCCUUGGUACUUCUUUUUCAAGGAAUCCCAAAUUUGUUUGGAGGAGUCUUUGUUAAGAAUUGUUUCCAAGAUUGAGCGAUCAAUAGCUUGGAAUAAGUAAUUCUUUGCCUUGAGAUCCUUUAAUCAUUGCCCUUCAAGCUCUAUUUUCUGAGCAUCCGUCAAAACAACACCGGCUGGUGGUUCAGUUAUUCCAAUUGAAACAACUUGCCAAUACUCCUUGGACCUUAAGAAAUUCUCCAUCAACAUGCUCCAAUGGUCAUAGUGACCAUCAAAGCGGGGAAUUGCAGGUUGAACAAAAUUCUCAGAAGCCAUGAAUUUCUACUGCUGCAACACGAGUGCAAAAAGAGCCAAGUAAGCUACUAUUACUAACUCUGUCAAUCCACUUUUCUAAUUCAAGCUCUGAUACCACUGUUAUAAGUGAAUAUGAAAUAGUUCACUCAAAGCAAGGAUAAAUGGAUGAAAGUACUACACAUUUUAUUCACAAUGAGGUUGCCUUUUAUAGGCGUUACAUGAACAAACUUAACAAAAUAAUAGCAGCCAUUAUUCAGCAAAUACUGCAGCUACUUUCCAGUAACUAUAGCCUAAAGACUAGGUAAACACAAUCUUGCAAAUAACAUUACCAACAAACUUCCUAAAGACUAAGACCAUAAAAGCAACUUAUUCACACAAGGAAAUUCCAACAAUAAUAUUAUAAAAUGUAAAAGUUUUAAUGGGGUGUAUUAAACGGGGUGUACCCCAUCACUAUCUUAAGAAUGGUGAUUUUGAUGAUUUGAUCCCUUAUUAUAUCUCACAAGCCCCCCAUUUUUUAGUUAAUUCCAUUAAAAAUUUUAAACAAAUUUUUAUCUCUCAAUAUACCUUACCUAAUCUCUAAUUUACCUUUAUUUUAAUUUUUUUUCAUACACCCAUUGUAUAAAUUUUAUAAAAUCAUUUCUUAAAAAAAAAUCUCAUAAUGAUUGUAAUUUCUCAACUUUUUUUUAAGGUUUUAUCCACCACUUAAGAUUUGAUAGUUCCACCAAGAAUUGGAGCAAAGAACCAUGCCGAGUCGACCCUGAAUAACCUUAGUAUCGUGCUAAGCCUAUCAAGCCAAAGUUGAGUGAAGGAAUACAAGAAUUUGGCCAAGGUGUUUGACGUGAUAAAGAUACAGAUUUUUUAUUAUUAUAAUUGAUUUGGAGCUAAAAAGGGGAUUCUCGAUUUCCUUUUGUAUGCAUCCCAAUCUUGUAUUCAAGUUUAUUUGUUCAUGGACCAGAAUGCAUUGCAUUUGGAAAGUGUUUGCAAUUGUACAGUGAUAUUACUUGGACAGUAAUUUGGCGUUGCAAUGCAUUUACAAAACGAAUGAAAAUUUGGAAUCGCGAUGGAAAAUACUGUCAGGUAUCUAUCUGAGAAUGAAAGCACUCGCUGUCAGUCUCUAUGGGAUUGCAGUAUAAAAUUUUACAUUGUUCUUCAAUAUUUUGAAUAGAAUGUCUUACUUUGAAUGGAAUGGCGCAGUUUAAAAAAUUAGAAGAAAUUAGAGUUUAAGAAAUUAGAUUCGCUUAAUUAGUUAUUAAUAGAAAUUUUUAUGUCGGUGCACUUAAAAAUUAUUUAUUAUUUUAAGUUAUUUCACAUGAGAAUAAAAUAGGUAUUAACAUAAAAGUUAUUAGUGUGGGUUGAUAAGAUAUAAUAAGAGAUUUAAACAUCACCACUCUACUUAUAGAGCAGCUCCAAAAACGAUCUCAUUGGUCGAAAAAGGCUUGACCCAUUGAACGAGGACCCUUAAAAUUUGAUCCUAGCUUGACCCAUACGACAGGCUGAACAGGUCGGUCCUUUACACAAUCAAAACAAACUUGUGAGUAGGGGUGGGCAAAUAACCCAAUCUGAUUCGACCAAAAAACUUGAGUUCAGAUCGGAUGUAGAUGAAUUUCUCAAUCCAAUUAGGUAGGAAUCUAUCCAAAUCGAUCCGAAAUUACACACAAUUAAAGAAUAUUAUUUGAAAUUUUUUAUCCAUUCCAAAUAUAAUUCGGAUUCAAUUAUAAGUCUGGAUUGAGCUUGGAUUACUUUUUUCCUAACUCGAUUAACCGGAACUCGAACCCGAUCCGAAACCGAAUUUGCCGACCCCUACUUAUUAUCGUUUACACAUUACAUUUGUGACUAUCAUUUUUAAACUAAAAUUUUCUCUUGAUGCGAAUAAGAAAAAAAAAUACAUAGAGUAAAUUUCGUUUAAAAAAUGAGGCACCAUAGAUGGACCGUACAUAUGGUACAGCUAGCUGAAAUGGAAGUAGCCUUGUGAGUUGUGAGAGCUGCCUAUUUUGGAUUCAGGACGAAAUAUUUAAGAAGCAAGCAAGUAAAUAAAUCAAGAAAAUAAUAUUCCGCCACCCUCAUUCCAGAGGGAAGCCAAAAACGACAUGCUUUUGUGCCGUUUUGAAGUUUUAGAUUUGAAAAUUAAAAAUAAAUUUUACCAUUAAAAAAUAAUAAAAGCUAAUCAAAAGAAAUUAAAAAAUCUAAAUUCUUAUCCCUCCCCUCGCUCACCCCCUCUCUCUUUGACUCACCCCGCUCUGUCCCUCUCACUCUCACCCACGAAGCUCGUUCCCCUCUCACUCACCCACAAGCUCACUGUCAAUAUUUUUCUCAGAUCUCAGCUAACGCAUCAUCAAAACCGCAACCAUGACGCUAGGCUGAGGAGGAUCCAGUGUCGUGGGUCAGUUUCUUCUCUGAUCUUGCCAUUUUUUGUUCAAUCUAUUUAUGCCCUGGAUUGAUUUAUUCUCUUUGUUUUGUUGUGUUUCUUGUUCUGGCAAAAUCUAUUUGUCUAAUUCACAUACGGGUCGUAGCCGUUGCUUUUAUUAUUUUAUAAUUUUUUUUGGGUAGUUUUGUGUAGUCUUAUGAACAUUCUUUUUGGCAUAAAUGCAUCUGGGUUGCUACGUGCCUACGUUUGAUUGUUAAUUAGACCUGAUCCGUAAUUCUAUGCGUUUUUUGAAUUUUUGAUUGCGAAAUUAAGUUAAUUUAGUUUAAUAUGAUUACAUUAUUGUCACCUAAAAUUAGUAUAUUUAAUCAGUUAAAGAAAUUCUUUUGACAUGGACUUUAAUGAAACCUUGUAUGUGAUACUUUGCUUAGCAAAGUACUUGGAUUUUGGAUUUUUUUUCUAUUUAUAUUUUAAAAUUACUAGAAAUAAGUUAUUUGAAGUGUGAUACUUUGUGAAAUGUUAAAGCUUACGGUUUGGUUGUAAUUCUGUUUUUGCUUAUAUAUGUUUACGUCUGUUGGCAUUCUUUUUUUUUUUUUUUUUGGUAUUUGAAGUUUGCAUAUAUGGUGUGUAUUAAGAUUUUCAAGUGGUUCUUCAAACAUAUUCUGGGUAGUUUGAUAUAUCCAUGUUUCUGUGAAUUCUUUAGUUGAGGCAAUUGUUUUUGGUCUUAGCUGCAUUGUUAAGUUCUUUACCACAUAGAAUUCCCUAAUUUUCUUCUGCUAAUCCAGUAAUUGCAGCUUCAUUCUAAGGUUCUUCAUUUUCUAUAAAGCAUAUAUUGCUUCAUUAACCCUCCUCUAAAUAUGUUGCAAAUAUGUAUUUGAUUCAUUCCAAUCUUACAGAUCAUUGUUGGAUGCCGAAUCAGCAUACAAUGCUUACAAUUAUGAGAGAAAAAUGAACAACCAAUUGCCCAGUUCAGUUACGCUUUAAGCUAGGAAGAUUGACGUAGAAACAUUUGUUUAAGUGUAAUUACCUAGGUAGGUGAAAAAGGUCCAAAAUCGUCAAGCACACUGUCAACUAAGGCUGGUCGGCGACGUGAACGGCGUGAUAGCGAUGUCGGUGAUGGGCUGGUCGGCGAUGGGCGUGGCGUGACAACAAGUUUCGUGGGUGAGUGACAGCCUGAGAGAAAUAGCUCGCAAGUGGGUGAGUGAGAGAGACAGAUCGGGUGAGUGAGAGGGAAGGUGAAUGAGAGAGAGACAGAGCAAGCGAGUGAGAUGGAUGGGUAAGAAUUUUGGAUUUUUCAUAUUCUUUAGAUUUAAUUUUAAUAUUUUUCAAUGGUAAAAUCUAUUUUUAAUUUUCAAAUUUAAAACUUCGAAACGGCAGAGGAAGCAUGCGUUUCUGGCUUCGUUAUGGUCUCGUGGUGGCCGAAUAUCAUUGCCCAAUAAAUCAUGAUUCUUCGAGAGACCCAGCAACCGCUUGUGAAAACACAAUGGUUAUUCCUAAAGCCAAGCAACUCUCAGCACGAAAAAGUGUUAAGUGGCCAACAACUCCUAACAACCCUUAGACUAAGUCCAGCACUUACCAUACUAUGUCCUAUAUAAUUGAAACGUAAAUAGAUUAUUGACAGCAAAACAAAAUAAUAACUUAAUAUAAUGACGUGUAACAAUGUACAUUUUUGUCAAUUAUGCGUUAGUGUUUGAUGCCCUUCUUUCAAAAAUAAAUAAAAAUUGAUGCAUAUGUACCGCAAUGUCAGUUCUGAGGGAGCUGUGACGAGUAAUGAUUAAAAUAUACAAGUGAUGAAAUUUUGAAUUAUGAUAUAAAUGCAUAAAUGGCAUAAUAUUAAUUAUUAAAUAUAGCAAGUAAAUUUUGAUGCCAUCAUUUUAAAAAAUUAACAAAAAAAUAAACAAAUUGAUAUUCAUGUGCAUGUCUAAUGUUUUAUUUAUAUAAGAUUAAAAUUCUCUUUUCAUCUGGGUUUUUAUUUGAGCAAAUACAAUUAUUGGUAGUUAGCAUAUAGAAGCACAAUUAAAAAGUAUAUCUCGACCGUGCUCAUGUACAUGUCGAAAGAAUUAAAGAAAAGGAGCUCUCUAGAUUCUGUUUGUUUGAUAAGAAAAUGAAUGGAAAAUUUUAUUGAUUCAAAGAGAAAAUUUGUUCGCUGGAUUCUUAUUUGUAAGUCUUACUAAUGAAUUGAGAGUACAUUGAUAAAUAUAGCUGUGUGUGGAAACUUCUACUGCAACAAACUCGUGUCCACAUUUCCAGCGCGCUAACUAUAACAACCUACUGACUAAGUUUGGAAGGAAAUAACAACUUGUUUAACUGUUUUACAACUUGGCUGCUGACUCAUCAUUACACUGAAAACCCCAGCUGACUUCAACUGCUGACUUAGCAUUUAUUCUUAACAGAAAGAUAAUGAUAAAAAAGUUGCUUCAGAAUUCGUGGGCACGCACGGACCCUACUUGUAGAACUCCAUAACCCAUAAGUUGUAAAAAAAGCAUACAAAUCUGAUGCCACUAAAUCCAGCUUCAGUAGCCAAGGUCGUGAAUUCAUGCUUUGUUCGCUCCUUUCCUCCCGGAUAUUGAGUCAUCACCAGCACAUCAGCUAGGGAAUUUAUUUUUGAAUGAGUGCUAGUCUCAGGCAGUUCUGGAAGUACUGACUCCACAACAAUUACCUUCCCUCCUUCGGGAAUACUUUUGUAGCAAUUCUUCAAUAACUUCAAGCAAUGUUCAUCGCUCCAAUCGUGCAGUAUCCACUACAAAAUUUGAAAUAUUAUGAAAUUUGUUCAGGGAUCGAACGCCUAAUACCUGCAAAUUAAAUUCAAAUGAAACUUACCUUGAUCAAAAUGGCGUCGCCAUUUGGAACACUUUGAAACAUGUCACCCCCUACAUGCUUAACACCUGUACUACAUACAAUUUAGUUUCCGCUCUUAGGAUCUAGCGGUAUGGGCAGAGAAUUCAUAAGAGCACUGAUAUUCGCGAAAAGAAUUUAGAUAAAAUUCUGACAAAAACAACAAUAAAUCAACCCUGAUUUUUUCACUAAAUUGCAAAUAUGGUAAAUCGAGUCUGUUUUGAUGUUUUUUGUCAGUUUUUUCUUGUUGCAACAUUUUGUGCUUUUACCCUUUUUUUCCAAAUGAUAAUGUAUAUUUCUUCAUAACAAUGACAUUAAAAAAAAAAAAAAAAGAGAUUGGAAUCAAUUUUCUAAUUAACUUCCUACUUUCUCCAGGAUUUAUAUUGGGAUGAUUAAUUAAAGAAAGCUACUUAAAAGCCACUUGACCAAGUCCCUAACAUUAUUAUAAAGAUAAUUGAAAGUUCAUACCAGGAUACUCAGGGGAAUGCUGUAUAACGUGAGGCAAGUCGAAAUUGAUGCCCUUAAUGUGGGGAUACUUGGAAGUAAUUGCUUUAAGGGUAUUGCCAAGGGAACCGCCAACAUCAACCAAUUGCUUUAUGUGCUCGAAACCCUUGUAAGCCUCAAGGAUUUUUUGAAGGACCAAAGUGGUAUGGUUGAACAUCGCUGUGCUGAAAACUUCAUUGAACCUGGGGUCCAAUCCUAGGUACUCGAAAGCGUUCGUUCCGUGGACUCGGUCAAAUGGAACUCCUCCUUCAAUAAUAGUUUCUUUCAGUUGGGACCUACAUGACCAGUUAAUCAAUCAUCAUUUUGCGUUUGGCCGAACUUUUUUAGAUACAAUGAUUAGUGGUUGAUAAAAACAAAAAUAAUAAAGGGAUAUAUCUAUAUUAUAUAUAUGACGAUGUAAACGUUUCAUAAAAUCCCUUAACAGAUAAGAUGAGUAGAGGAUUCAUUGCCAUUAAAAAUUUUAUGUUAUAUCUUAACUCAUAACUGUCACAUACAUCUUUAUGAAAACGAGCAAAAAAAUGGGAAUCAGGGUAAUAUUAUCAUACGGGUGGGUUGCUAAAUUUUAGCAACGGCACAAAUUAGGAGAUAUGUAGUUUGUAGUACUUUUACAUAUAGCUAGCUCCUGCUGUUAUUUUGUUUUCCCUAAAAGAUUUUAUUUCUAAUUCUCUCCAGGCAAGUGAUCAUACCACCCCAAGUGAAUCUUUUAAUUCAGAGAAAUUCUACGGAAGAAGUUAAGAAAUUUUUGUUCUUCCAGGAUUUCUGUCAGAACGGAAGAAACUACUCAAUUAAUGCUUUCAAUAGAACAAAAUACAUUGUCUUUUUCAUAUAUGUUACACUCAUGUCCUCUAUAAUUAAAAGACAAAAAUACCUCCGAAAGAAAACAUAUUUCCUCAUAUCCUCUGUAGCUGCAAGUAAUUAAAACACCACCAACAAUAGUUUACCCGUUCUUGAAUUGAUAUGACUAGAAGUAUAUUAAUAAUGAUUUAUAAGUUUGAGAGUGAGCCUUCUACAUUUUAUCGCUCACUUAUAUGAACACGUUUGUUUUUCUUUUUCGAUGACCUGAAUUUAGAAAUAAGUUGAGUAUGAAGUCGAUUAUGAUUUAAGACUUGGGAGAAAUGCAUGAUUGGAUCUGAAGGCGUAGAAAGAGAAUUGUAUUAUAAACCCAUGUAUUUUUACCCUAACUUAAAAAAAGAAAAAUUCAGGGGAUUAAAAUGAUAGAGUGGACAAACCAGCUGUCGAGAAAGGCCUCGUCCUGAAUUAAGGCCAAUACAGGGCCUAAUGAGACACCAUCUUGAUUAGGCACAAAGUAUUUGGAAACAUCAUUCAAACCGUAUAGCCUGUGAGAACCAUCUACAUCAUCAAGUGAGCAUUCAACAAUACCAUAGCUAGCCAGAAGCCCGAGUAUCCGGUCCAGCAUCGUGGGUGCGUCUUUGUUCUUGGUGGCGGGCAACUGAGCGGCAAUCUCUGAAGCUGAGAGCUUUGCUCCAGGACCAGCUUUGGCUAUGAUCUCCAAAAGUCCCAGCUUAAUUACUGCUUUCAUGGUCAUGUGGAGCACUGAACCCGUCAUCACUUCACAGGCAUAUGCAAAGUUUUCGUCUCUCGCUUCAUUAGCCAUAUUUUCUUGAAUUUCCUUAUCUGUUUUCCUCAGAAACAAUGCAUUUAUAGUGGAGUGAAGAGUUACUGUGUGUCCAAGAUUUUAGGUUGUAAAAUCUGACCCGGAAGUUUUCGAUAGUUCAAGUUAGACUAAAUGACAGAAAUUAAAUUAUGAUUAUAACUUUUUCAAAGAUAAAAGUAUGGAAGCUUGGCAACUCUAAAAAAAUUAUAUUAUUAGGGAUAAAAACUUUAUUUAAUUUGCAUAAAUUGAAAUGACAUAUUGCAUGAUUCUACAUGUCUCGUAUUAUUUCUUUUAUUUUGUCGACUUUAAAAAAUCUGAAUGGCCAACCUCUUCGAAAAUGUAUUUAAUAGUUUUUUAUAGCGAUGUAUUGUUCAAUAGUUUUUUAUAGCGAUGUAUUGGAAGUAAUUUAAAAGAUCAAACAUUUCAAAUGAGAUCCUAUUAUCAAACAAGAGGAAUUCUAAAAUAUAUCGGAGGUAUUAUGUCAGUUACACAAUAAGUCAAUAAUAUUAUAGAAUGUGUGCAUUUAUUUGAAAAAUUACCAUGUAAGUGGUACUUAUAUUAAAUCCAAUUACACACGUCACAUAUACAUUGAUUAGUUGUAUUACCCCUGAUUUAUUCUAAAAUUUAUCGUCAAACAGAGAGCUUUUAGUUGAAAUGAGGAACUAUAAUUAUUUACUGACAUAAGUUUUUCCUUUGAUUAUAAUAUAUUAACAUUUCAUGUGAGGAAAUAUUAGUUUUACAUUUUUUUUCCUAUUAUAACAUGUUUUAAAAAAGGAUUAUAAUUCUUACUUAGUUUUUUUUUUCGCAUCUAGUCUUUUUUAGUGUUCCGAAUUUAGUGAAAAAAGGCAGCUUAAUUAUAAAUAAAGUGAAACAUUCUGGCUUAAUUGUUAACAUUAAAAUUUAAAAUUCAAUAUUAACCACUUAUUUCAUUAAAAGAGACUAAAAGAGAGAGAGAGAGAAGAUUCUUGUCCAAAAGAAAAAUAAAAUAAAGAAAAGCAAACGAAUACUUCACUUUCAUCGAAAUUUUCAAAUAUCAAUUUUUAUGACUUUAGGCCAAAUUUGCCAUGCAAAAUUGGAUUGGAUUAAUUAUUAGAAUAAGACUGAAUUAGAUUACUUGGAUAAAGUCGAAUUAUAUUAUACUGUCUUAUGUUUGGUGUAGUACGAGAUUGAACUAUGUUAAAUUAUAUUUCAAUGAUAUCAAAUAGCAUUUAAGUUGAUAUUUGAAUAUGAACAUCAGUUAUUCAUGAAAUUUUAUAACAAUAAGGAAACAAAUUUAAAAAGCAAUUAAUUAGAAAAUUAAGUAUAUUGUAAAUAAGUUAUUAGGUAGUCAUAAUAUAAUAAACAAAUGAAAAAGAAAUAAAAAUUUAAAAAUUUAAUUAAUUUUUAUCAAAUAUUUAAAAAAAAUUAUAUAAAAUCAAUUAAUUCUGGUAUUUUUAAUUUUCAUGAUUAUUUUUUAAUAUUAUAUUAGUGAUUAUUAAAUUUUAUACAAUCACUAAUGCAAUAAGUUAUUAAAUGGUUAAUUUAUAAAUUAUUAAAUAUACAAGUAAUGAAAAUUUAAUCUCAAGAGUUAUUAGAAGUAAAAUUGUCAAUUUAAUUAGAUCAUAUAUAAUAAAUAAAAAUCUUAAGUAAAUCAUAAAUAAAAAUUAAUUGAUUAAUUAAUAUUAACAGAUAAUUUUUCUUUAAUUUUAUCCAACUAAACAAAUAUGUAAAUUAGGAUUACUAAUCCGAUGAUUUUAGGAUUAAAUUCAAAUUUAGUCUCCUUUAAUUCAAUUCAAAUAAAUUUAUCAAAUAUAAAAUAAAUAUUUAAUUUUAGAAUUAGUGCAAUUGGAUACUUAAUCCUACAUCCAAACAUGGUCUCAGUUGUCAUAAGGGCAACUUAGAAAGAGUCGUAACCGAAAACAUUUAUAAAGCCAUUUUUUCUUUUAAUUUUCAGGUUCAUAUAUAUAUAUAUAUGUGUGUGUGUGUGUAUAAUCUUUCUGCCAAUGAAGCGCCUACCAAUCAGAGAAGUUAAUUUUUUAAUAUAUUUUUCGACGCCGGCCCCACCCCUGAUCUUAUAGCUUUGACUCCAGAUGAAUGAGGCUUUUCAUUCACGUUAUUCUUUGAAAGAUCGUGAUUCCAAAGGCUGCUGACAAAAGAAGAUUCUGGAGGCUGCCAAUCAUGGCCAUCGCUGCAUAAAUAUAUAUAUAUUAAAUCAAACAGGAGUGCGGUUACUUUAUACGUACAACUUGGGUUCUUGCCUUGCUGCCGUCAUGGAGAAUUAAUGCCACUGGUCAACGGUGAAUCAAUGGCCAUCGGGCACCAAAUUCAUGACCAAUCAAUGGCCAACAAGCACCAAAUUAAUGCCAAGCACACCAACAACCACGGAUUAAAUGGCAAGUUUAGUGUUUUAAAGUUUAGAAUAUGGAGAAGCACUUGCUACUGUAUCCAGGUAUUAAAUCAUCAAAAACCAAUUUGGUUUGGACUCUUCAAUUUCAAUUUGACUUCUACACCAACACCACACAACAACUCAACAACCGAAUCACUCGUCCUAAUAGCAUAGCAAUCCAGUCGUCGGUUGCCCGCACGUGAGAGACAAUUUUCUUAUUCGUGCUCGGAAUUGUUGAAUUAAUUUUACAAUUCUCUUGUACCAAUUUUCAUCAUAUAUGCUCCCUCAAGAAGUGAAGAUCGAUGUCGGAAUCACUUUAAUUUAGUUUCAAUUACAUGAUGUUUGGGAUCUUCUUAUACCAAUUUCGGUCUACAAUUGCCUCAAGUAUCCAUGUCCGUCAAAUCUUAUUUGUAUUAAAGCAACCGCUUAAACCGUUAACCUGUUUGAUUUAAAAAACAAAUAUUUGGAGCUGUUAGAUUGAACUCGUGUAAAUUAGGAUUACUAAUCCGAUAAUUUUAAAAUUAAAUUCAAAUUUAGUUUCCUUUAAUUCAAUUCAAGUAAAUUUAUUAAAUAUGAAAUAAAUAUUUAAUCUUAAAAUUAAUCCAAUUGGAUACUUAAUCCUGACAUCCAGACAAGGCCUUAUUUGCCUUAAAGGCAACUUAAAAAGAGGUGUGACCGAAAAUGUUUAUAAAGCCUUUUUUUUUUUCGGGUUCAUAUAUAUAUAUAUAUAUAAUCUUUAUGCCAAUGAAGCACCUGUCAAUUAGCGAAGUUAAUUUUUUUAAAAUUUUUUUUCGACUGUGAUUCUGGAGGCUGCUGUCAAGACAAGAUUCCAGAGGAUGCUGAUAAGACAAAUUCAAAUUGACCUUUUUAAUAAUUAUUAUCUUUUCUAAGGUUUAAAAUUUUAUGUGUAACGUACAGCUAAUGUGAUGUAAGUUUUACCUGAUGUAUGAGUUGAUGAACCAUCAUGGUGAAAUCAAAAUACAAAAAUAAUAGAGGUCAAUAACAGCAUUCAAAAGAAAAGAAAAAUUAAAACACAAAGAAAAUAAGGCCGUUGGAUUCGUUUUUUCAAUUUUUUUUCUGAAUAUUAAUACGUUACAAUGAAAGAACUUGCUAAUAUUUUCCAUAUUGAUCAGGAUAAAAAGAUUGUUGAUACAAUCAUACGUCAAUUUUGUAAUAUUAUAGUACAAUUCAAAAGUUUUAUUUUAUUUUAAAAUAUAUUUAUCCUACAUAUUUAUAAAAGAUAUUGUAAAAGAAUUAAAUUAAUUAAGAUAAAAUCUUCCUGCAAUCAUACUUGUUCAAGCUUCAAGUGUUCUCUACAUUCACUAAAUUUUAUAAAAGUAUCUUCUUACUUUUUCUACUCUAUAGCCUUUCUCUUGUGAUGGAAAAUAAAUUCUUAACAAGCAUAGACUUGGAUAGGCUAGAAACCCUUUUUAUAACAAUAUUUCAUAACUUAGAAGACUUUACACUUCCUCCAUCAAAGAAGUGAAUUUAAUAACCUUUAUCACUUCGAUUAUGAAAAUGAUUAGUAAACUAUAAUGCUAUCCCUUGAAAUAAAUAAGUAGGUUAUUAAUAUAAGUUUAUCUAUUUAUUUAAAAAAAAAUCACUUAUCAUGUGGACUAUAUAAUGAAACUUUGUGGAGAUAUAUCUACCCACAUUUAACUAUAUAAUGAGAUAUGAAAUUAGAGGUCCAAGGAGUAGUACUCAAAUCUACAACCUCAAAAGUUGAGGUCGUGGCAGGCAAAAGAAAAAGGAGAACCACGUGUUGCUAGGAAAGGAACUUACAUGAGUAACUGCAAAUUAAGCAAACACUAAAUUUUUCACUCUUUAUAUGAUAAAAUCGGAAUGUGUAUAAAAAAUAAACAAUCAAAAAAUAAACCAACACAAUUGAAAACAAUAAAUCAACCAUAAGAGAUACAAAUUAUUUUAUGUGGAAAACUCAAAUCGAGAAAAAACCACAGGACCAUAGUCCAAUAUAACCUUCCAUUAUAUUAAUAAUGGGAUUACUGCACAAAUUCUUCUCUAAAUAAUACUAGAGGCAAACAAUAUCAAGAAUCUCAACAAUCUUGCUCAUAGUAAUAGUCUAAUAUUUUUCAUUCUAACAAGUGGGUAUCUCAGAUAACAGCCAAUGAGAGAAUGAAAUAAAAAUCAAGACCAGUAAGAAUGUAGAGGGCGAUGCCAAAAAUUUACCUUCCAAAUUUGGGAGAUUAAGUUUGCCUUUCGAUCGUCCAUUCAAAGAUUAAAAUCCUUACCCUCAAAUUGAGUUGGCCACUGUCUUCUUUUUCUCUCUCAUCUUUUCUAUGUUUUUAAGGCUGCUACUUCACUUGUCUACUUUUUCUUUUAUAGCCAGGUGAUUUUCAAAGCCCAAUUUGAUGACAAUUUUCAAUUAGCCAUAACAUCUUUCCUUUAAUUUCUUAAACACCCAAACUAAUGGAAACUUUGGUUUGGGCCACCCAAAUGAGAUGGAUUCAACAAAUCUUCCCAUCAGAUCAUAUGGGGGGCACUACCAAGCCCGUUCUCUGCUGACAGUCUUUCAGCUUCUCCUUGGGCAACGACUUUGUCAUCAUAUCUAACAUAUUCUUCAUGAAUAUAGUCAGGCUGCAACUAUUUCUUUUCAAGCACGUCUUGUAUUCAUUGAUACCUCACAUUAAUAUGCUUGAAUUUCGAAUGGUAUGUUAAAUUCAUUGCCAAGUGAGAGCACUUUGAUUAUCACAGUACACGACAUAGCUAUUUUGUUUCACAUCCAGCUCUUGAAAGAAAUUCUUCACCACAAAGGGUUUUAGUGAUUGCAAUAUACUCUGCUUCUGUGGUGGAGAAAACAACACGAAGUUUGAAAUCCUCUUAGACUACCCUUUGCAAAGGUAAGUAAAUAUCCUGAUAGGAAUUUUCCAGGAUCAACAUCUCUUGCCAUAUAUGUUGUACACUUAUAACACAGCUUGUCACCAUUAAAACAUAAACAUGCCUUGGAAGUGACUCUGAGAUAUCUGAGGAUCCAUUUAACUGUUGUUCAGUGUUCUUUGCCUGUACUAUAAAGAAACUGACUGAGUACACCAACUGCAUGGGCAAUAUUUGGUACAAGCCAUGGCGUACAUCAGUCUGCGAAGUGUUGAAGCAUAAAAUAGUCCUUUCAUCUGCUGCUUCUCUUUCUCGCUUGUAGGAAAAUGCUUGGAACUAAGCCUAAAAUGGCCUGCAAGUGGAGAACAAACAUAUUUUGCCUUGCUCAUGUUAAUUCUUUCAAGAGCACUUUCAAUAAAUGCUUCUUGAGAUAACCAUAACUUGUCAAUUUUUCUGUCAUAGGAAAUCGUCAUGCCAAGAAUGUAUUUUUCGAUCCUUGAUCUUUUAUUAUAAAUGACUUGCUAAGCUUUUUCUUUAGAUUAUCAAUCUUACUAGCAUCAUGGUCAACAAUUAACAUAUCAUCCACAUAAAGAAAAAGAAUGAUAAAAUUAUUAUCACCAAGCUUCUUUACAAAAAGAGAAUGGUCAGACAUAAUAUUGCUAACCAUGAUUCUCUGUAAAAAAAUCAAAUUUUUUGUAAUAUAGUCUUGGUGCCUAUUUCAGUCAAUACAAACUUUUCUUCAACUUGCAUACACUUUCUUUGUUGCCUUUAACAUUGAAUCAUUUAGGUUGCCCCAUGAAUAUCUCCUCCUUUAAGUCACCAUGCAAGAAACUCCUUCUCAUAUCCUAGAGACUUUCUAUCCAUCAACAUCCAAGAUUUAUCCAUAUUUAGACUAUUAACUUUCCUACAAAUGCAUCACAUUUCAUUUGUUCAGUUUUAUUAAUAUUGGAGUUUGAUAUUGUUUCCAACCAUAAGAACAACUAUUAAAGUUACAAAAUCAACAAGAAAACAGCAGUUAAAAUACAAUAAAAAAUAACACUUAACAGCAAGAGAAAACCUAUAUCUUCAUCAUGACUAAUUAUAACAGUAAUAUUAUAAGCCAUAUACCAUAAAUCAUGGAAAGAGCAAAUAAUAUAAUUUUCAAAAAAUAGAGAAAUAGAAAAAAAUAGAAGUACCUUUUGCUAUUCGUUCCAAGAAUCGCGGAGCUAGUAACAACUUAAGAGACUGAAUCACGACUAAAAAUAGAGAAGAAUAGAAGCAAGACUUGUUUUUAGAUUUCUACUGAAAAAGACAAAAUUAUUGAAAUAAAACUUGUCCACAACAAUAAACUGGCUAGCUAUUAAAAUGAUUUAAACAAUCCAUAAAUAAAGUAUUAAAUUAAGUAUGCAAAUGUCACAUGUAGCAAAACAACAUAUACAAUACGAUGAAAUUUCAACAGCAAAAUUGGGUGUUAAAACCGUUAAAUAAAAUCCAUUUUUCCAUUAGAGAAAUCUAAAUUUUGAGAAUUUUGGUUUAGCUUGCUUUGGUCAAACUCAGUCGGUCUGCACAGUGACAAAGAAAAAGAAGCAGUUGAAACAAAAUGAGAGUGACAUUGCAUAGACUUGAUAGUGAAAUGUCAUUUUCUUGAUGCUAAUUUAUUCCGUUUCUAUUUGGAAUGAUUGAUACAAGCGGAAAGGUUUUAAAGAAUUGCUUAAAAUACUUUAUAGGUGCAAAGAGCAAUUGCAGCAGUUUAGCCAUGUAAAUAAGUAAGCACUUGACCAGUAUGUAAAGUUCACAAAGUAGCUAGAAGAACUCCAGAGAAGGCAUUAGUAGAAUGUAGCCACUAUAAAAAUUUCCACAAACAAAUUAAUUUAUAAAAAAGCACUGGAUAAGGAGUUAAGCAUACAUUAAUUUGUUUUUGGAACAUACAGCGAAAUUUCCAUAUUGGCUACUAUUCUACUAAUGGUUUCUUUCCACAAUUCCCAAUAUUAAGAUCUAUUGAAAACUAAGCAUACAUUAAAUUGCUUGUGGAAAUUUACAUAAGUCAAUAUAACAGCAGUUGAACUGGAUGCAGUUUGGGUGGAGAAAAAUGGUUUAUGUUCCUAAUUCCCAUUAUUAUGUUCUAUUGAAAAUUAAACAUACAGUAAUUUAUUUCUGGAAAUUUACAUAAGUCAAUAUAAUAGUAGCUGAACUGGAUGCAGUUUGGGUGGAGAAGUAGUGAGCGCUGGUUUUGGUGGAGGUGUUGUCAUUAAAGAGGUACUAAAUAACUACAACUUUAAAUCAAAAGAAAGAGUUUGUGCUAAUAUUUGCCAUGCAUAACUUCAACUUUAAAUCAAACUAAUGCUUACAAAUGGCAUGCAUCCAUAUCCACCACGUCGCAUACUACAUCACUCUUAUAAAUCUUUCUAAUGGAGAAAGGAACACGACAUUAUUCGCAUUUUUGUCCCUUUCUUAAUCUACUAUAUUUUGUAAGGUGCUGGAUAUUUUUCUGUUGAAAGUCCUAUCACAUCAAUUAGCGCCUUUAAAAUUAUGUUCUCGCUAUUGUUGAUAUCAAUUAUCACAUUGCACACGUUAUCUUUGAUGGUGCCACGUGUUCUGAAAUCUUACUGCACUAAUUAUCCUCUUCAAAUCUUGGUGCUAAUAAAAUCUUCUACAUAGUGUAAUUCAACAUCUCUCCUUCAUGUACCUCUUAACUCUAAAGCUUCUUCAUCAUCUUCAUCCUCAACAUUAUUCAUCUCUACUUAGCCAUAGCGUUUAUUUUCUCUCUUUCAAAUAUCAAAUAAUGGUUAAUAUUUUCUUCAGGAUUAUCUUUUCUUUCUUGCUUGUGAUGCUGCUGCUGCUGCUGCUCAUGAAUGAUAAAGUGGCACUAGGGCAAGAUGGGGAUCCCGUGGGAUCAACACAAGGAGGAGGAGGAAGAGAAAUGGUGCCUGCCUUGUUCAUUUUUGGAGAUUCACUUAUCGAUAAUGGCAACAAUAACAAUCUUCCUUCUUUUGCCAAAGCAAAUUAUUACCCCUAUGAUAUCGAUUUCAAUGGUGCCCCAACUGGCCGCUUUUCUAACGGCUACACCAUGGUCGAUGAAAUUGGUAACUCUCUUUAUCUAUGCAUUUGAUUUAUAUUUUUAUAAUUUCUUUUCCUUUUCAAAAUCCUGAAGGUACAUGAAAAUUUAUAUACACCAUGAUUGCAUGCAAUGCAGGGUAUUUUAAUUGCUCAUCUGACGAAUUAUUAUGAUUACUUCUUCGCUAGCUAAAAGAAAAAGCAUAAAACAGAUGUCAUUUUUAGAUUUUUCUUCUUUGUAAAUUUGUGUCACACUCUUGAGCAUAGUUAGAAAUAUCUGUGAAGUGAGUUUCAUAGUCAUGGCUUCAAUGACACAAAUCCAAAUUCAUUACAAUUAAUUAAUUGGUUUCCUACUUCUAUCCCUUUUAAAAAAAAUAACAAAAUAAAAGCACUUGUUUAGUUAUCUAUUUGUGGGGGGGGGGGGGGAGGACUAUUGCCAUUUAUUGCUCUGCCCCUACCUCUAUAUGUCUCUUUGGGAGGGCUCACACUGUCCCAUAAUAUUUAUUUCUAAACAAUCACAGUCAUUAUCUUAAAUCAAUAAAAAUAACAGAAUUUUUUCUUUUAUUUUUUACAUUUAUUAUAUCUACACCCACUUAUACCUAACUUGUAUUAAUCUGCAAGUACGAUCUGUUUGGGGAUAAAUUCACCAUAUCUGGUAGGCAUGUCUUAUUAAUGGCUAAAAGCUUCCAUAUGCAUAACCUCUUUAAAUUGUGUCCCCUUUCAAAGAAAAUUUUCUUUAUUGUCCAUUAGCUUUUAUUUACUCUUCACAAAUAUUUUUAAUGUCAUAUUAACCAAAUCUUGUAAAUUCAUCCAUUCGGCUGAACUACUGGGACUUCCUCUGAUUCCUGCAUACUCUGAAGCUUCAUCCCAACAGAAGCUGUGAACAUUAUGUUUGGAAGAAAAGCUUUCUAUGGUGACCAGAGCGUUGUUUAUCCCAUGAAGUUCCAGCAGCUUGCCAGUCUUUAAACUUAGAAAUUAAAGGGACAUAUGUUAUUGUAAUGUUUCUUGCUUGCUUAAUUGCUUUGCAUAAUUGUUGGGAUUAUAUGCUCUUUUAAAGCAUAUUAAUUUAUUUUCUGAUUAAUAAAAUAUUUGAGAUAUUUUCAAUUGCAUAAAUAUUUUGAAUAAGGUCCGUUUAAUCAUAUUAUAUGUAUUUAUGUGAUCAUCAUAUGGAUUCACAGAAGAUAUAAAUACAAGUUAUCUUAUGAUUAAAUAAAUUAAGUUCGCAGUUGAUAAAUAGAGUUGGGCGCUCUAUUUAUGUUUAGACUGUAGUUAAUUAAUUGAAUGAUUUGUCUUAAUCAUAUAUCAAUUUACUGAUGUAGUUUGACUACAUUGAGUUGGAUGACAUAUGAGAUUUAAUUAACCUUGAAAUGACUGUUAGACUUAUUAAAUCUCAUAAGUAUUGAUUUUACUGUAAUCUUAAUCUUGAGUUAGUUAUGAUUUCAUGAUUGUAAUUGUUAAUCCAUUUGAGUUACCAAUGGGCACGACAUACAAUUGUGGUCAAGAUUACCCGGUAUCUUGGUGGGAGCAAUUAUGAGUAUUGGAGUUAUAGAUUAACAAUAUAGAAUUUGUACGACGCAUCUCUUGAUGGGUUUUCGGCACUUGAUCAUAGAAUUCUCUGAUCAGAGUGUGUCAACAUAUUUAGUAUGUUGAAAAUGAUCAUUAGAGAAAACCAGUAAGUAUCAAAGAACAAGAUGUAAUUAAAUUGAUUGGACAAUUGAGAUAUCGAUUUAAUUAACGAUGUGGUACAAAUGAUUGAGCAGUAAAGAAAUCAGUGUGGCUUGGGACGAAUUAUUAUUCGAACAUACAAUUAUGGAGGUCAGUUCCAAUCUUAUAGUGGAGUAGAGUUCGAAUUAAAUGAUUAGGCUUAUUUAAUUACAGGAUUAAUUGUUGUAGCCACUAUUGUAUAUUCCCAAAUGAUCCCUGGGUUAGCUCAUUUAAUUGACUGCAUCGCUACUGGAUUAAUAAGUAAGAUAACUAGCUAUUUAGGUUAAAAGCCUAAAUAUAUUAUUUAGUGGGAGGCUCCAUUAAUAUGCUUGAGUGUAAGGGGCCUUGUGUUAUUUUACAAGGUGGACCCCUAUAACACAAGAACAAGUAACGUGACUUUUGUUUUAAUUAUUUUUAAUUUAAAUCAAAUGGGAUUUAAUAGAAUUAAUAAAUAAAUAAAUAUGGAGCCUAGGGUUUCCACUAAAUAGAGAUAUAAAAAAGCUUAUUUUCUCUAAAGAAAAUAGAUAGAGGCCACAUUAUACAAAUCAGAGAAAAAGAUUUUCUCUCUAAUUUUGAGAGAAAUUUUCUUGUGCUAGUUGCUUUAGUGGUGAUAAAGGCACCCACACAUCAAGUGUAGAUCAAACCUGAGUCAUAGUCUAGAAGAUUAUUUGGUGGCGGAUCAUGAUCUAACAGGAGUAGUGAUGACGGAUCGUGGUAUGGGAGCCUAAAUCACUUUAGUGAAAAAAACAAAGAUUGUUCAUCUUCUCAAAUUUUCAAGGUACGAUUUCUAUAGUACAAAUUCUUAUAUAUUGUAUGAGAUCAAUCCUAAAUUUUUUAAAAAAAAAAAAACUGAUUUUUUCCACAACAAUUAUUAGCCACCGGUGUCUCGUCUGUCCAUGUGAGUUUUUACUUGUUUAAUUUGCUUGUGGGAAGUUUAUGUAAUCAAAGAACAAGUUGUGAUUGUGUUUUGUUGCGUUGAUAGUGGUUCAGUAAUUGGGACUACUUUGAUUAUGUUUUGGUAAUAGAUUUUGCUAGUUUACUAGUGCUUCAGUAGGAUUUUUCUUUUUUUAAAUUAUUAACUUAUGCAUCUAUUGAAAUCUGAACUCAAAACUUAAGCCCCAAAGAAAUUGCUUGUUACCAUUGGAAUUAGACUUGACUUUCGUAGUUUAUUAAUCAACUUGCUUGCUAGGUAGCCUUGCCAUAUGAUAUGGUUUGCUAUCUUAUGGGUGGUGAUGUUUCCCUUGCAAUACCCCUCGCAUCUGUGUAAGGACAUCCAUCUAAUUUUGUUGAUAAUUUUGGAAGUUAAACUUUCUUCCUUAAUUUGAAUGAUUGAAAGAUAAUAUAUAAUUUUAGCCUCGUUGAUUCAAAAAGGGUAGAUUUAAAAGAGAGAUUGAUUCAAAAAGAUUAAAUUAAACGUUCAAAAAAAUUUAUAAAAAACGCAAGAUAUCCGCAAACUGUCUAAAAUACUAUCCUUUAAUCAAUAAUAUUUUAAAUAAGGAGAUUAUGGGUGGACCAAAAAUCCAUGUACCAAAGCCCAAGCAAACGCGCAGAUUUAACAACCAGUUUGGAACAGCUGCGUUACCAAAUUAUUUAUAGGUUUGGGUUCGGUUACAAAAACUCAACCACAAAAAUAAAUUUAUGUUCACUUAAAUUUCUACAAAAAUCUUCUAAAACCCCUUUAUAAUUGUUAACUUUUUGGUUGAGAGAGGCGUAGAUCACUCAACAUGUAUUAGUAGUCAAAAUUAGAAGAGAAACUUUAUCUAGAUUACUACAUUUACCAAAUAAUUGUAAUAAGUGAAUAUGAAAUAGUUCACUCAAAGCAAGGAUAAAUGGAUGAAAGUACUACACAUUUUAUUCACAAUGAGGUUUCCUUUUAUAGGCGUUACAUGAACAAACUUAACGAAAUAAUAGCAGCCAUUAUUCAGCAAAUACUGCAGCUACUUUCCAGUAACUAUAGCCUAAAGACUAGGUAAACACAAUCUUGCAAAUAACAUUACCAACAAACUUCCUAAAGACUAGGACCAUAAAAGCAACUUAUUGACACAAGGAAAUUCCAACAAUCCCUCCCUUAAACUAAAUGUUGUUAACAUUCAGUUUAAACAUUCUGCAGAAUCUUCUUCAAAUUGCAAUUUGCAAACUCCAAGUGACUUUCUCAGCUUCAAAAAACUAGCCAAUUUGAGGGGUUUAGUAAAGAUGUCAGCAACUUGGUCUUCACUCCUGCAAUAAACAAGAUCAAUGACUUCAUUUUUUGUCAAGUCUCGCAAGAAAUGGUAUCUCACAUCUAUGUGCUUGCAUCUUCCAUGUAGAACCGGAUUCUUUGAAAGUUUAAUUGUUGAACUAUUAUCACAGAAGAUAUGUGUUGACUCUAGUUGCUUAAAUUGAAGUUCAUGAAGAAUAUUUCUCAGCCAAAGUGCUUGACAUGCACAAGAAGCUGCUGCAACAAACUCAGCCUCAGUUGUUGACAAAGUAACUAUCGGUUGCUUCUUAGAUGACCAUGAAAUAGCUGCUGAACCAAACAUAAAUACAUAUCCAGAUGUGCUUCUUCUGUCAUCCAAAUCUCCAGCAUAAUCACUGUCUGUAAAGCCAUACAAAUAUGAUUUUUUACCCUUUUUGUAGAACAACCCAAAUUCACACUACUAGAAAAAUGGGCUUUAUUGACACCAAUUUAGUGUCAGUAAUUACUUUUGUUGACACUUGUUAAUUGUGUCAGUAAUGCUCAAGCCAGAACACACUGACACUAAUUUUUGGUGUCAGUGAUUUUUGCGUCAGUAUUUUGAGUCACUAUAGUAUCACCACAAUAGUGAUACUAUGAUGUUAGAAUCAGUUGAUACUAUUUCUAUGUCAGUAUUUUGUGUCACUAGAGAGUCACAAGGAUAGUGACUCAAUCGUGUUAGCAUUUAAUGAUACUAUUUACAUGUCACUGAUUUAUGUGACUACAAUAUCAGGAAUCCACUGACUCAGUAACAUCAAAAAUUCUUAUCGUCAUUUAAAUAAUUAGUGUCAGUAUUAACGAUGCUUUACCGGUUGUGUUUUAUUUUUUUUAAUCACAUUAUUCAUGUUUAUUUUACAAUUAAAAUAAACCCAAAAUAUAUUAAACAUACCAAAUCUUGUAAUGCAAUUCACAUAAUACACCUUGCAAAUACAUCAGUUAAAUUAAAAUAGUUCAAAUACAUCAUUGUUUGGGGGUAAAAAACAAGUUCAAGUACUAAAUUAAGCUUUGAACAAGUAGUAUACAUGAUAAAGUACUAAAUUAAUUUCGGAAAAUUUAGCCAAGAAGAAAAAAUAGAUAACAAUGUCACUGAUUUUGGAGUCCGCAUAUGCCUUCAUUUUUUUUCCACCUACAAGUAUAUAAAAUCAAUUAGCACAACACAAAAAAUGAGUCAUAGAUUUGUUUUAAAGAAAACUAAUCAUAAAUUACUUGUAUGUUACCUCGGGAUUGUAGGCUGUAAUUAACUUGGCAACGUAUGUAGCCCACUGAUCACGAAGUCGCGAGAGGUCCUUGACAGUGUAUUCCUCAACUCCCUUGAACUUUAAUUUUAAAACAACAAGUUAUUCACCGAAAAUCCUUGACUAAACUACUUAAUUAUCAUUCAUUUAAAUAUAUUUGUGUGUUAACAAUUAAAGCCAACAAAUAAACUCCAACAAUGUUACUGUUUUAUCCAAAAUUAUAUAGGUAAAUACUGAACAUCCUGAUCAUGGUAAUUUAAAAAAAAAAAAACAACUUGUGAAUCCCAACAGCAACAAUAUUUGAUAGUCGAAGCAACUUGUGAACCCCAACAGUACGCGAUUUAAUACAAAUAUGGAUGUAGAUACAAAACCUUAAUUAGGAUGACAACUUAUCCUCAUCAAAGUAAAGUACAAGCAACGACACCAUAGCACAUCCCCACUAACAACUACUUUGCAACCCAAACAAUUGUUUUGUGUUGGGAUAUGCAGUACAUUGUGUAUAUCCCAAAUCCUAAUUCAUGUCUAUAUGGAUAUUCAUAUAAUCUAUUCAACAGUAUGCAACAUAGUCACCAUUAUAAGUACCUCACAGUUUAUAAAAUGCAUACAAUACGCAAUAAAAAGAUAACUGUAAAGAAGCACACAAGUGUUUGAGCUGAUUCAUUUAACAAUAAAUUAAAACAAUAUGAUGCAGUAUUGUAAAAAUCAUUUUCAAUACUUACAUUAUUUUUCAGAACGUUCACAUUUGUGAUGAUAUCUUGCAUGUAUUUCAUCACAUAGUAACCACAUUCAAAGCUGCUCGGCUGCCUCAGACACUACAAGAUCAAAAUUACAUUAAUUUUUUACUGUACAUUAACAAUAAUUAGUUAGGUUUGUCUGAUUUUUACCUUGACAGGUAUCCAUUGAACAUUGGCCUUUGUAUCAGAAUUUAAACUCUGAUGUAUUCGAAUCCCCCUACAAUUAAGAGACAUAGCUAACGUUAGCAAAUAAUUAGCAUAAGACAUAAAAAUAAAAUAGCAUGAUCAAAGAUACAAAUAACAAACUUAACUGAUUGACAAUCUGCAUUAGCUCAUCAUCAGGACUACUUACCAAAGGAUCAAGGUAAUAGGUUGUACGUCUCACCAUAUCAAUUGCCAAUAACACCCAGUGGGCACUAAACAAAGUAAAUAUUGUUCUCACACAUGAAUUACAAGUAAAAGUUUUUAACUUCGUGAUUAAUCUACAAAUUAAAGAAUAUAACUAGCAAAUGAAAAAGGUUAUACCCAGGGUUAUACGGGAAUACAAUAACUUGUCCCAAUUCUGCCAAGCCUAACAGUUUUGAAAUGUAUUGAGUCCUGUCUUUAAAGCUGACCCUUGGAUAUAGCUUCUCAAAAAGCCCAAACUGAACUGGUUUAGUACUUCCAUUGCUCUCCAUCUCCUCAUACAGGUGUCUAAGAGGAAACAAAUAUAUAUAACGAAGUAAGUUUGAAUAUAGGAAACAAAAUAAUAGGGCCAAGUUUACUAAAACAUAAGUUAUGAUUUACUGUACUUGAUCCAUAUGUUAAUGAUGCAGUUUGAGACCUCUUUAAACUUGAUGAUUUCAGCAUAAAUCAUUUUGUCCAAGUGUGUUUCCCAAAUUUCACCAAAGGUUGCUGUGUCAUGCCGAAUUCUGAUCAACUGAGGUAAAGAAUUCUCGAUGAACAUGGUAAACAUGUUCAUAUAUUCACUCCUGUCAUUCUUUCUUGAUCGUGCUGCUGCCCGUGUAUUCUUCACGCGUACAUUGAGGUCUUUUACUGCUAGUCUGAUGACUCGGGGUUCUUUUUUGGCUACUUCUGCUGGUCUGAUGACCAGUGGUUCUUUUUUGGGUACUUUUGCUGGUCUGAUGACUGGUGGUUCUUUGUUGGGUACUUUGUCAUGACAGGAGAACUGCCUAUCUAGUACUUUAGGAGUUAGUCUAGGAGAUCUUCUCGGUGUGGGCUUUGAAGUAAUUUCACACUCUACUUUUUUGAGGGUUUGUUGAGGAGUUGCUUGGGAAAUUGUGGUGGGAUUGUCCUUGAUUUUACUCUUCACAGAUUUUGGAGUCGACUUACCCGAUGGGAAAUCAGCCUAUGCAAUAAUCAAAAUACAUACCAUUAGUAGCAAUACAUGCAUAUACAAAUGGAAAUAAAAUAAUGACAUGUAACAGGCCAUAUACCUUUCUUUUUCCAAGAGUUUCGGGGGAUUGUUGAUCAUUGUCAAUCUGAACACCAGUGGAAGUUUUGGGCUUAGGAAAGUUAGAACUUCCAACUUCAGUAUUGCUGUACGCAUUUAACCUUGCAUUCAUGCGUUCUAAUUGAGCAGACAUGAAUUGGAAACUCUCUUGAUACAUCUUUCUUUCUCUUGCUAACUCAGUGGCAUCAGGGACAUGAAAGUACAUAGAUGGGGUGACGAAUUGCCCCACUCCUUGCACCCUGCUUCCAUUUGGCUGCUUCUGAAGAGCUUCACCUAGAAUGUCAUGUGACCCUUGUGAUUGGAAUGUUCCUUGUUCAACCUUACUUUUCAGCUCAUUCUACAAAAAAAAAAAAUUGUAAAUCCGCAAUUACGAGUACAAGACAUUAGCUAAACUAAACUAAUAUCCUUCUUGAAUCUUUAACAAAGAGCAAACCCAUAUACAGUUCAAAUUGAAACUACAGAAAAUAUUACAAGACAACACCUCACACAAGUUUUAACUUUUUUAUAUGCGAAGAAAUAAGUUCUAAUGAAAUCUUACCGAGUUUCUGUCAAUUGUAAAUGUUGCCAUACAAUUAUUACAAAAAGCAGUAUAUAUGUACGUAAAUAUCUACCCCCACACACACAUAUUAUAAAGAAAAUUCAUAAGAAUUAAGUAUACAAGUGACUUACUAUUUUCUCAGCAAUUGGCAUCACAUCAGAAGCAUAUUUGCCAUCUCGGUUUGCUCGUGCCAUUAACCAAGCUUCACUGCGAUCAAUCUCCCGCUCAGAAACUCCACUCUCAUUUUUCUGUUACAAGGUGACAUAAAACAUAAAUAAUUGAUUCUAUUAUAUUAUACGUACUAGAUUACUUAUGUUACUGUAAUUACUCCAUAUUACCACACUUACUUUUCUAUACAACAUGCCACCAUAUCCUGUGCUAACCAAGCGAUAGUUUUAGACAUUCUUUGCUCUUUUGUCUUUUGCCUUCUUACUUUUUUCCUGCACAAAUAGUUUAUAUGAAGAACAAAAAGUUACCACUGAUUAUUAGUAACUACCAACAAUUAAAUCAGGUAAUAUUAACAAACAACACACCUGAAAUUGUUCAGACAAAACUUUGUCAACAAAAAGUUUCCAAUCUUCUUUUUUAAUGCUUGGAUAUUCAAUAGGACGCAACCUUAGUGACUUUCGAUCGUCCUUGUUAGGUAGAACGAAUUCCCCUGAUCUUCAAAGACUCAAGAUCUUUUCUAGCAUUAAUCCCAUCUUUUGUUUUGCCUGGUUGAUGAAGUAAUGUGCCAUAUAUGUUCUCGCACACAUUGUUUUCAAUGUGCAUCACAUCUAAUUGAUGGCGAACUAAUAAAUGCUUCCAAUAAUCUAACUAAAAAAAGAUUGACUUUUUUUUGUACAAUUUUUCAGUUAUGUUCUCAUCACCAUCACCGCCACCACCGCCAUCAUGUUUUCGCUUUUUGGCCUUCUUUUUCCCGAACUUAAUAUCUAUAUCUUCCACCAUAUUAAAGAUUUCCUCACCAAACAAAGUUUUAGGAGGCUCAUUCCACUCUUGCUUCCCAUUAAAAACCUUUUUCAGUUUCCGAAAUAGGUGACCGAGUGGUAGAAAGUGGCGAUGGCCCAUUUAUGACAUUUUCCUACUAUGUGGCAGCCAACAUGCACAAGUGUCUAUCCCACAAAUUGGGCAAGCAUAAUAGCCCUUAACAGUACAACCAGAGAGGUUUUCGUAUGCUGGAAAGUCACUGAUUGUCCACAUCAAGACAACCCAUAAAUUAAAGGUUUCUUUUCUAUAAGAAUCAUAAACAUCAAUACCUACAUCCCAUAGAGUUUUUAAGUCCUCAAUCAAAGGUGCUAGGUAUACAUCUGAUCAUUUCCAGGUUGUUUAGGGCCAGAUAUCAAAAGUGACAACAUCAAAAACUUCCUCUUCAUACACAACCAUGGAGGAAGAUUAUAUGUUAUUAAUAUAACAGGCCAACAACUAUAAGUAGUGCUAAGUGUACUAUGUGGGUUAGCCCUAUCAGUUGAGAGAGCUAAACGGAGAUUUCUAGGUUCUUGUGCAAAUUUUGGCCACUUAUUGUCAAUUAGUUGCCAGGCUGGUGAGUCUGCUGGGUGGCGAAGUUUGCCAUCUCUCAUUCUUUUAUUAGCAUGCCAUGUUAAAUUUUGAGCUGUUUGUGGUGAUUGAAACAAUCAUUUCAACCUAGGAAUAGGUGGAAAAUACCAUAAUACCUUUUUAGGAACCCCUUUCCUAAAUUUUGUUGAGCUAUCUUUUUUUAUUUGAUACCUAGAUGCUCCACAAUUUGGGCAUUCAGCAAGAUCAGCAAAUUCAUUCUUAUACAAAAUGCAGUCAUUUAGACAUGCAUGUAUUUUUUCAUACUCUAAGCCUAGCACUUUCAUUGUUUUCUUAACCUCGUACAUUGACAUAUGUAGAGUAUUAUUUUUUGGCAAAAUAUCAGCAAAGACUUCUAACAAAGCAGAAAACCUUUUAUCGGACCACCCAUAGUUCCCUUUGACAUUGUAAAGUCUCAUUAAACUAGAUAACUUUGAAUGUUUUGCACCCGGGUACAAAGGCUUUUCAGCAUCUUCAAGCAUUUCCUUAAAAGAACUAGGAUCUCUAUCACAAUGCUCAUAAGCAUCUUCGACCAUGUCAAUUAUAUUACUGUAAUCAUGACAUCUAAAUCUUUGACUAUGUGAAUGGUCUUCACAGUUUGUAAAUGUAGAUUUAGAGUCAGUCUCACCAUGCCAAGUCCAAACAAUAUAUCUUGGGAGAAAACCUUUUUCAAAUAAAUGAUCCUUCACCUGUUGAGGAGUAUGAAACUCCAUAUUACAACAAAAGGUGCAAGGACAUCUAAUUGACAUUCGAUUUUCAGCAUUCAAAAUGGCAAAAUCUAAGAAAUCAGCAACUCCAGAACGAUACUCUACAGACAAUCUAUCACAAGUUAUCCAACUUCUCUCCAUUUCAAAUAUUUUACUUGUUCACAUAUGUAAUGUCAGUUUAAGUUUAAUUAAAUUGCAUGAUUAAUUUAAAGUUCAAUGUUAUUAUGAUUAUAGUUGUAAUAAUAAACUUAUAAUUCUGGAAAAUCAUUAAUAGCCUCUAUAAAUCAUUAAUUAUAAUAAUAAUUUAGACAAAAUCCUGAAAUUGAAACAAAAGAAGUUUUGAAACUUAAAUAGGAGAUUAAUAGGUAAGAUGGGUGCUAAUGGCUUUUUAAGUAGUCGAACUAAUUCAUAAGUCAAGUAACUAACAAAAGUUAAGAGUUCAAAUAAAUAAUGUCUUCAUACCACUUUGCAAGCCAUUUUUUAAGAUUCUAUAAAUCAUUUUUUAACUUCAAAUACAACAUGCAGAACUACUUUAAAACAAACAUUUCUUUAUUGAAUCAAACACAAAUCAUCAACUUUAUAUAAUCUCAAAAUACUCACAACCACGAACUUAAUUAAUUCAUAUCAUAGUCAUUGUCUCUAUUACAAAUCGUCCAACCAAAACAGAAUAAAUAAACAAGUAGGAUUAUAUAACAAAAUUUACCUCUCUUUACAUGAAACAGAGAUGUAAAUAGUUUGUAACCACUAAAUACACAGUCAUUCAGCCAAUAUAACACCCAAACAAUCAUCUCCUAAUCACAAAGGCAAAAGCUAAAAUGAAAUUUCAUAUUUUAGUACAUUCAAAAUCAACUAACUUAUUGCUCAAAGUUAAGAAACGGAGCUAAUAGUUUAUUUCAGAAACUAAAAAAAAUGCACAUUCUUAGUUUUAAAUAACAAUGACAGUAAAUCACAUGCACAAAAGUUUGAAACUGACCUCAAAUGUGGCAGAAAAAACAGAGUCGCAGUAGCAAGUGUUUUGAGUUUAAGUAAUGCACCACUUAAAAUGCCUGUAUUUUUGGACUGCAUGUGAGUGAAGAUAUAGAAAAAUAAGAACAAAAAUUUCAAGUUACAAAUAAAUAAAAGAAAAAAAAAGAUUUGGAAAACAAAACCCACCAGGGUUGCACUACUGGUCAAUUUCUGAAUAUUUGAAACAACCCCAAAAUAAAAAUUCAAAAAUAUUAUUCAUAAGCCAAAUUAAAACAAACCCAAUAAUUAAAUUGCCUAAAAAAAUAAAAUAUUCUGCCAUUACCAGCUGAUAACCUCCUCUACAGUUCUUUCUCUGGACUUAACUUGUCAGGGAGAAUGAGAUUACCUGAAUACCGAACCGAUGGUGCCACUUCACCCCUUAUCGAUGGCUUUUACUUGCUUGCCUAGUAUAGGCACUGAAUGAUUUAGUUGGAGAAAAACCCCUUCAAUAACAAGUGAUUAGGGUUUUGGUUUGUGUUUCAAUUUGGGGGAAAUGGAAAAACGAAAUAGAGUUUUAGCUUUUCAUUAUCUAUCUAAAUUAAUUGAAUUUAAUUUGUAAAUGGAUAGUGCAAAACAGAAGAGAUCGAGAAGAGAAAAAUGAAAGCGAAAGUGAACGAUGAAAGCAAGAUAGAGACAGUCGAUAUAGUCUAGAUGGGGAAAAGUCAAGUGUGUUUUAUGUUGUUGUUAUUUAUAUUUUCAUUUUUUAAUAAUUUAAAUAUUAUUAUGACUUUGACUCAUCGAGAUUUGAUGGUCUGUGCUCCAAACAUUAAAGCUUUAAAUCUUAGAGCUCUUAGGUUCGAGUUGGAGCUAAAACAAAAAUUUUAUGAAUUUUUUUUAUCAUUGAUACUUUAGUGUUAGUGAUUUUUGAUAUUUAGUUUACUGACACCCUAGCAUCCUUAAUCUCUGAUUCCUAUUUGUCAAAAGCGGAAAAUGGUGCAUAUGUACAUAAGUACUGACACUUUUUGCAAAGUGUCAGUAAAGCCCAUUUUUCUAGUAGUGUCAGCAAUACCACGCAAGUAUCGAAGAAUUCUCUUUGCAGCUAAAAGAUGAUCCUCUCUUGGACACUCCAUAUAUCUGCUAAUGGAACUAACUGCGUGCAUUAUAUCAGGUCGAGUUGUCGUUAAGUACAUCAAGCUUCCAACAAUCUGUUUGUAAAGGGUUGAUCACUUGACUCCUAUUGUCCUCUGCCCCAUUGGAAGUUCAGUCAACUCCCAAGUAUUAUUUUUUUCAAUGGAUGCAAUUUCUUCGUCCAUGGCUUUUAGCCAUUUUUGUUCUUUGACAGCUUCUUUAAAAGUUGUAGGUGUUGGAGAAUUAACAAAUAAAACACAGUAUUUUAUUUCUUCAACAACACUCCUCACCAAUUACAACUCUUAUUUUUCACUCUCUACACCUUAGAGAUUUUACUACUUCACUUUACGUUUAAACCAAAAGGGAGAGAGGGUAUUUAUACAUGAAACAAACUAAUCACAACCAUUCAUUUAUUCAACUAAUAAACAAAUCCUCACCAUCCAUUAAAACCUAUCACUCACCUACUUCACCAACCAUAGCUAACACACCUAACACAAAUAAUUCAAACCUCACCAACCAUACCUACUCAUGGAACCUUCCAUGAGUUGGGCUUGAUUUAUUCAUCUUGGAUCAAGUUUAUGAUCCAACACCUCCCCUUAAACUUGAUCCUGUGACACCAAGCAAACUUCUGAAUCUUACAAAGUCUUCUUGCUUGAGUGGCUUAGUGAAGAUAUCAGCUGCUUGAUCUUGUGAUUUUACAUACUUGAUUUGCACUUCUUUUCUUGCAAUACACUCUCUUGUGAAAUGAUAGCAAGUGUCUGUGUGUUUACUUCGAUCAUGAAAGACUGGAUUCUUGGAUAGGGCAAUUGCUGAUUUGUUAUCAACACAAAUCUCGGUUGGCUCUUCUUGUGCCAAACUCAACUCCUUCAGCAAAUUUCUGAGCCAAAUUGCAUGACAAACACUUGAUGUGGCAGCUACAUAUUCAGUUUUACAGGUGGAUAGCGUGACAAUUGGUUGCUUCUUUGACAUCUAUGUGAAAGCAUUAUCUCUUAUGAAGAACACAAAUCCAGUUGUGCUCUUUCGAUCAUCUACAUCUCCACCCCAAUCGCUAUCGCUAUAUCCAAUAAGCUUGUAGUCAUUAGAAAAUGAGUAUAACAAGACGAAAUUAAUUGUACCUUUGAUGUAGCGAAGGAUUCUUUUUGCAGCUUUAAAAUGGGUGGUCUUUAGAUUCUCCAUGUAUCGGCUCACAAGUCCAACAGCAUAAAGGAUAUCUAGUCUUGUGCAUGUCAAAUAACGUAGGCUUCCAACCAAACUUUUAAAGAAUGUUGGAUCUAUAUCUUCGCCUUCAUCAUAUUUGGAUAACUUGACACCGCAUUCCACUGGCGUGCUUAUAGGCUUGCAAUCAUUCAUCUUGAACCUUUUGAGAAUCUCCUUUGCAUAGCUUUCUUGGGAGAUAAAUAUGCCUUCUUCCUUUUGCUUGACUCUGAUGUCAGUCAUCUUGAACUCUUUGAUCAUCACUCUCUUGAACUCUUUAAUCAUCACUCUCUUGAACUCUUCAAUCAUCACUCUCUUGAACUCUUCAAACAAGCUUGAAUUACUUCUAGUAAAGAUGAGAUCAUCCACAUACAGGCACACAAUCAAAAUAUCUCUAUAUUUUUCUUUGACGUAGAGUUUCUCUUGAAAAUACUUGUCAAUUAUGCUAUUCCAUGCCCUUGGUGCUUGUUUAAUCCGUAAAGUGCUUUCUUCAAUCUCAAAACUUUAUCUUCAUGUCCUUUCACCACAUAGUCUAAUGGUUGUUCGAUGUAAACUUCUUCUUCAAUGAAUCCAUUCAAGAAAGCAGACUUCACAUCCAUUUGAAAAAUCUUCCAUUUAUUCUGAGUAGCCAAAGAAAUAAUAAGUCUAAUAGUUUCAAGUCGAGGUACAGGAGCAAAUACCUCGUCAUAGUCUAUGCUAGCCUUUUGCAACUAGCCUCGCAUUGUGCCUUUCAAUUUCUCCUUUUGCAUUUCUUUUUGUUUUAUACACCCAUUUGACACCGAUCGCCUUGUGACCUUUUGGAAGAAUAGUAAGCUCCCAAGUAUCAUUCUUCACAAUGGCUUUGAUUUCUUCAUCCAUUACAAUUCUCCACUUCUCAUCUAGUGCAGCUUCUUGGAAGUUGACUGGCUCACAAUCAGCAAAGAGGCAAAAGAGAGUGAGAUUAUCAUGUCUCUCAGUUACCUUAUAGAGAUCUUGAAGACUCAUUGUACGUUCUUCGGUUCUUUCAUUUAAGAAAGACGGCGGUGAAUCUCCACAUGUGAUUGAUACUGGUGAGAUAGGUGAAGUAGCAGGCUCUUGUUGUUCGUCUACUUGUUUUAUCUGUGUAUGAUCAUCUUCUUCAAUGGGAAAGAAGUUGAAGUCAUCCACACCAGAGCCAAAAUCCUAUUCUCCUUCUUCAUCAAAAACUACAUCUCGACUGAUCACGAUCUUCCCGUUGUUUGGAUUGUAAAGCUUGUAUCCUUUGGAGUUGUUGUCGUAGCCGAUGAAGAUGAACUUCUCACUUUUGUCAUCCACCUUGGCUCUACUUUCGUCUGGUACAUGUACAUGGGUAAUGCUUCCGAAAACUCUUAGAUGGGUGAUGCCGGGUUUUCUUCCACUCCAAGCUUCUUGUGGCGUCUUGCCCCACACGCUUUUUGUUGGAGAUCGAUUGGAUAAGUAGACUGCACAUGCAACAACUUCAGCCCAAAAUUCUUUAGGUAGUCUCUUACUCUUAAGCAUGCUUCUUGCCAUGUCGAGGAUGGUUAUGUUCUUCCUUUCUGCAACACUAUUUUGUUGGGGGGAUCUUGGAACUGUCAAAGGGCGUCGAAUUCCAUUUGCUUCACAAAACUCUAAAAAAUCUUUGGAAAUGAACUCUCCACCUCGAUCAGAUCUCAUGGCUUUAAUCUGGUAUCCACUUUCUUUUUCAAUUGCAGCUUUAAACUUCUUGAAAGCUUCAAAGACUUCUGAUUUUUGCUUUAAAAAAUGCACCCAAGUUUUUUCUUGAAAAAUCAUCUAUGAAGAGAAGGAAGUAGUUACUUUUACCAAAGGAGUUUUGCUUGAAUAGACCGCACACAUCAGUAUGAAUGAGCUCGAGUGGCUUCUGAGCUCUUGAGUUUGACUAUUUUGGAAAGCUCUUUCUAAAUUGCUUGCCAAGUAAACAUCCUUCACAAAGUUGAUCAAGGUGAUUGAUGUAUGGUAAGCCUUUCACCAUGUUCUUCUUAGAUAGUAGCUCCAGUCCUCCAAAGUUGAGAUGCCCAUAUCGAAGAUGCCAAGUCCAGGAUUGAUCUUUGUGACAGGCUUUGAGACAUUUUGCAACAUCAUUUUGAAUAUUUAAAGGAAACAUUCUAUUCUUUGACAUUCUCACCUUUGUAAUUAGAUUUCCUUUGUCAUCUCUUAGAAAAGACUAUAAUCUUUUAAGUGAAUAUCAUAGCCUUUUUCUAAAAGUUGACCUAAACUAAGAGUGUUGCUUUGUAUAUUGGGCACAUAGUAAACAUUCGAAAUUAUUUGGUGGCUACCAUCUUUUGCACGAAAAAGAAUGUUACCUCUACCAUUCAUUGGUACUUUUGAAUCAUCUCCAAAAGCGACACUGCCAUUCACAGAUUCACUUAGUUGUAUGAACAUGCUUCUGUUUCCACUCAUAUGAUUGCUAUCACCUAUGUUAAGAUACCAUGUAUUUUCUUGACCUCCACUUGUGUCAUUGCGUGCUAGUAAAAGUGUGCCAUCUUCACCAUUUUUCUCUUCAGCAUAGUUCACUCUCUCAUCAAUUCUGGUGCUUGGAGCUCUGCAUUCUGAAGCAUAAUGCCCAAACUUUUGACAAUUAUAGCACUGUACCUGGGAUUUGUCAUACCUCGAUCUUGGAUUGCCUCUGCCUCGUCCUCUGGUUGAGCUUUCUCCUUUGGCAUAAUUGGAGUUGUUGUUAAAAUUCCAACCUCAUCCAUGACCACGACCUCUACCUCGUCCUCGACCUCUACCUUGGACAUAGUGCCUUCUCUCAUUGUCGGAGCUUUCUUCUCUUUUCUUUGGAUUGACUUCCAUCUUGAGAAGUUGUUCUUCGAUUCCUUACUUCUUUUUUUAUUUUUCUUCAUAGGCUUGCAACCUUCCUUGAAGUUGCUCGAUCGUCAUAUCCUCUAGAUCUCUUGUUUCUUCAAUUGUCACAACAAUAUGGUUAAACUUCGAGUCUACUGAUCGAAGUAUCUUUUCAAUGAUCCUUACCUCUUUUAACUCCUCGCCAUUUCUUUUUAAUUCAUUGGAAAUGGUCACAACUCGAGUAAAGUAGUCAGAAAUUGACUCUGAUGCUUUCAUGUGUAAGGACUCAAAUUCUCCUCGUAAUGUCUGGAGACGAACCUUCUUAACUUGCUCCGCUCCUUUGUAAGAGGUCUCUAGUUUCUCCCAUGCUUCUUUUGAGGAGGUUGUACCAACAAUCUUUUCAAAAGCAUUUUCAUCUAAUGAUUGAAAGAUGAGAUACUUUGCUUUAUUCUCUUUCUUCUUCAAGUCUUUUAAAUUCUCCUUCUACGCCGCAGUUAAAGUGACUUUAUUUUCUGGCACAAUAAAGCCUUUCUCCACGACAUCCCAUCCGUCAUGUACGCUCAAUAGAGCCUUCAUUUUAAUACUCCAAUUGUUAAACUUCCCUUUAAUUGUGGAACUUGAAAUGACAUCAUACCACUGUUUGCCAUAACUCACAAAUUGAGUGAGAAUUUAGAGAUUCUGAAAGCACAGAUGGAUCCGGCAUGUUGAAAAACCUUGGGAAGGACUCGAGUCAAUUUUCGGUCAACGGUCAAAGCUGGUCAACGUCGGUCAACGGUCAACACUGGCUUGAUAGUCUUGGUUCGGUUCGGAUUGGUUCAGUUCGAGUUGGCUCGGUUCGACUUGAUUCAGUUCAGCUCGGCUCGGCUUGGUUCAGUUCGGCUCAGCUUGGUUCAACUCGGUGAGUCGACUCAACUUCAGGACAGAAAACUUCCGGCGGCAAGUGUGGGCGCGUCCGGUCUCGGAUCGGGAUGAUUUUUGCGGCGUCACGUUCCUCUUGUCGAGAUCUUCGAUUUGAUAUGCUAUAUGACCAUAUAUAGCAUCCAGUACUAGCUCUGAUACCACUUUGUUGGAGAAUUAACAAAUAAAACACACAAAAAACACAAUAUUUUAUUUCUUCAACAACACUACUCACCAAUUACAACUCUUAUUUUUCACUCUCUACACCUUAGAGAUUUUGCUACUUCACUUUACGUUUAAACCAAAGGGGAGAGAGGGUAUUUAUACAUGAAACAAACUAAUCACAACCAUUCAUUUAUUCAACUAAUAAACAAAUCCUCACCAUACAUUAAAACCUACCACUGACUUACUUCACCAACCACACCUAACACAAAUAAUUCAAACCUCACCAACCAUACCUACUCAUGGAACCUUCCAUGAGUUGGGCUUGAUUUAUUCAUCUUGGAUCAAGUUUUUGAUCCAACAGUAGGAUCACAUUCUGAAAACAAGGCAAAGUGUAUGAGUGGAUUCUCAAGAGUGUUAAAUCAUGUUACCUCAUAAUCUGACAUCCAUGCAGACCUUCUUCUAUCACGUUGAGAACGUAAAUCUGUAGCUUCAACUUGUUCAUCAAGUUCAUUUGUUGUUGGUGGAGUUUCUGCUGAGACUCUAUUUUGCGGCAGGUCAGGAGCAGAGACUGUUGAAGGCUGAAGUUGCUGAUUUUCUUCAAUUUCACCAUCGAAAUCUGCUGGAAUUUGCUACCCAACAGAACUGCAUCUCCACAUCCAUGUCUUCUCUUCAUAAAAAAUGACAUCACGACUAAUGACAAUUUUCUUGAUGAUGGGAUCAUAUAAUUUGUAGGCCUUUGAAUGAUCACUAACACCAAGAAAAAUGCACUUUACACCUUUGUCAUCUAAUUUUCUUCUUUUCUCAUCUGGUACGUGGACAUAUGCUAUACAUCCAAAUACCCGAAAAUGAUCUACUGCCGGCUUACAUCCACUCCAUGCUUCUUCAGGAGUUAUAUUUUGAACAACUAUUGUAGGGCUUCUGUUCAAAAUAUAAACACUCCAAACAACUGCUUCAGGCCAAAAACUUUUGGGAAGACCACUCCUCUGCAGAAGGCUUCGUACCAUAUUAAGAAUUGUACGAUUUUCCUUUCGCAUACACCAUUUUGCUGAGGUGUGUAGGCUGUUCUCAAUUGUCUUCUAAUUCCAUGAUUUUCACAAAAGCUUCUAAAUUCUUGAGAGUUGAACUCUCCACCACGAUCAGUAUGCAAUAUUUUAAUUUAGCUGUCAGCUUCUCUUUCAACUAGUACUUUAAACAUUUGAAAGGCUGUGAAAGCUUCUGAUUUUUCUUGCAAGAAAUAAACCCAAGUUUUUCGACUAAAAUCAUCAAUAAAUGAGAUAAAAUAUCGUUUACCUCCAUUUGAUGUUGGCUUGAUUGGCCCACAUAAGUCAGAAUGCACUAGCUCCAGCACUUUCUUUGCCCUUCGGGAUUUUCUUUUUGGAAAAUUAUCUCGAUGUUGCUUACUGACAAUACACUCUUCGCAAAGCUACGAAGGUUGCUCAAAUUGUAGAAGGCCUACCACCAUAUUUUUUGCUGCAGCGGAAGUUUAAUGUUCAAAAUAUUCCAUUGAUUCUAGAGAAUACCGGAAUAAAAGAACAACUAAAUUCACGUUGAUUCAAAAGAAUACCGCGAACUUAGGGGUUAAGACUCGUUGAUCCCACAGAAUACCGAGAAUUAGUUGUUCAAAUACUCACAAAGAGAUUUGAAAAUUGAAAUAUUAUUGAACUCAAAAUUCUCUGCUUGUAAAAGCUACAAAAGACACUUAUUUAUACUAAGUAAGACUUAUCCUAAUAUGAUUAGAAAACCUAUUUUAAUAAGACUUAUGCGUAAAUUAAGAAUAUUACCCAAAUAAGCAAUACCUAAACAAUAAGACUCUAAAUAGGAAACCAAAUUAAACUAGAAUACAAAUUAAUUAAAAUAUUCCUAAAUAUUAUACAUUUAAAUAUAAUUAGGAUUUCUUCAAUUUCUUGCUCUGCAUCAUUUUUCUACUGCAAGGUCUUCAAUCUACCACAACUAAGAUGCCCAUAACGAAAGUGCCAUAACCAUGCUGUAUCUUUGAAAUUUGCAGCAAAACAUGAGUGUGCAGUAUGGUGAAGAUACAAAGGAAACAUUCUGUUUGCCGUCAUUUUCACUUGAGCAAUUAAGCCCAAUUUUUCAUCGUGGAUUCGGCAAACUCCUUCCUUGAUAGAGAUCUCAUACCCCUUUUCUUGUAACUGGCCAACACUGAGAAUGUUAGUUUUCAGUUCAGGAACGAAUAAAACAUUUGAGAUAGAAUGAGAACUUUCCUUGGUUUGGAUUGCAACCCUUCCUUUCCCCAUGACAGAAACUGUGGAGUCAUCACCAAAUUUUACAGUAUUUCGAAAAGUAUCAUCCAAGUCAAAAAAAGCAAAUUUAUCCCCACACAUAUGAUUGCUGCAACCGGUGUCUAAGUACCAUAGAUUUUGGUGACUUUCCUCCUUUCUAUGACAUGCCAUAAGAAGGGAAAUUUCUUCUUCCUCCUUUUCUGCAAAGUUAGAUUUCUCGCCACGAUUCUUAUUUAAAUUAGUACAGCACUCAGAGCGGUAAUGACCGUACUUCUGACAACGGAAGCAUUUAACAUUCGAUUUGGCUUUAGACUUUGGUUUAUGUCCUGUCGAAUUCUGACCAUCAUAAUCCUUUCCUUUUCCUUGAGAAUCAUCAACAUUUUCUUCUGAUUUGUUCUGCCCAUUCUUGCCUUUCCAGCCUCUUUUACCCCCUUCAGUUGGUUUGAGAUUUGUUGCUGCCUGUAAUGCAUGUUCUUCCUUAUCCUGUCGGAUUACUUUCUGCUCAUGGACUAGCAAAGUGCUUUCCAAUUCAUCAAUCGAAAGUGUGUCAAUAUCCCUUGAUUCCUCAAUCGCACAAACAAUAUAGUUAAAUUUUGCCAUUAAAGAUCGAAGAAUCUUCUCAAUUAUGAUAACAUCCUCGAGCUGUUCGCCAUGAAUUCAUCUCUUAUUUGCGAUUGCCAUUGUCCUUGCAAAGUAUGCUGAGACCGACUCUCCCAUCUUCAUUCGUAAAGAUUCAAAUUCAGCUCGAAGUGUCUGGAGGUGUACCCGCUUCGCCCUUGCUGUCCCUUGGUACUUCUUUUUCAAGGAAUCCCAAAUUUGUUUAGAGGAGUCUUUGUUAAGAAUUGUUUCCAAGAUUGAUCGAUCAAUAGCUUGGAAUAAGUAAUUCUUUGCCUUGAGAUCCUUUAAUCGUUGCCCUUCAAGCUCUAUUUACUAAGCAUCCGUCAAAACAACACCGGCUGGUGGUUCAGUUAUUCUAAUUGAAACAACCUGCCAAUAUUCCUUGGACCUUAAGAAAUUCCCCAUCAACAUGCUCCAAUGGUCAUAGUGACCAUCAAAGUGGGGAAUUACAGGUUGAACAAAAUUCUCAGAAGCCAUGAAUUUCUGCUGCUGCAACACGAGUGCAAAAAGAGCCAAGUAAGCUGCUGUUACUAACUCUGUCAAUCCACUUUUCUAAUUCAAGCUCUGAUACCACUGUUACAAGUGAAUAUGAAAUAGUUCACUCAAAGCAAGGAUAAAUGGAUGAAAGUACUACACAUUUUAUUCACAAUGAGGUUGCCUUUUAUAGGCGUUACAUGAACAAACUUAACGAAAUAAUAGCAGCCAUUAUUCAGCAAAUACUGCAGCUACUUUCCAGUAACUAUAGCCUAAAGACUAGGUAAACACAAUCUUGCAAAUAACAUUACCAACAAACUUCCUAAAGACUAGGACCAUAAAAGCAACUUAUUGCCACAAGGAAAUUCCAACAAUAAUAUUAUAAAAUGUAAAAGUUUUAAUGGGGUGUACCCCAUCACUAUCUCAGGAAUGGUGAUUUUGAUCCCUUACUAUAUCUCACAAGCGCCCCAUUUUUCAGUUAAUUCCAUUAAAAAUUUUAAACAAAUCUUUGUCUCUCAAUAUACCUUACCUAAUCUCUAAUUUACCUUUAUUUUAAUUUUUUUUCAUACACCCAUUGUAUAAAUUUUAUAAAAUCAUUUCUUUAAAAAAAAAAUCUCAUAAUGAUUGUAAUUUCUCAACUUUGUUUUAAGGUUUUAUCCACCACUUAAGAUUUGAUAGUUCCACCAAGAAUUGGAGGAAAGAACCAUGCCGAGUCGGCCCUGAAUAACCUUAGUAUCGUGCUAAGCCUAUCAAGCCAAAGUUGAGUGAAGGAAUACAAGAAUUUGGCCAAGGGGUUUGACGUGAUAAAGAUACAGAUUUUUUAUUAUUAUAAUUGAUUUGGAGCUAAAAAGGGGAUUCUUGAUUUCCUUUUCUAUGCAUCCCAAUCUUGUAUUCAAGUUUAUCUGUUCAUGGACCAGAAUGCAUUGCAUUUGGAAAGUGUUUGCAAUUGUACAGUGAUAUUACUUGGACAGUAAUUUGGCGUUGCAAUGCAUUUACAGAACGAAUGAAAAUUUGGAAUCGCGAUGGAAAAUGCUGUCAGGUAUCUAUCUGAGAAUGAAAGCACUCGCUUUCAGUCUCUAUGGGAUUGCAGUAUAAAAUUUUACAUUGUUCUUCAAUAUUUUGAAUAGAAUACCUUACUUUGAAUGGAAUGGCUCAGUUUAAAAAGUUAGAAGAAAUUAGAGUUUAAGAAAUUAGAUUCACUUAAUUAGUUAUUAAUAGAAAUUUUUAUGUCGGUGCACUUAAAAAUUAUUUAUUAUUUUAAGUUAUUUCACAUGAGGAUAAAAUAGGUAUUAACAUAAAAGUUAUUAGUAUGGGUAGAUAACAUAUAAUGAGAGAUUUAAACAUCACCACUCUACUCAUAGAGCAGCUUCAAAAACGAUCUCAUUGGUCCAAAAAGGCCUGACCCAUUGAACGAUGACCCUUAAAAUUUUAUCCUAGCUUGAUCCAUACGACAGGCUGAACAGGUCGGUCCUUUACACAAUCAAAACAAACUUGUGAGUAGGGGUGGGCAAAUAACCCAAUCUGAUUCGACCAAAAAACUUGAGUUCAGAUUGGAUGUAGAUGAAUUUCUCAAUCCAAUCAGGUAGGAAUCUAUCCAAAUCGAUCCAAAUUACACACAAUUAAAGAAUAUUAUUUGAAUUUUUUUAUCCAUUCCAAAUAUAAUUCGGAUUCAAUUAUAAGUCUGGAUUGAGUUUGGAUUACUUUUUUCCUAACUCGAUUAACCGGAACUUGAACCCAAUCCGAAACGGAAUUUGCCGACCCCUACUUCUUAUCAUUUAUACAUUACAUUUGUGACUAUCAUUUUUAAACUAAAAUUUUCUCUUGAUGCGAAUAAGAAAAAAAAACAUAGAGUAAAUUUCGUUAAAAAAAAUGAGGCACCAUAGAUGGACCGUACAUAUGGUACAACUAGCUGAAAUGUAAGUAGCCUUGUGAGAGCUGCCUACUUUGGAUUCAGGACGAAAUAUUUAAGAAGCAAGCAAGUAAAUAGAUCAGGAAAAUAAUAUUCGGCCACCCUCAUUCCAGAGGGAAGCCAAAAACGACAUGCUUCUGUGCCGUUUUGAGGUUUUAGAUUUGAAAAUUAAAAAUAAAUUUUACCAUUAAAAAAUAAUAAAAGCUAAUCAAAAGAAAUUAAAAAAUCUAAAUUCUUAUCCCUCCCCUUGCUCACCCCCUCUCUCUUUGACUCACCCGCUCUGUCCCUCUCACUCUCACCCACGAAGCUCGUUCCCCUCUCACUCACCCACAAGCUCGCUGUCAAUAUUUUUUUCGGAUCUCAACUAACGCAUCAUCAAAACCGCAACCAUGACGCUAGGCUGAGGAGGAUCCAGUGUCGUGGGUCAGUUUCUUCUCUAAUCUUGCCCUUUUUUGUUCAAUCUAUUUAUGCCCUGGAUUGAUUUAUUCUCUUUGUUUUAUUGUGUUUCUUGUUCUAGCAAAAUCUAUUUGUCUAAUUCACAUACGGGUCGCAGUCGUUGCUUUUAUUAUUUUAUAAUUUUUUUUAGGUGGUUUUGUGUAGUCUUAUGAACAUUCUUUUUGGCAAAAAUGCAUCUGGGUUGCUACGCGCCUACGUUUGAUUGUUAAUUAGACCUGAUUCGUAAUUCUAUGCGUUUUUUGAAUUUUUGAUCGCGAAAUUAAGUUAAUUUAGUUUAAUAUUAUUAGAUUAUUGUCACCUAAAAUUAGUAUAUUUAAUCAGUUAAAGAAAUUCUUUUGACACGGACUUUAUGAAACCUUGUAUGUGAUACUUUGCUUAGCAAAGUAUUUGGAUUUUGGAUUUUUUUUUCUAUUUAUAUUUUAAAAUUACUAGAAAUAAGUUAUUUGAAGUGUGAUACUUUGUGAAAUGUUGAAGCUUACGGUUUGGUUGUAAUUCUGUUUUUGCUUAUAUAUGUUUACGUCUGUUGGCAUUCUUUUUUUUUUUUUUUUUGGUAUUUGAAGUUUGCAUAUAUGGUGUGUAUUAAGAUUUUCAAGUUGUUCUUGAAACAUAUUCUGGGUAGUUUGAUAUAUCACAUGUUUCUAUGAAUUCUUUAGUUGAGGCAAUUGUUUUUGGUCUUAUCUGCAUUAUUAAGUUCUUUACCACAUAGAAUUCCCUAAUUUUCUUCUGCUAAUCCAGUAAUUGCAGCUUCAUUCUAAGGUUCUUCAUUUUCUAUAAAGCAUAUAUUGCUUCAUUGACACCCCUCUAAAUAACUCUUAAAAUCUCUUUAAUUAUUUUAUAAUUUUAAUUUUUAUUAAAAUUAUAUAAUAGGAUAAUUUUUAAUUAAACUUCCACUCAAAAGUUAAAUAAUUUUUUUAUUUUAGAAAUUAAAAAUGUUGUUUUUUCUCUAAUUUUUGGGUGAAGAAGUUACCACCAAUGCCUACAAUAGAGAGAAUGAAAACUCAUUGUUUCUUUCUUUUAAAUAGAAGAGACUCAAUUGUUGAAAUGAGAUUUAAUAAUAAAAAGUAUAGAAUUGAAUUUACACAAUAACUUUUAUGUAAGGGUAUUUUUAUCAUUGAUGAAGGUGUUAAAAGAAUUUUAUAAUUUUUUAAAAUAUUUUAAUAAGAUUAAUUAUGAAAAAGAGUGUUAAGAAAUAUUUAGAGGGGUACCAAUAGUCCCACUCUAUUUAUUGACCAAUUUAAUAAUUAUUAUCUUUUCAAGGAUUUAAAAAUCUAUAGGUGUAACGGACAGCUAAUGUAAUGUAAGCGUUAUAUAUAUGAGUUGAUGAAAGGGUCACGGGUGAAAUCAAAAUAAAAAAAAUAACAGAAGUCAAUAAUGGCAUUCAAAAUUAAAAAAUAAUAGAAGUCAAUAAUGAAGAAUUUGGGUUAAAUCAUAUAUAUAUGUUAAAUCAAACAGCCACUGGUGUGCGGUUACUUUAUACAAUUUGGGUUCUUGCCUUUCUGCCGUCAUGGGGAAUUAAUGCCACUGGUCAACGGUGAAUCAAUGGCCAUCGGGCACCAAAUUCAUGACCAAUCAAUGGCCAACAAGCACCAAAUUAAUGCCAAGCACACCAACAACCACCGAUUAAAUGGCAAGUUUAGUGUUUUAAAGUUUAGAAUAUGGAGACGCACUUGCUACUGUAUCGAGGUAUUAAAUCAUCAAAAACCAAUUUGGUUUGGAGUCUUCAAUUCCAAUUUGACUCCUACACCAACGCUAGCCAACAACAACUCAACAACCGAAUCACUCGUCCUAAUAGCAUAAUAAUCCAGUCGUCGCUUGCCUGCACGUGAGAGACCAUUUUCUUGUUCGUGCUCGGAAUUGUUGAAUUAAUUUUACAAUGCUCUUGUACCAAUUUUCAUCAUAUAUGCUGCCUCAAGAAGUGAAGAUCGAUGUCGGAAUCACUUUUAGUUUCAAUUACAUGAUGUUUGGGAUCGUCUUAUAAUAUACCAAUUUCAGUCUACAGUUGCCUCAAGUAUCCAUGUCUGUCAAAUCUCAUUUGUAUUAAAGCAACCGCCUAAACCGUUAACCUGUUUGAUUUAAUAUAUAUAUAUAUAUUUGCAGCUGUUAGAUUGAACAAUAAACCAUCCAACGGCUCUGCUAAAUAGAGACAAAAAAGUGCAGUAUGGUGCAACUGUUGUAACAUAGGUGGAGCCUAUUUUUAAUAUUAUAUUAAUGAUUAUUAAAUUUUAUACAAUCAAUAAUGCAAUAAGUUAUUAAAUGAUUAAUUUAUACGUUAUUAAAUGAUUAAUUAUAAAU